rnacentral:lncRNA from 1 species
GAAAAGGUCCUCCUCCAUCUGACAAUCAACUACUCCAUUAUAAAGACUUGGCUAUUUUCUUCUUCGAGAAGGACAUGCGCCCUGGCGCAACAAUGAAGUUCCAAUUCCCUAGAAAUUCAAACACGGCUACUUUCCUGCCACGCGAAAGUGCUCAAUCGAUCCCCUUCUCCUCUAACAAACUAUCAGAAAUUUUCAACCAUUUUUCAGUGAAGCCAACAUCUGUGGAAGCCAAAACAAUUAAGCAAACAAUCCAAGAGUGUGAAGCUCCAGGCCUUAAGGGAGAGGAAAAAUAUUGCGCCACAUCUUUAGAAUCAAUGGUUGAUUUUAGCACUUCGAAGCUUGGAACAAGAAACGUUGAAGCAAUCUCGACGGAGGUAUUGGAAAGAGGAGCCACCAUGUCCAUGCACAACUAUACAACAAUGCCGGGACUGAAGAAGUUGGCAGGUGACAAAGUCGUUGUGUGUCAUAAGGAGAACUAUCCCUAUGCUGUGUUUUUCUGCCAUGCAAUAAAACAAACAGCAGCAUAUGUUCUCUCCCUGAAAGGCGAUGAUGGGGAGAAGGUUAAAGCAGUAACCAUCUGCCAUCUAGACACAUCAGAAUGGAACCCAGAGCAUUUGUCCUUCCAAAUCCUCAACGUUAAGCCCGGAACAAUUCCCAUCUGCCAUUUCAUUUCCACUGAUGGUAUUGUCUGGGUUCCAAAACACAAAUCUGCAUGAUCAUCACUUAGCACUGUACGUAUAAUAAGCUUGGUUGGGUUGCACCCUAGGCCUGUAUAAUUAACUCCCUACUUAUUUCUGCCUCUUUAGCACUGUACAUAUAUAGACUUCAACUUGUACUCGUAUAGCAUGCUGGAAAAAAAAAGGACCAAUAGGGAGAAAAUGGUGAACUAAGGAGAGACUAAUACUUCUGGUUCUUAGAAGGCAUAACAGAAAUAAUAGAGCACACUGCUUGAAUGCAAGUCAAUAUUGUUAGAAAAUUAGGAGAUUUACUUCCUAAUAUAUUAUGAUUCUAUUUAUUUCCUUUUGUAUUGAUAUUAUGUAAUUAGGACUUUAUCUUAGUUUCCUAGUAUAACCCUACUAGGGUUUGUACUCUUGUAUUAUAAAUACCUCCUUUUGGAGAAUGAAGUAUAAUCUGAAAAUAUUCUAUCCACUUUGUUUGACAUGGUAUCAGAGCAAACUUUUCUAGUGACCUGUGUGUUGUGCCAACCCGUAUUCUAGCCCCAUAUUUUUUCUCUACCUAUGCCGUGUGUGCCCCCCCUCUGGGUUUGUGGGUUGUGUUGUCGUGUUGGUGUCAUUCCUAUCUUCGUGCAUCUGCCGUAUUUGAGCCUUUGCUGUGUUCCGCUGUGUACUCUGUUGUGUUCAUACCUCUAUUGUGUUCGUGCCUGUCUUCGUGCAUCUGCUGUAUUUGUGUCUCUAUUGUGUUCCAUUGUACAAUCUGCCGUGAUCUGUUGAAUUUAUGAUGUAAUCAUAGGUGAUAACUCAUUUGUUGGUGUUGUUGUUGCUGUUUCUGGAAAUUUAUGUGAUUCAGACUCUAUUCCAUUUACUGGCUACAAUACUUAGAUAAUUGAUACUGGUACUUAUGAUCAUAUUGACAGGACUCGCCCCGAAUUUCCUGAAACCCGAGACGAAUUCUGUGGAAAUUCCUGACAUCACCCCGAUGUCGGGCCCACUUCUAAAACUAUAUCCUUUUUCCCCAAAAGGAAUAAAGGCAUAAGACUUUCUACCGAAAUUUCGGUAGAGUCUCCUAUGUAAAUUGAACAUUGCCCAAAAUUUUAACCUGCAUAAAACACAUUUUAUAUUACCCAACUGGCAGCAUGCAUAAAGUAAUAACAUGCAAUUCACAUAAACGGCCUUCGGCCUUCCGAUAAUUGGCAACAAACCACCAAGUACGCUAUCAAAUCAAUUUAUACCUUAAACAAGGCAAACAAUAAAUUCAAUCACACUUAAGAAUGUCAAAGCAAUCCACUACAUUUAAUUUUCUCAACAGCCAACAUACGAGGUUUUAACCUCCUAACACAAACACACUUCGUUCUCACUCAAAUAGCAGGACCAACUUCAAGGUCCGCAUCAUACUCAAUAAUACACAAGUAAAGUUUAAACCGCGGCUGCACCUAGGCACUACCCUAGGCUGCCUACGUACCCUUAUUGAGGGAUCAAGCCACACGUAGUUCUUCCUACUAAAUCCUGAUUUCCAAACACAUACAAUAAUACCUUUAUUCAUCUCUCUGUUAAUCACAUAAUCUUCCCAUACGCCGGAAAUUCCAACUCUACGUAUGGGGUCUGUCAUCACGCCGGAAAAUCCUACGCCACGUGUGACCUAACCAUCAUAUCAUCUCCCUAUACGUCAGAAAUUCCAACACCACGUAUGAGGUCUGUCAUCCAGUCGGAAAAUCCUACGCCACGGGUGACUUGACAAUCACAUAAUCUCUCCAUACACCAGAAAUUCCAACGCCACAUAUAGGGUCUGUCUCAAUGUCGGAAAAUCCUAUGCCACGCGAGACCUAACAAUCACAUAAUCUCCCCAUACGCUGGAAAUUCCAACGCCACGAAUGGAGUCUGUCUCAACGCUGGAAAAUCCUAUGCCACUCGAGACCUAACAAUCACAUAAUCUCCCCAUAUGCCGGAAAUUCCAACGCUACAUAUGGGGUCUGUCAGCAUGCCGGAUAACCUACGCCACGUGUGACUUAACAAUGAUAACAUCUCCCCAUACGCCGGAAAUUCCAACGCCACGUAUGAGGUCUGUCCUCACGCCGGAUAACCUACACCAUAUGGAACCUAACAAUCAUAGGGUGGUACUUAGGGUAGUGCGUAUAGCACUUCAAACCGACAUUCAAAACUCUAUUUAUACCUUUAUAAAUUUAUAUAAAAAUAUAUAUAUUAAGUUCUAAAGUUGUAUAAGCCUCAACCACAAUCUAGCAUCCGAUAAUCCCCCCCAAUUUAAAACAAUAAAUUAAUAUCAUAAACCCACAUAAUCAACAUAACUUAACAACGCUCAAGACCUGUCACUAGUGUCAUUGUAAUCCUCCUAGGAAGGUAAAACUACUUCGGAAGAGUCACGGUCAACUAAGGGUCAAACUACCCAAACUUGGUCAAAUGGGCCCACGGGCCCCACGACCUUCAAAUUCCGAUUCCAACCUACCGAAAUUUCUUAUGGGUUCUACAAGGUUUAGGACACUCGUCUUGCAAGUUUGGUCCAGAUCAGACGGUCGGAUCGCUCACGAUCGCACGAUCGGACGGUUACUAUAAACCUAGCCCUAGGGUUGGUAUUUUCGGAGUAUCCAGGACUCCGUUUUACGAUCCGUCGAAUCCUAUACGAUCUUGAGGAUGUCCAAACUAACAUAUAAUAAAUCUAUGACUAUCCAACGGCUCAAACCUAUUGAACCCAGAUAACGCACAAUAUGCGAAAUCUGUUCAAUAGUCAAACGACGUCCGAAUUGAGAUCCGCGAAAACCUACGCACUCGUGACAACUUGAGGACCUCAUUAGGACAAACUGUAGCUUCACCACCUUUGUCCACGCGCCUGCAGCGCAUGGGUGUGUAGAGUAAAUUCCGAUGAUGGAAAAACUCUACACCACCGCUCACCCUUCCUAUCCUAAAUACUACUCGAGGCAAGGAUCACUUCAUUCAACUACGGGGAGGUCCCAUUUGGACGGCAACUGGCCCAAAUUUCACUUUGAAAUCCGGCCAAAACCUAGGUUUUCAAAUCGGUUUUCUAGACAUCAAAUCGAUCCAAUCCUAUCCCAUAGACAGCUAGAGCUCAGAAAAUAGAUGACAAACCAUACCUCACCCGACGGAAUUGGUGGCUGGAGGAGAAAGAUUGAGCGAUGAGAAGUUCUGUCAAAACCGACUCGUUUUCGACUGAUUCCAGCGAGCACAGUUGACGAUGAUGGCUAAGACUAGUCGGGAAAAGACAAGGGAGAGGUGGUGAUUCGAACGGGACCGGUCUCGAGGCCAGUCGUUGACUGUGGAGGCUGCAAUAGCCUUGAAGGGUGGCGGCUGUAAAAACGAAGGGGAGGGGGGCUGUUCACGAUGGAGGAGAGAGAGAGAUAGAUAGAUAGAUAGAGAAAAAUCUGAAUUUUAUAAAAAUUCCAUUUUGAAAUAAUUACGAUUGUGCCACUGAGUUUCUUUUGACCGUAACUUCCUCGUUACAACUCCAAAUCAAGCCCACUAUGUAUCUAUGAACUCAUCUCGUCGAGCUCUACGCAACGGUAGAGCUGAAAUUCUCAAAUUUCUUCCUGAUCAAAAAGUCAACUUUAAACCCAAUAAAAUAUUCUAUGGGUAUAAUGGUCUUUUAUCUACAUAAAUUAAUAAUUUCCAAUUUAUUUAGGACCGGGUCGUUACACAUAUGACUUAUGAUGCUAUAUUUUUUUAUGAGUUGUCUAGUAAUACUCGUGACCCAUACAUAACUAGUGCUAAUGGCUUGCCCUAUCCAAUUACUGGCGAGGGCAUAAUCUCUCACUCCUACUCUGUCCUUGUCUCGUGUGUUACUCGUUCCCAAUAUCCAUUGUAACUUGUUGUUUGUUGGCCGAUUACUUGAUACACUUAAUGCUUAUGCUACUUUCUAUCCUACACAUUGCUCUUUUCAGGAUCUCAAGACUUGCGAGACGAUUGGGCAUAGUAAACGGAUAGGGGGCUUAUAUUAUUUGACAUUGUCUUCUGCACCAAUUCGUGGUUGUGUCAUUCAUACUGUUCAAAGUUGUAGUGUCAAGGACAAAUAACAAAUUUGGUUAUGGCAUCGUCGCUUGGGACACUCGUCGUUCGGCUAUCUUAAGCGUCUGUUUCCAUCUUUAUUCCGCUCUUGUGACGAGUCCAGUUUUAAGUGUGAGACAUGUAUUUUGGCCAAGAGUCAUCGCACUGUGUUUCUUUUAAGUGACAGUAAAGCUGCAAAACCUUUUGAUUUAGUAUAUUCGGAUGUAUAGGGACCUGCUCGUGUGACUUCUAAUGGUUUCUAUUGGUCUAUUACUUUUAUUGAUGACUGCACUCUCCCCAUAGUCCGGAAUUACCAACGCCACGUAUGGAGCCUGUACGCACGCCGAAAAAUCCUACGCCACGUGGGACCUCAUCAUCAUAUCACAUAGUCUCCCCAUACGCCGGAACUACUAAAGCCACGUAUGGGAUUCGUCUCAACGCCGGAAAAUCCUACGCCACGUGAGACCUUACAAUCACAGGAUGGUACUUACACAAUGUAAUCAAACCAUCUUUAUCUCUUUAAUAUAUAUAUAUAUAUUCCCAAUUUCCCCAAGUUUAAAACAAUAAACUAGUUCCUUAAACCCACUAAUUAACAUAACUCAACUAAUGAUCAAGACCUAUUGAAAGGACUCGCCCCGAAUUUUCUCAAAACCUGAGACGAACCCUUUGGAAGUCCUGACAUCACCUCGAUGCCAGGCCCACUUACUAAAAACCGAGACUUCCUGCCGAAAUUUCGGCAGAGUCUCCCCUAUAAUUUGGACAUUUUCCAAAAUUUAUACCUGCAUGAAAAUGCAUUUAAUAUUCCCAAUUGGCAGCAUGCACAAUAUAAUUUCAUGCAAUUCACAUAAAUGGCCUUCGGCUUUCCAAUAAUUCUUAACCAGUUACCAAACAAUUCAAAUACCAAUUAUGACUAACAUUUAGUCUACGGCUGCGCCUAAUAACCUUAGGCUGCCUACGUACCCUCCUUGAGGGAUCAAGCCACACGUAGUUCUUCCAUAAAACUCAAUUCCACACAUAGGUGAUACCUUAUUUCAUCUCUCUGUAUUUCACAUAAUCUCCCCAUACGCCGGUACAACCAACGCCACGUAUAGGGCCUGUCAACACGCCGGAUAACCUACGCCACGUGCGACCAUGCCAUACUAUCAUCAUAUCUCCCCAUACGCCGGUACAACCAAUACCACGUAUGGGGUCUGUCUCAACGCCGGAUAACCUACGCCACGCGAGACCUGCACAUCAUAUCACAUAACUCCCCAUACGCCGGUACAACCAACGCCACGUAUGGGGCCUGUCCCAACGCCGGAUAACCUACGCCACGCGGGACCUCAACAUCAUAUCACAAAUCUCCCUAUACGCCGGUACAACCAACGCCACGUAUGGGGUCUGUCGACACGCCGGAUAACCUACGCCACGUGCGACCUCAACACAAUAUCACAAUAGCUCCCCAUACGCCGGUACAACCAACGCCACGUAUGGGGCCUGUCUCAACGCCGGAUAACCUACGCCACGUGAGACCUAACUUUCACUUGGUGGUGCUUGUAGUGAAUCCAACAUCCAGGGAGGUACCUAAAGUAGUGCGUAUAGCACUCCAAACUGACAUUCUAGACUCUGUUGUACCCAUGUACAACCAUAUAUAAUUAUAGUUAUAUAAAUUAAUUCUAAUAUUGUGUAACCUUCCACAUUCAUCUAGCACCCGAUAAUCCCCCUUAGAAAGGUGAGAUUACUCCGGGAGACUCACGGUCAACCAAGGGUCAAACUACUCUAACUCUGGUCAACCGGACCUGCAGAACCCACGACCCCCAAUUUCCGAUCCGAAAGUCUCUAUGGGUUCUACCAGGUAUAGGACACUUGUCCUGCAAGUUUGGUUCAGAUCGGACGGUCGAAUUUCUCACGAUCGCACGAUCUGACAAUUAAUAUAAAAUAUAAACUUUAAAAUUAUUAAUCGAAACAUCCGGGGCUCCGAUUCACGAUCCGUGAAUUCCUACACGAUCCUAGAAUUACCUAGAUUAACAUAUAUUAAAUUUGGGACCAUCCGACGGUCCCAACCUGUCGAACCCGGAUAACGUACAAUAUACGAUCGUCCGUUCGAUAGUCAAACGACGUCCGAAUUGAGAUCCGCGAAAUCCUAUGCACUCGUGACAACCUAAGGAUCUCAUCGGAAUACAGUGCUACUUUUUCUACAGUGCCCAAAGCGAUAACGCUUCGCCGGAAAAUCUCAACAUCACGGCUCCAAAAUUCCUACUCUAGGUAUAACACCCUAUUUGGAGCCACUUUUGUUCUUGGACCUACCCCAAAAAGUGGCCGAAAAUGGCCGAUCACGGCAGCCGAAGUUUCGGCCGAUUUUCAAUUCGAAAAUCGAGUUGUCUACGCUAAGAAUCGAUCUAAUCCUACCCAACCAUCAGCUAGAGUAGCUCGAGAGGUUCAAAAUCCAUACCUGGGUCGACGGAAUUGGUGGCCGGAGGAGGGAGAUCGGCGGCUUUGAAGUUUGGACGACGUCGGCCGCUUCAUCUCCAGAUUCCGGCGAAUCCGCGGCGGCUGGCGGCGGGAGGUGGCUGGGGUAGGAAGAGGACGACGGCCCGGUCAUUUUGGUACCGGUCCCGUCGUCAUUGGUGGCCGGAGGAGAGCACGGCCGGCCAAAACGUGGCCGGCGGUCGUCGCGCGCGAGAGAGGAGAGAGAGAGAUCGCGCGGAGGAGAGAGAGAGAGAGAGAGAGAGAGAGAGAGAGAAAACCAGAUUUUUAUAAAAAAAAGUCCCAUUUUGAAAUAUUUACGAUGUGCCACUGGGCUUCUUUUGACCAUAUCUCUCUCGUUACAACUCCGAUUCAAGCCCACUACGUGUCUAUGAACUCGUCUCAGUACGACCUAUCCAAAAAUACAAGUCACGGUCCCAAACUCUCUCCGGUUAAAAAUAUGACUAAAAUACCCUUAAAUAAUGAAAUAAUUAAAUAAGGGUUAAAUUUGGGGUCGGGGUGUUACAUCUAUCACCAGGAUCAUUAUAAUCCUCCGAGGGAGGUGAAACUACCUCGGAAGACUCACGGUCAACCAAGGGUCAAACUACCCAAAUUUAGUCAAACGGGCCCACGAGACCCGCGACCUCCCGAUCUGAAAGUUCCUAUGUGUUCUACAAGGUUUAGGACACUCGUCAUGCAAGUUUGGUCCAGAUCGGACGAUCAGAUAGCUCACGAUCGGACGGUUAUUAUAAACAUAAACUUUAAGUUAUUAAAUCGGAACAUCCGGGGCAAAGAUUCACGAUCCGUGAAUUCCUACACGAUCCUAGAAUUGCCUAGAUUAACAUAUAUUAAUUUUAAGACUAUCCAACGGUCUGAACAUGUCAAACCCGGAUAACGCCUAAUAUGCGAUAUGCGAUAUCCGAUCGAUGAUCAAACAAUAAUCAAAUUCAAAUUCGAGCAUACCGUCACGCUCGAGACGACGAGAGGGUUAUUUUAGAACUCUAAGACAAGCCACCACAUGGCCCACGCGCUGACAGCGCGUGGUUGUCUAGAGAAAUUUCCAGCGGCGGGAAAAACUCCAAACCGCCAGCCAAGACUCCCAGGUUAGGUAAAUCACAUGUAGUGGAACAACUUUUGUUCUUGGACCUACCCCAAAAAGUCGACGGAAGUGGCCGUCGGAGGCCGAAACUGGCCUAAACUUCUAUCGCUUAAUUGACAACCAAAAUGCAGCAAUUGAUCCUAAAUAACCCAACCAGCAGCUAGAUCAGAUUGAGGGGAUGGAAAAGCAUACCUAGAUCGCAUGAUUUGGUUACCGAAAACGUCCGAACGAGCUUCCGAAAAAUCCGCAAAAAACCUUUCGGAUUUCUGCAAUUUCCGGCCAGCACCAGCAGUUCCAGCAGCUGAGGUUGGUCGGAAAAGGAAGAGGAGGUGGCAGCGGUUUGAACAGGUCCGGCCUCGUUGCCGGUGGUGAUCCGUGGUGGCAACUGUGGCUCUUGGAAGCCACGGCUGUGCAGAAAAAUGAAGGGGGAGGGGGCUGCGCGCGUGGGGAGAGAGAGAAAGUGAGAGAGAAUCAGAUUUAUCAAACCUUUUUUUGCCAAAAGUACGAGUAUGCCACUAAGGGUAAUUUGAUCGUAUCUUCUUCGUUACAACUCCGAUUCGAGCCCAUUACGUGUCUACGAACUCAUCUCGCUGUGCUUUACACAACGGUACGGUUGAAAUUCCCAAAUUCCUUCCCAGUCAAAAAGUCAACUUUAAACCUAAUAAAAUAUUCUAUGGGCAAAAUGGUAUUUUCUCUGAAUAAAUUAGUGUUUACUAAUUUAUUUAGGACCGGGUCGUUACAAUACCCAAAAAUUUCCUGUGUCAGAAUCAACACAUGGCAGCAGAGAAAGAAAGGGGAAUAGGACAAAAUAGUUGGUUAUCCAGCUGGAAAUCCUACAGAGCAAGGAUGACUAGUUAUACGAGAAACAGAUGACUAGUCAUCAUUUUAUGAAAUCAAUUUAAUGCAAUGUGAUGGAAUGCACAAUUUACCUUUGUCAAUUUGCUUGAACCUCUAUACGAUAGUUGUUAGUUAAGAACACCUAGAGAAACUAUUCUUAAUCUAAACUUGAGCUUGAUAAAAAUAAUAAAAAUCUUAUUACAAGAUUAUCAAGGAAAGUGUUGUGUCUACCCAAGUGCAAGUAGUCACACGUAGUAAUAAUCUUGGAAGUCCAAGUAUCGUAUCCUCAAGGAGCAGGUAGGCAAAUAUCUGCACACAAAGAAAUAAUUAAACAUACCACAAUAAAAGUGACAAGCAAAAUGGAAAAGUUAUUUAUUUGAUUGUUGUGAAAAUUGAAUUUAAAAAUGAAAUAUCAAUAAUGGAAAUGCUAAGGCAUCAAGGUUCAAUUCUUUAAACAAAAUAUGUUUCAUGCUCUUUACUCCAGAUUAUAACUCGAUUAAAAUCAUCAUCGAGAAACUUUAACCGGAAGAUAAAGAAAUUAAAACCAAUUUAAUUUUUCAAUGUAAUCUUUUAUUAAUGAUUGUUCAGAAAAUGGAAUUGCUUAAUAUCUACUCUUUUAAUUUAAAAGCAUGCCAAGUCAGUUCUUAACAAUGAGAAAAAUAAAAUUGAACUCAUGAAAAGGUAAUAGCACUUAACAUCAAUCAAAAUAAAAGGAUAUGAAAAUAUUGAACAACCAAAAAUAAAAGAAUUUAGCAAUUCAUACCGUAUAUUGGAUUAAAGAACAAUUCACAAACUUACUUAAAGAACAUUCCCUUUAGCCUUAGCUAGAGUUCUAGCAACUCAAUUACAAAGGAAAACAUAAACUAAAUGGAUAAAGAAAUCAGUCAUAGUGGUGCCCUUGCCAAAGAAGUUGAUGGGUAAUUUAUAGUGAAUGAGGUGAGUGGGAAGUUAAUACAUGGGUAAUGAAGGGUUUAAGUAAGGGAUUAAUUGGAUUAAACAUUGGUUGAUGGUGGAGAGUUAGUGGAAAAGAAAUAACGGUGAGGUAAAUAGGCGUUAAAUGGCUAUGAAUGACAUGAAAUAGGCUCUUUAGCUUCAACGGUUGUGUCUUCUCUUCUCCCUCUUUACUUCUCUUUAUAAUCACAAUAAUCCAACAAUCAAUUCUUCAAUAAAAUCCGCCAGCAAUUCUCUUCACACCUAGCUUGAACUUGGACAAAUGUAUGUCUUCAUCUUUUGGCUUUCUAACUUCCUACCGAAGAUAAAUUCACCUAAUAAGUUCACCAAAUUAAUAUAGAAAAUUCAUAAAUCCAGUUGAUGAGAAUAAAAUGUAACAAUAAGUGAAAUUAUAUUUAUUAAGUCAAAAUUAUAUCAUAAAGUCUCCAAAAUAAUAUUAAAAAUAUAUAAUUUAAGACUCUCAUCACAAAGCCAAAAGAAAAACUCAAAAUGCAUACAUUAACAGUUUUGCCAUAUUGAAUUAAUGUCUUCUAGCUAUGUACCUUAUCUUUUUGCCGGGCCAUGAGUUGAAUGUAGAGGCAGAGCAUGGACUUGGGUCAAGUUUGACUUGUAAAAUAAUUAGGAAUUGAAUGGCUCCUACGUUCAAUUAUUUUAUUAUUAUUAUUAUUUUUUGUCCGAGCCAUUCAAUUCCUAAUUAUUUAGAUUUUUGAUCUAGUUAGCAUCCACAAUCAUGCUCUCUAUUUUUUUUUUUUGGUCAUAAAUGCCAUAACUCUUUUUUUAUUGGUCCAUCUCUAUUAAAAAAUAAAAUAAAAAAUAGUUAGCAUUAAAUAAAGGUUUGAAAUUCUCAUUAAAUAAAGCAGCAUUAAAUUAUAGGGAGCAACUAGGAGUCAUUUCUCUCUCCUCAAGUUUAGGAGCUCCUACAGGUCUCCCUAUUUUAGGAGGUAGAUAGGGAGCAUUGUUGGAGUUGUAUUUUUACAAUUUCUCCCUAAAAUUUGUCUAAGGAUGUGGUUUAGGGAGCCCAUUGUGGAUGCUCUCAUCUCAAGGAAAGAAAACCCCAAGUUUGCAAGUAAUUUUUCUACGUAUGUAUAUAUGAAAAACUGACAUUUAUGAAAAUAAUAAACCCAUAUUUUUAUGUAAGCCAACUUUCUAAAUUCAUGUACUGAUAUUUAUUAGGGAAAUAUUGGAGAAACUGAUUAUUUUGAAAAAUUAAAUGUGAAAAACUGAACAAAAUUUUGACGGGUUACAUAUGUCAACUCAUUCAGCAGCUUAGGUUGUGAAGACCUAAGCAACAACCCUAGUGCACUGUCGAUCACUUCAGUGUCUACCGAUUUUCCUUUCCAUAUUGUUAGAUUAUUCCCUGCUGUAACACUUGCAUUUAGAAAAUAAUAGUACAGCUCUUAUUAGCAACAGUUUUACACACUUGCAUGAAUCUCACUAUGUUAAAGCAAUCACAUAGCACACCUUUAUUGAAAACAAAGCUAGCCCUGAUCCACUCCUUUACAUACUUAAAAACAAAACAAAACGAAAAAAAGAUAGGGAGAAAAUGGCUACGGACUUACUGCCGACAAAAAGAGAUAAUAGCGAACACUGUUUGUAUGACAGUGAGUAUGAGAAGAGUAACCGCUGCAAAGAGAGAAAAAGCUGCCCAGGCCCAGGGUGAGUUGAAAUACUUUUGGCUCAAAUAUGCCAACCAUCUGUUCCUGCACUUCUUGCAGUACUUGUUUAGAUUGUCAGCAAGACCACCAAAAUAGAAAUUUUGCUGGUCCGGAGCAACCCCCUUGCAAAGUUGGUUAAUCAUAGUAGAAACCUUAUUGUUGUCACCUAGUGUGUUUACAACAAUUUCACUCUCAACAAGUAAAUCUACAUCCCUUUUGGUUUUUACAAAUUUAUCCAGGAGGAAAACAUAAUCGCUUAAGUAAUUGUCUGUGCAAUGGCAUUGUUCAAAGGCAAUGAGAUUUCUGAGUAUAAGCUCUGUGUCAUCACGUAUUUCUAGUUUUGGAAUUUUCAGAGUUCCAUUAUGGAACUGUAUCGCGAAUAAGUCGUUGCUUGACUCCAGACGACUUGAUUCCGGACGAAACUUAACUCUGGCCUGGUGUAGUUUUGUCACGCUGGGUAUACAUGGGAGUUCUCCAGCUUCUGAGGUACCGGUAUCCAAAUAUUGCACAUGUAAAGUUCUAAUAAAAUCAACAAAAUGUAAAGGUGGUUCAGUCCCCUCCACUUCGUCUUCCGACCUCUGUAAACCCACUACCUUUUUGAAGAAAUGGUAAGAGAGCUUAAUCAUUGAAGGCCUCUCAGUCUCAGAAUUCUUAACUCUGACUUUGCUUGCAUCGAAAAGAUCCUCAAGAAUGAAAAAUGGCAGCUAAUUUUCGGGCAAAAGCAUGUCGGGCACUAUAUUUGUUAACAUUUAUGGUUUUUUAAAUAUCCAGUCAUUAUAUCGUCUCGCAAUUCUUGGAAAUGGUACCUCAACAAUAGCUCAAUGACAAAGGCAGCAUCAACUAGAAUGAUACUUACAAACUUGUCGCUACUCUUGAAGUGCUGAGCGUUUCCAUAACGACCACGGAGUUCAUCUUCUUGGGCCUUUAUUUUCUCUGCAUAAUCCUUCAAGCUAACCUUAUUAUUCCGAUGAAGAAAAUUUUGUAGGUACCUCGGUUUGUACUCUUCCAUGGCUUCUAAUUCUUUGUUGUCAUGGUGAAUUGGGCCUAUUGAGACUACUUCCGGGGUGUAAGCGUUAUUUCUGCCCCGUAGUCACGAAGGAACCCUGUAGAUACAGCACUCAUCAGAGGGCCUAUUGAGACAAACUAUCCAACCGCCGCUUCAAAUCUGCUACUGGGGUUUUGUGGUUUUCUACGCCAUGUGGAGCUCCAUUGCUGCAUCCUUCCACUUCUAUUAUGUGUUGUUCUGAUUGUAAGUGAUGAGGGUUAUUGGCACCAGGGGCGGAUCUAGCCCUUUUUUGGCUAGGCAGCCACCCAGUCGAGAAUUUUCAUAAAAACAAAAUAGGUACGUAUUGUUGUAAAUGUAUGAGUUGGUGGAUGACCACCAUACCUCUUAGCAUUCACCUUUUCUAAUUCUAUGUAACUAUACACUAAAUGCCAUAGUUAUGGACUUGUAACUUAUGAGUUGUUAAUGUUUUCUUACGUGUAAGCCUAUAAAUAAGAGGGCUAUCUUGGCAUAUGUGUUCGUCACUAACUAUAUAAUUUAAGUUGUUUUCAGUGACUAAUUUAAAUAAUUGUCAGAAAAUUUGGUCAUUAAAAAUUAAAAAAUAAGGGUCAAUUAUUUUAGUGACCAUGAAGUAUUAUUAGUCAUUAAAUUCAUUGUAUUUGUGACCAUUAUUUAUGUGGAAUUGGUCACUACUGACCUUUUUUCUUGUAGUGUACAUUCUUGCCUUAAUACAGUUAGGCUUAUUUUUAUACUAAUUUCUCUAACAUAACUUUUGCACAUUCUUUUUAUAUUAUAAUAAAUAAUCUUACCCAGUUGAGUUAUAAACCAUUUUCUUUUAGCACGGAAAAUCGACAUUUUGACAGAGAGUUGAAAAGCACUCCCCAAUUUUAAUGUCAACCACUUGGAAAAAAAAAACAUAAAUUUAAUGACAACAAUUACAUUUAGCAAUGCAACCUAAAAACUCAACCUUUGCGCUCCUUUCACCACGCAGAUAGCAGGGUGAGGAUAUUCGAAUAAGAACGAAGACAGAAGCUAAAGGAAUUGCGAUAGCUAACCAUAGUCUGCAUUUCUUACCAUCUGAACAAUGCCACCAUUUUGUUUGGUAAGUAUUUAAUAACAUUUCUUGCUCUACAUAAAGUAAUAUUAAAGCGAAAUUUCCCUAAAUUUUUCUUACCAACAAUCCAUACCCAAGAAAAGGGGAGAUUCACUAUUAUACUCAAUAUAGGAGCCCAACUUAUUUAUAAUAAUUAUAAAAAAAAACCCUCUAUGAAAUGGACUUUAGAAACACACCUAAAACCUAUUUACAACAAAACAAAAAGACUUUUAACUUUUUUUAAAUUACAAAACUGUCAUUGAUUUCUUAAACAAACCCAACCCCAAAACCUCAUAAAAAAGCCCAAAUACUCAAUAAAGCAGCAAAGUAAUUUAAUAAUAAAAAUUAAAUUCAAUAGAGUCAGCUGUUAUUUUUUGGGUUAUUUUUUAUUUGUUUAUAGAAAUUAAAGAGUGCUGCUAAAAGAACCCUAACAUUAACUAAAUACACCAAAUGAUCUAAGUACACCCUAAUAUUUUAAUUAAAAUACAAAAUUAACUAAGUACACCUUAUUUAACUACCAAAAUUACCCGUGUUACACCCUAAUACACUCUAUCACUGUUCACCCGUUUAGUUUUUGCUCCUGUGAUGGAAGGGUAAAGUUCCCCACUGCCUUGGAAACCAUUGACUGGUCAACAAGUCAGCUUUCUUUGCUAUGUGAGCGUGCCACUGUUAGCAAUGAAAAUCCUAACAGACUUCUUAAAAUGGAUACUUGCGCCCAAGUUACUGAUUUCUAAACAGUGAUUGUGAUUUGGGUGAGGAAUAUCUCCAAGUAAGUUCUUUUCCUGCAUCAGGCUGGUGAAGACUUUAUAAUUUUCACAGUAUAAAUUGGUAGUUCUUGCCAGAAUAGAUGAUAUAAAGUGGACGGUUUUUAGGCAGAACUGCGUUUUACAAAAUUAAGAAGGAAAAAUCAACUCUAAAAAGACAAAAAGAUGGCUGGAAUCCCACUUCUGCCUGGGUAGAAACUUCAGAUCCGGGCUGGACCGAAUACAUUCAUGAUGGACUGAGCUGUUAACAACUUCAAUUGCUUAGCUUUAGCUGUAAAUCGAUACCAAAGUUCAAUUUUGGCAGAGCUUUAAUCUACUUCAAGCCUUGGAAGGCUUUUGAGCGGGCAGAACUGCCGUCUCUUCUGGCUAAAAGAGGCAGAAAUGGCUGAAUUUGAGGUUUACUGAGCUGGAACUGCACUGUUGUACCUGUUCUGCUUGGUCAGGGCUUUCCAUAAAUUUGUUGAGGUUUUCAUAUUUGUGAAAAACUCAAACUCUGCUUGUUUUGGCUUUUGCUGAACCAAAUUUGUAACGAGAGAAGUCUUGUUUUGAAUGACUUUUCUCUAAGUUUGAGCUUUUGAAAUUCUAGGAGAGAGAGAGAGAGAGAGCUUUUGAUUGCUCCAGUUUGUUUGAAGGUUCUCAAUGAUCAAGUGAUCAUUUUGAGUUUUUGCCUUUAGCUUAUUUUUGGUUGUUUGUUUGAUUAUCCUUUGCUCUAUUCACCUUCUCCUAUAUUUAUAAGAAAUGCUUUGAAGUAGGGUUUCUUUCUUUUAAUAAUGGGCGGCCAAAAUUCUCAAAAGGUCUUUCAUUUUUUUAAAUACGAAGAAAAAGGGGUUUUCUCAAUUUUGGCAAAUAAGUUCUCAACAGUCAAUUCCAUUGAAAGAGAACCUGACUUUUCUUUAAUUCCCAACUGCCCUUGUGAGAGCUCAAUCGUGAUGGUCAGUUUGCUUCUCCAUUUUGAACAACUUCCUGUUUCCUGUUUAUCUUUUUAGAAAAUACAAUCUGGGUAUCCCUUGAAAGAUGGUGCCUUUUUUGGAGUAGAAACAAUGUCUCUAAAUAUAAAAGGGUUUUUUUUUUAUCUUUUGGUGGCAAAGAUUUCAAAGACGUCCCUUCUUUUCGCCUGCCUCUGUCAACUUUUUAUCAACCCAGUUGAAAUUGUUGACUUUCCUAAAUCAAAAAAAGAGAUUCACGUGGGUCUGUUCCUUUUGGCUCCUUCCUCUCUUUUAAUCAUGCCUAACCUCUUUUGAUUUUACUGGAGCCAUGGGCUGAUUGCUUCUCUUUUCGAGGCCCAAGUUUAUUUGCAGAGCCCAAACUGCUUGGGCCCUGUGGUUUUGUCUUUGUUGUUUUUGGGCUUUUUAGGCUGGACGUGCCAAAAUUAGGCCCAAACAAUGUCCCCUAAGUUUGAAUCGUUUCUAGAACGGUUCGAGAUUUAAUGAUUUUGGCCAUUAAUUCGUGCGCGCCAACUUCUUUCGUUUAAUGCACGUCUGCCUACCACGAGCUAGACUUCAUGGGAAACUGUUUUGUUACUAGCUAGUUACUUAGCUAGUUAUUAUCAUAUGGCGUCUCGUCUUCCUCUUCCCACGAUUUCAAGCCCCUUUUUUAAGAAAUUCGAAACUCCAACUUCUGUUUAUUUCAAAAACUAGCUUCUUUUUAGACCUCGACAAUUCUUAGUUUUCCCCAGAAUUCUCACUUUUUCUUCGACCAGACUCUGCCUUUCUUAUCAUUUCCUUUCCUAGUUCAACACUUCUGAUCAUGUCUUCUCCCAAGACUCGUGCUCAAGGUUGGUCCUCCUCAGUUCCUCCUAAUUACAUCACUGGGACUGGGAUUGACAAUCACGCGAUAGAGGUUAGAAGCAAACUGAUAGGACCCGCCCCGAAUUUUCCAAAACCCAAGGCGAAUCCUGUGAAAUUUCCGACAUCACCCCGAUGCCGGGCCCACUUACUAAACACCGAGACUUUCUGCCGAAAUUUCGGCAGAGUCUCCCCUAUAAAUUGGACAUUUCCCAAAAUUUCAACCUGCAUAAAAACACAUUUAAUAUUCCCAACGGGCAGCAUGCACAAAAUAAUUUCAUCCAAUUCACAUAACGGCCUUCGGCCUUUCAAUAAUUUUCAACAAACUACCAAGCACACUAACAAAUCAAUUCAUGCCUCAAACAAGGCAACCAAUAAAUUCAAAUAUGCAUUAUGACUACCAAAUUUCGACAUGCAUCAUUUUGCUUUUCCAAUCUCAAUAGAUGAGGUUUUAACCUCCUAACACAAUCACAUCUAUGUUCGCGGCUGCACCUAAUAACCUUAGGCUGCCUACGUACCCUCACUGAGGGAUCAAGACACACGUAGUUCUUCCUUAAACCCAAUUCCACACAUAGGCAAUACCUUUAUUCAUUUCUCUGUAUUUCACAUAAUCUCCUCAUACGCCUGUACUACCAACGCCACGUAUGGGGUCUGUCAACACACUGGGUAACCUACGCCACGUGCGACCUCACCAUAUUAUCACAUAAUCUCCCCAUACGCCUGUACUACCAACGCCACGUAUGGGGCCUAUCGACACGUUGGAUAACCUAUGCCACGUGCGACCUCAACAUAAUAUCACAUAAUCUCCCCAUACGUCAAUACAACCAACGCCACGUAUGGGGUCUGUCUCAACGCCGGAUAACCUACGCCACGCGAGACCUGAACAUCAUAUCACAAUAGCUUGCCAUACGCUGGUACAACCAACGCCACAUAUGGGAUCUGUCGACACGCCGGAUAACCUACCCCACGUACGACCUCAAUAUAAUAUCACAUAAUCUCCCCAUACGCCGGUACAACCAACGCCACGUAUGGGGUCUGUGUUAAAGCCGGAUAACCUACGCCACGCGAGACCUGAACAUCAUAUCACAAUAUCUCUCCAUACUCCAGUACAACCAACGCCACGUAUGGGGUAUGUGGACACGCCGGAUAACCUACGCCACGUGCGACCUCGAUAUAUUGUCAGGUAAUCUCCCCAUAUGCCGGUACUAUCAAUGCCACGUAUGGGACCUGUCCGCAAGCCGGAUAACCUACGCCACGUGGGACCUAACUUUCACAGGGUGGUACUUGUAGUGUAACCAAAAUCCGGAAAGGUGCCUAGGGUAGUGCGUAUAGCACUUCAAACUGACAUUCUAGACUCUUUAUACCUUUACAAACAUAUAUAAACAUAUAUAAUUUAAUUCUAAUUGUGUAAACCUCAACAAUAGUCUAGCACCCAAUAAUCCCCCUAGGAAGGUGAGACUACUCCGAAAGACUCACGGUCGACCAAGGGUCAAACUACCCUAACAUUGGUCAAACAGGCCCACGGGGCCCACGACCUCCAAAUUCUGAUCCGAAAGUUCCUAUGAGUUCUCCGAGUUAUAGGACACUCGUCCUGCAAGUUUAGUCCAGAUCGGACGAUCAGAUCGCUCACGAUCGCACGAUCUGACGGUUAAUAUAAAACAUAAACUUUAAAUUAAUAAAUCAAAACAUCCGGCACUCCGAUUCACGAUCCGUGAAUUCCUACACGAUCCUAGAAAUACCUAGAUUAACAUAUAUUAAAUUCAAGACCAUCCAACGGUCCCAACCUAUCGAACCCAGAUAACGCGCAAUAGGCGGUAUCCGUUCGAUAUUUCCCUUUAAUAAUUUAAAUAAGGGAUUUAAUUUGGAGUCGGGGUGUUACAAUCUACCCUCCUUAUAAAAAUUUCAUCCUCGAAAUUUCAUACCUGCUAGAAGAGGAAUCUGCCAGAACUGACUUUAGGAAGAAGUUCCUGAGUGUCACUCUGCCAAGAGAUCUGCCCCACGGAGGUGGGAAGCCUCCAAACUAUCAUUUGGGAGCAGAAGUCUAUCAUCGCAACUUCUGUGCAAGGCAACUUGGCUGCCCCAGCUUAUUCCACUAAAAUCAUACAGAAGCUGCAAUCGGGCCACUUCCUUGAGAGAUGCGGAUGAUCUGGAAGUGCACAAAGAUGCUAGAUGUGCAGUAAACAAGAUAAAUAACAGCGCAGAUGCCCUCUAUCCAGCCUGGGAACUGAACUCCUGCAGUUCUGCCGAUUUUGACGCUUGGUGGAAAUCCAGGUUUCAUGGUCUGCCAGCCUCCAUUGCUGCACUCAAGGUGAUUUUUGAGGGCUGGGACUCCUGGACUGUCUACGCGGAGGUGGAUGCCAAGAACUUCAUGGUGCAGACCAUCAAAGACAUUAAUGCCCAGGGUAUAGAAGGUAACUUUCAAUUCUGUCUGUCUUGCCUAUUCUGUCUCUUAGUGAUGAUGCCUAACAGUUUUGUUCUGUAUAUAUCAGACCCUUAUUUGACAGAAAACAUAGGUGGACAGUCUGUCCAAGCUGGAGAUGUGAUUGGUAAGUUUUUCACUAUUCUGUUCCUUUCAUUAUUUUCUUGCUUGAUUGACUUCUGACUUUGUCUAUUUCUUGUGUAGUCAUUGCUGUCAUUGCUGCUGGGACUUGGAGCUUCCCUCUGGAGAUGAAGAGGAUCUAGCUGCUGAGGCUAUUCCUUUUGGCAGAACAUCCAGCUGCUGAGGCCAUUCUUUCUAGCAGAAGGAAGAGAAAGGAAAUUUCUUCUGCCCAGCACAGUGCUGCUCAGCCUGCGACUUCAGGUAAGUUCUGACAGUUUGAGCUUUUCGUAAUUCUAUUUUGUCCUAUUCUGCCUUAUGUUCUAAUGGUUUAUUGUCUGCUUAUUGUAGCUGAAAGUUCCUCUCCUCCUCCUACUAAGUCAAAAAGACUUAAAAAGAGGACUGUGGUGGAAUAUAUGGCCAUGGAGGAGUCUGCAGCAGUUCCCACCAACACUUCUGGGACGGAUGAAGAGCUGAGAGAGGCCUUCAAGACAGUGGAAUAGGAGAAAGAGCUAGAAGAAACAGAAGAAGAACCUCAAGAAAAGGCAAAAGAAAUGGAAGAAAAUGUGAGUAUUGUUUUCUGGCUAUGUCAGCUUUUCUUUUGUUUCUUCAUUUCCUCUGUUCUGACUUCUGUCUAUGUAUAGAAGGAAAUCCCCGCUGAAGUGAUUGCAUAGAGCAUUGCUUUGGCGCAGAGGCAGCAGGAGAAUCAAAGGGCAGAGCUGACCAGCUCGGAGUUGGCCCUUUUUGAAGACGCAGAGGCAGAACACUCAACUGUUGUUCCAGCAGCUGAGGAGCAGGUGGAGCAGUCUGCAUCAGAGCCUGUGGAGCGAGCAGAACUACCUGUUGCAGUCCCAGCACCUGGAGUGGAAGUGGCUGCUGUUGUUCCCGAAGUUGUGGUAAUUUUUAUUCUACUUCUGUCCACCUGUUUCCUGCAAUUCUGUUCUGUCUGUGCUUCCUUAUCUAUUAGUCUUUUCAGGUAGAAGUGCCUAGGCCUGCUGGGGUUUUGGCAGUGGUGACCAGCCCCUUGAAGCCUCUCAUCGUUGCUGUAAGUGUUAAUGCAUUCCUGGGCUUUUUCUUUUCUGUCUCUGCCUAGUUCCUACUCUUGUUCUUUUCUGCAUAUGCCUAUCCAUUCCCUUCCAAGUUCAUCUGCCACAGCUUCCUAUGCUGAUUCGGAGCUGGCAGAAUUUGAGGCUCUGGAUCUGAACGCCCAGCUAGACAAGCUGAACCCUAAACCCUUGAGAAACUCAGCUCCACUCCUUGCAAGGCAAAGUCCAAGGCAGUGGAGGAGGCUAUGGAGAGACUGAAGAUCUGGCAAUCAACUGAUCUGGAGCUGGAUAAGGACAGGGAAGCUGUUGACCAAUUGAUGAAGGAUCUGGACCUUCUGCACAGACAGAACAUGGCCCCCAAACCCAUACUUGAGAUGAGCCUUGGCUUGGGAAGAGAUGUGCUCAACCUCCACGACCGUUACGAGGAUCUCAAGCCCACCUUCAAGACCUCUGAGUUCUGCAAAGCCACCCAUAAAGCCAACUUGGCUGACUAUGCAAAGCAGAAGGCAGAACUGGACCAGAUGGUUGCAGGAUACAAGGAAGCCAAAGCCACUAUAGACAAGUUGGAGAAGCAGAUUGAAGAGCUUCAAAAACAAUUGGCAGAGUGCAGAGAGGUGCAGAGCAGGCUCGGGGCUAGACUGAGCUCUAAGACCAAGGCCACCUUCCUUGUGUAGAAUAUGGUUUCAGCUUCUAGGCCAGCUUUGGAAAUUGCAGAGGCUUCAAUCCACCAGGGGUGCUACUUCAGAAGGAACUCUCCAUUAAAAAGGCCAACUUGCAAGAAACCCUUAGGAAAUUAGGGUUUUAGAUUCUAGUUUUUUUUUAAAGAAAUGUAAUAAAUAAUUUAGCCAUAAAAAGUGGCUAUAUUUAAAUAAAAGUUCAUUUAUUUUUGUGGGAAUUCCAAAUUCUUUCGACAAAAAGAAAAGAGAGAAAAAGUAAUUUAAAGCAUACUUAACAAAUUACAACGAAAAUGAAAGUGAUCAGAAAUUCAAACAACAGUUUUAUCUUGCUGUCUCUCUAUUCCGGGAUCUGUCUGUACCGCCUGUGAAUCCCACAUAGUUGGAUAGAACUUUUUUAACCAUUUGUCAUUAAUUGGUGCAGUAUGGACAUCUCCAUCUCGAUCAUGUAAUCUGUAUGCCCCCAUUCCAAGGAUCUGAUUAAUUAUGAAAGGACCUUCCCAUGUAGGUGACCAUUUUCCAUAACCAUCUAUAUGCGUUCCAAGGGGCAGAACUGCUUUCUAGACUAUUUCCCCCUCUUCAAAACUCUUGUUCUUGACUCUUUUGUUGUAAGCCCUUGAUACAGCUUCCUUUCCUGCUAAGAGUUUGUUGAGGGUAUCGAUCCUGCUUGUAUCCAAUCCUUCCAGUUCUAGCAUCAUAGCUUGAGAGUAGUCUUCUCCAACCAAACUGUGUUGAUGAGCAAUUCUGAGGGAUUGGACUGCUAUCUCCAUAGGCAGAAUUGCAUCGUGGCCAUAGGUGGUCAUGCCAGUUGCUUCUCUUCUUGAAGUUCUAUAUGCCCACAGAGUUUCUGACAACUUCUCAUGCUACUAUUUUGGAUUUUUCUCAAGCAUUUUUCUGAUAAUGUUGAUGAUCACCUUGUUACUUGAUUCUGCCUGCCCAUUAGCUUGGGCAUAAUAAGGGGUGGAUUGAAGCAGUUUGAAUUUAAAUGCUCCUGCCAUUUCCAACAUUUCUCCAGAUAUGAAAGAAGAUCCCCUAUCAGUUGUGAUUGAUUCUGGAAUGCCAAACCUUUGUAUAAUCUGCUCUUCUAUGAAAGUGAUGAUUUCUUGAGAUGCUGUGGACUUAACAGGCUUGGCUUCCACCCAUUUGGUAAAAUAAUCUGUAGCUACAAUAAUAAAACAGUGUUGUUUGCUACUGGCUGGAUAAAUCUUACCAAUGAGAUCCAUUGCCCAUCCUCUGAAAGGCCAUAGUUUUACUACUAGAUUCAUGGGAACUGAAAGAGCCUGCUGGAUUAGCCGAGCCAUUUCCUUUUAUGCUACCGAUUUCUUUUAUGCUACUGAGCCGGGCAAAACCAAUAAAAUAAAGAAAGGCAACGAAUUUAUUAACCGAGUAUAAAGGAGAGAGAGGGAUUCGAACCCUCGAUAGUUCUUUGUUUCGAACUAUACCGGUUUUCAAGACCGGAGCUAUCAACAACUCGGCCAUCUCUCCGAAAUAAAAUUUAUAUUUUAUUCCACCUAAUAGAACAUGGACAUAUGAGUUGAUACGAUUACUAUCUAUAGAAAGAUAUCAGGUGUGAGUCUAUAGGUCUAUCUAUCUGUAUAUAUAUAUAUAAUAUAGAUGCAUGAUCCAGCAAGCAUGCCCCUGAAGUUGACUUACGCUCAAAUGUAGAAGAAUCAGCCAUGGCAAAUAGGUAGCUGAAUUGCAGCGGAAUAGAUGAGCAACGGUGUCACUCCCCCUCAUAUCCAACGAUGUAUAAGAGUCGAGAUUUGGAGAAAGCAAUACCGAAAAAUAAAGUUGCAGAACUCAAAUAAAGUUGCAUCUAUCUCCCCAUCAAAUCCGACACUGGUAAAGGGUCGAGAUUUGAAAGAGGAGAAAUUGAAAUAAUAGUAAAGAGACUCAAACAUGCAGUCUCAUGGCAGAAACAAAUGCAAGAGGGGAAGAUGGUAGCAUACGGUUGUCCCAUGAAGAAAAAACUUUAGAAAAGGAGAAUAGUAAGGGAGGAAACCCAGCAAAUCAUGAACAGAGACAAAGACAAAGAUAAGGUACUCAAACUGAGAAGCGGAAAGGCAACUCAAGAGAGCAACCGAAGAAGACAGAGGCCCGCAGAACAGUCAAAGGAAAGGCUCGGCGAGUGGUGACGAUGCUCGCGGAGGAAAGCAACGGCUCGGUGAGCAGUGACGAGGCUCACGGAGUAAAGAGACUUGUUAUGAAGUUUCAAAGAUAGAGAAGCUGAGACAUCAAGAAAGACCAUCUGGCAUACAAAGAUGAAAAAUAAAAUUUUUGGAACAGUAGCAAAGAAGCAUGUGAAGGCUAGGUGCGGUGAAAACACAUAUGAAAGGAUGAACAAAAGAAGAUGACUAUACAAGAUGAAGACCCAUGAUGGGUUAGAAAUGAGGAGUGCCAACGACUCUCAAUUUGGCAGAGGCUAUCACAGGUUAGGAACCUGGCUCUGAUACCAUGUCAAACAAAGUAGGGUAAAUAUUCAGUUAUGCUCAGAUAUGCUCAUAUUAUUAUUCUUCUCCAAUAUGGAGAUAUUUAUACAAGUACAAAGAUGUGUUAACCCUAAAUAAAAUAGAAAAUAUAUCUAAAUUACAAUUGGAAGUAAAUCUCUAUUACAAUAUGAGUAAAUAAUAAUUGAUAAGUAACCAAAAUUCUAAUGAAAUAAGGAACUAAAAUCCUAAGUAAGUAAGGACUCGCCAACGAAUAAUAGUACAACUCUUAUUAGCAACAGGUUACAAACUUCUUCUACAACACACCAACAUGAAUCUAGCCCUGAUCAAUUCUUUUACAUACUUGAAAACAAAACAAAACACGAAAAACAAAAAACAAGAAACAAGAUAGGGAGAAAAUGGCUACGGAGAGACUUACCGCUAAUACUUGAUCAAUAACAGAGAUAAUAGAGCACACUGUUUGUAUGACAAUGAGUAUCAGAAGAAUAAUAGCUGCAAAGAGAGAAAUAGCUGCCCAAGGUGUGUUGAAAUACUUUUGUCUCAAAUUUGCCUUCCGUCUGUUCGUGGUCUUCUUGCAGUACUCGUUUAGUUUGCCAGCAAGAUCACCAAAAUAGUAGUUUCCGUGGUUCGGAGCAACUUUACUGCAAAGCUUGUUAAUCAUAAUGGAAACCUUAUUGUUGUCACCUAGCGUGUUUACAACAAUUCCAUUGUCAACAAGCAACUCUACAUCCUUUGGGGUGUUUACAAAUUUAUCCAGGAUGAAAACAUAAUCGCUUAUGUAUUUAUCCACGCAAUUGCCUUGUUCAAAGGCAAUGAGAUUUCUAUGUGUAAGCUGUGUAAUCAUGUAUUUCAAUUUUUGGAAUUUCCAAGGUGUUUUUCUUGAACUGUAUAUCGAAUAAGUUCUUGCUUGAUCCCACGUUAAACUUAACUCCGGCCUGGUGUAGUUUUGUCAUGCUGGGUGUACUUUGGAGCCCUCCAUUUUUUUUUCUUUUGGCAGAUGUAAAGUUCUAAUAAAAUCAACAAAAUGUAAAGGUUUUUUAGGAUCAGGAGGCAUAAAAGACUUACGGAAGGCUGGUGAGUUCUCCAAGUUUUCUAAACGCAGUGCCUGUUGGAAGAACUUGUAAGAGAGUUCAAUUAUUGAAGGCUCCCCAGUCUGAGCACCUGUGAGAUUGUAAAGAUCCUUGAGAAUGAAAAAUGGCAGCUGAUUUACGAGCAUAAGCAUGUCAGGCAAUAUAUUUUGUAGCACCCAUGGUUUUUUAAAUAUCCAAGCAUUAUCAUCCUGCAAUUUUUCUUCCUGAAAUUUUUCUUCGGAUUUAUUCCUCAACAAUAGCUCAAUGACAAAGGCGGCAUCAACUAGACUGAUAUUCACAAAAGCAGCAAUGUUAAACUUCUUAGGGCUAGUUUGGCGUUGCUGUGUUUUAAAAAAAAAUAUGCUUCUGCUGUGCUGUGAAAAUAAUCAGCUGUGAAAAAAAGCUACUAAGCGUUUGGUAAACUGUUUUUGAAAAACUGUUGUGAGUAGUCAAAGUGUUUGGUAAAUUUUUAUCAGAAGUGUUUUUAGUGUGUAUAAUGACCAAAAAGGACAUGAUGAUGAAAUUGUUUGUUAUUUUCUUCAUUCUUUUUCUACUUUUUUUUUUAAAAAAAAAACCCAAUUUCACUACAUAAAUUUUUAUUCUUUUUUAAUUCACACCUUUUUAUCAAAAAAUUUAAUCUACAAUUAACAUACAUAUUUUACCAUAAAUUAUAAAUUACUAUUAUAACAAAAGUAAUUCUAAAUAUUGUUAUAUUAAUAUGGGCUUCGGACAUGACAAAAAUACAAAAAUUGUUCAAUUUUAAAAUGCCCCAAUAGAUCACUACAAUAUAAAAGAAGCUAAUUAGAUGCAUUCAUUAAACUUGUAGCGAUGCUAUUUCUUAAUGCAUUCAUUAGCUUCUUUUUUUGGUUUCCAAUGGUUCUCUAACAAUUUUAACUAAAAAAACAACCAUAAUGCUUUGUGAACAAUAAAUUCAAGUCCAAAUCUACUAAUGCCCACACCAUACAUAUAUACAUAAUUGUUUCUUUCAUAAAACUUGAAGAUUCAAUAGUAAUUACACAGUUUACCAAUCUUGAUUCCAACUAUAUCCAUAAAAUUAAACUAUAAUUAGAAACAGAGGAGCUACAUGUGAUUACUUAUAAAUGUUGCCCACUCUCAUCAUCAUCUUCUUCCUCCUCUGUACUUUGCCUUUCACAAAUGGACAAGACCAGAUGGUAACGUACACGACAUGGUCCACAUAUAGAUAAAUUUUGGGUUCACUGGAGAACAUAAAAGAGUUUUUACACGAAUACAAAGUUAGUUAAGUAGUGAAUAAGGUAAAACUAUUCUGUACAAUUCUAGCUGAUGCAGUCCAAAAAGAAUAUAUGUCUAAUAACUUAAAUAACAAUAAAGAGAAACAAAAACCUCAUGAAAAAUGCUAGAGUAAAAGUUACAUAACUGAAUCGAUGGACAGAGAACUCCACAGGCAGAGAAACAGCAACAAAAAUUGUCAAAACAGUAGCAAGACCAUGUUGGAGUCAAGGCCAAAGAUCAUAUUUCCUGUGUAUCUUCUUCCAUUCUGAAUUAUUCUCGUAUUCAAAUACUGUAACUCUAUUUCAAGUGCACCCCAAAAUACUUAUCUAAGGCCAGUACAUAGGACUUCAUAAAGGGUGCCAUAAAAAAUAUUGCCCCUUAAUUGAUAAACAGAACCAAGAUCCCAAUGGCACACCAAAACUAUACCAACCACACCUACAUAAUAUGGACAGAAAAUCCUGUUGUUCUGACCUCUAACCACACCAAUGACAUUCAUUAGGAAAAUACAAAAGAUGGGUACCCUGCAUUUCUAACAUUUAAGAUAAAAUUCACUGCCAGCUAAUCACAAAUUUGAAAAGAUGGCAAGAAAAUUGGCUAUGCUUUAACAAAAACCAGAGCAGUCCUUGCAUAGACCUGACUUUUUGCUCCAAGCUUUAGCAGAUCACUUACUGGUAGAGAGCAGAGAACAUGUAUGUGAAUAUCUGAAGUUGGAAGGGUAAGCCAUCACAAACACCAAGAGAUCUGAUUCUCAUCUCUUGUUACAACAACAAAUCACAAACACCAAUACAUCUGAUUCAGAAUCUCAUAAACAAUGGAGGAACAAACACAUAUUCACACACAUAUAAAUCCCUAAACCGAAAAAAAAAAAAAAAAAAAAAAAAAAAAAAAAAAAAAAAAACAUGAAAGUAAUAGGAGAAUCAAAUUGAUUUGGGCCAAAAUUGCCUAAAAAGAAAACACUCCUAAAUAAACUUCAAUUCACUUUUAAAAACAGUAAAACGUGAUUGAAUCGUUCUUUAAAACAAUUCCCUAAUAUACAUGCAUGAUAAUGACAUCAUUUACCCCUAAAUCAAAUGCCUUUCACUGGUUAAGCCACAAGUCUGUGUUUUGGGGAUUGCUGAGCUGCAUCAAUCCUGCCAAUGUCAAUUCUGCCCCUAGGCUCUCUCAAAGUGCAUUUACAACCUAUGCUAACAUAUACUAGAGUUUGUGCUAGUAUCUAGAAAAUGCCAACACUAAUUUCGUAACACGUAGAAAUUGUUACAUAUUGGAAGUUUUUAUCAUUUUUUCUUCCAGUCUCUCCACCACUCACUAAUACAGAUUACUCAUGUGAUGAGUUUACAAAACCUAUUUCUCUACUCCCACAAAGACCAUACUUUUUCUCAAAAGACUAUAUCACUUUAUCUCUAUCUUUGUGAAAUGUAAAAAGUUGAAACUUUAAUGUCAAAUCUCGACAAAAGAUGAACUUCCAUCAAUUACAUUGAAUUUGAAUUUGUUGAACUUAAGUGGUUUUACUUUCUCUGUCAGCGUUUGAUGACUUGAUUUGUUAUUUACUUCUUCUUUUUUCCUUGGAAAUGUGUUCCAUCAACGUGAGGAAGAAAAAUAUGCACAAAUUAAUAUAUUUAAUAGAAGCACAAAUUAAUAUUUACAAAAAUAUGCACAAAUCAAGUAAAAUUAAUAAAGCAUAAAUUGGAAAGGGAAAAUAUGUAGAGGAUGCAUUGUAGGAUUGCUCAUGCCAAUAAUUGUACCCUCUAAAUAUAUAGGGACAUAAUUUUUUUUGUUUUCAUGACAUGUGGUCCUCAAAUUAUUGUUCUUAGCGGACUCUCCACCCCUCUCGAUUGAAAGCCUAUUGUGUAAAUCUUCAAUCCUGAAUGAUCCACCUAAAACUCAUGUUGCAAUACACAUCCACCCAUUCUCAGGCCAAUUAUUACUCCUAGUGGGCUCUCCACCCCCUCUCAAAUUUAAGUGGUCCAUUAUUAUUAACCAUAUAUUUUAUGGACCAGCUAGCUGUGAGGUUUUAUCUCAAAAACCUUUCUCUCACAUGCCACAAUUUAUGUCUGAUACAUCACAUCAUGCCAGUUGUCUCAAAUGAAUUUAAGUGAGUGAGGCAGUGUUACUUCUGGGUACCCCUCAUCGUUCGUGUAUAAAAUGGUGAAGCCAGUUGCUACUGUUACCAUAAGAGCCAGCUCCGACUUUCAAAAUAAAAAUUCCAACAAUGAUCUUAGUGCCUUCAAACGCAUGAGUUACUGAACAUGCAAAUAAAUACACUAUGAAUAAUAAAAGUGUUUGAUAAAUCACCAAAUUAUGGAACACUUGAUGAUUUAUCUCAAAUAAAAAUUCCAAGGCUUAUUUUAUAGAAUUUUUCUUUAUUACAAGAAAGAAAACAUGUUGAAAACCAAAUCUCCAAUUUCCAAGGCUUGACAGAAAAUCAAAAAAAUAUCUUUCCUAUUCUAGAGAUUGGUCACAUGUAGUUCAGAAAAUCAAAAAAAUAUCUUUCCUAUUCUAGAGAUUGGUCACAUGUAGUUCAACCAAUAGGAAAUGAGAUAUUUAAGAAAGCAAGAUUUUGAUCAAUAUCAAUAUCAAAUGAAUUCUUAUACGCCUAGUCAACUAUUAAGGGUAUCUUGACUCUUUGAUAUUGUGAUAUGAUUGAAACAUGAUUUCCAUGUUAGAAAAUUAAGGGGAUGUUAAAACAUGAAAGUAAUAGGAGAAUCAAAUUGAUUUGGACUAAAAUUGCCUAAAAAGAAAACACUCCUAAAUAAACUUCAAUUCACUUUUAAAAAUCGUAAAACAUGAUUGAAUCGUUUUUUUAAAACAAUUCCCUAAUAUACAUGCAUGAUAAUGACAUCACUUACCCCUAAAUCAAAUUGUCACGCCCCGGACCUGGGGGUCAGUGGAAAUCCCGCGCCCGGUGCGUGAGAAAAUAAAAAGUAAAAUAAAAUAAAAAGAAAGCCGAAACAAGGGUUUAAAAUAAACUUCUCUUAUAAAAAUAACUCUAAAAUCUUAUAACUUUACAAGAAAUAAAUAAAGCUCUAUCAUUCUUAUCUAAUUCAGACUCAACUGGUUUAGUCCUUGUCUUGCCCACUAAUUCAUCUGAAAAAUUAAGAGUGUUGCUAAACGAACCCUAAAAUUAAUUGAGUACACCAUACUACCAAACAAUUUAUUGAAUUUGUCAAGGUUUUGUUUCUGGGAACUCACGAGCAACUUUCCAGUGGGUUACCCAUCCUAGGAUUGCUCUAGCCCACAACUCGCUUAACUUCGGAGUUCCUACGACUCCGAAGCCAGUGAGCUCCCAAAAGGCCUCGUGCUAGAUGGAUGCGGGUGUGCACAUAUAAGGCACAUCACCACCUCUCCGUUGAUUGAUGUGGGAUCUUACAAAAUUACUAAUUUAUUCUAAUAUAAAAUGAUCAAAAAAGAUAAAAUAAUAUUGGUAUCUAUUGCUUUGAAUCCAUGCCUUCAAACAAAUUGACUUAAUUUUUAACAAACAACACGGAGUCCAGGAGAAGUGUAUUGAUCCAAGUUGAUUUUUGUAUGCAUAAAACUUAAACAAUCAAUAACACAAAGCAGUUCAUGCUGAAAUAUUGGAAACCCACACCCAAAGAGUUCUCCGCUGCGAGGUUGAAGGCAGGAGAGAUGGGUGACAGAUUUUACUUCCACUGCGAAGUUGGAGGCUAGGAGAGUCUGUGACUGCCAUGGUUGAGGGAGAAGAUGCGUUCAAAAUGCCUAUUGAUAUUUUACAUUAUUUUCUAUACAAGUUAACAGUGUUUGUGUAUUGUUAAAGGUGGAGAGACGUGUCAAAAUUUUAGACAAAGGACAGGAGGAGAUAGGGAAUUUGGGGACAGCAGAUCUCAACUCCCUUGAGACCCUAUUCUCUACGCCACCCCUCCCCCUCAACAACCCUAGUCACCAUUUCUCCUUCAACUCCAACGGCAACUCAUUAAAACCCAAUUCUCAAAUGCAACAAUCUAAUCCCAAUCCCAAUUCAGAUGUUUCUAAAAAACCAAUGGUUGUCGUGGUGGAGAACUGCAAUUCCAGGUGGUGGUGGUACCACAUGGGAGAGAGAAAAAAGAAGAAGAAGAAGCAGCAGAGAGAGAGUUUUUUAUUAUAUUAUUAUUUUACUGUAAUUUUUUAAUUUAAAAAAUUAAAAAAAUUAAAAAUUAAAGAGGAUGUACCAUGGGUAUUUUUGGUAGUUAAAUAGGGUGUACUUAGUUAAUUUUCAAUUUAAUUUAAACAUUAGAGUGUACUCAGUUAAUUUUAGGGUUCAUUUAGCAGCACUCAAAAUUAAACAAGGUAAGGGAUGAGCAAGUAGGGACAUGAGACCUUGCCACAGUAGAUUGAUAUAACUAAAUAUUAUCAUAAACAUCGAAAUAUAUAAAUAUUAUUAUGAUAGGAUUCAUAAUAAUUAAUAUAAAAGUAUAACAACAAGAUUUACAUUUAUGUACCAAGAUAAUUACACAUAUAAAUAUAACCAAUAUAUAUUUUUAUAUAUUUUAAAAUACAAGUCUUUACGUAAAUGCCCUUCACGGGUCAAGCCACAAGUCUGUGUUUUGGGGAUUGCUUAGCUGCAUCAAUCCUGCCAAUGUCAAUUUUGCCCCUGGGCUCUCUCAAAGUACGUUUAAAACCUAUGCUAACAUAUACUAGAGUUUAUGCUGUAUCUAGAAAAUGCCAACACUAAUUUCGUAACACGUAGAAAUUGUUAGAGAUUGGAAGUUUUUAUCAUUUUUUCUUCCAGUCUCUCCACCACUUAUUAAUACAGAUUACUCAUGUGAUGAGUUUACAAAACCUAUUUCUCUACUCUAGCAAAGACUAUACUUCUUCUCAAAAGACUAGAUCACUUUACCUCUAUCUCUGUGAAAUGUAAAAAGUUGAAACUUUAAUGUCAAACCUCGACAAAGUGUUCUACUUUACAAACUUCUUGUGUCUACCAAUUUCUACUAAAAUUAAUUUCUCUACGGUGCUCAGAUUCAUCAUAUGUGUGUCCUUAAUUUUAGUGGAAAUUGGAAGUUUCCAUAAUUUUUGCUUUAAGUCACUCUUCUGAAGGAAGUUGAGGUUCCACUCCAUAAUCCAAAAUGUCAGGUUGACUUAUGGCAAACAAUGUAAAUAUGUAGGAGUACUAUGACCUUUUAUAGCAUUUUUAGUUUGAAUUUGGGUUUUAUACAUAGAUUUCGAAAUUAAUAGGUUGAUGCCUAGGAAAUAGAAAUUGUAAGGGCCUAUAUUAGACUAGCCCUCUUAAAAAAUAUAUUAAUUAAUGAAUAUUUGUUCUUCUUGUUGUUUUGAAGUAGUGGUGGGAGGCAUACCAACAAAAAAAAAAAUAUAGUGAAGGCUUAUAAGAGCAUUUACAAUCAUGCUCCCUAUUUUUUAGUUAAAAUUUAGCUAAAAAUAGAAAAAAGUUAUUAUAGGAGCUCUUUAUAAAAUUUGAACUCCAAUCAUACUCCCUAGUUUAGGGAGUCAAAAAUACUAUAGUUAUUUUUUAAUUCAAUUUGAUUUUGGUUAAUCUCUAUAAAUAAAUAAAAAUAUGAAAAAAUAGUUAACAUUAAUUAAAAGUUUAAACUAUGCAUAAAACAAAGAAACAUUAAAUUAUAGGGAGCCACUAUGAGUCGUUACUCUCUCCUCAGAUUUAGGAGCUCCUAGAGGUCUCCCUAUUUUAUGAGGUGGAUAAGGAGCAUGGUUGGAGUUGUAUUUCUUCAAUUUCCUCCCUAAAAUUUGUCUAAGGAUGUGGUUUAGGGAACCCAUUGUGAAUGCUCUAACUCUGGUAAAACACGAGUGACAUGGACAACAUAUGUUACGUCGUACAGAAGAUUUUUGGGUUUCUUUAAUUGGUUAAGUAGCAUCCACAAUGAGCUUCCUAAAUCAUCUCCUUAGACAAAUUUUAGGGAGGAAUUGGAAAAGUACAAUUCCAACUAUGCUCCCUAUCCACCAACUAAAAUAGGGAGACCUCUAAGAGCUCCUAAAUCUGAUGAGAGGGAAAGGACUCUUAAUGACUCCUUAUAAUUUAAUGUUGCUUUACUUUAUGCAUAUUUUGAACUUUUAAUUAAAUCAAAUUAUUAUUUUUAUAUUAUUUUGUAUACAGACGGGUUAAUUAUAUUAAAUUAAAAAAUAAUUAAAAUAUUAAUGACUCUCUAAACUAGGAAGCAUAAUUGUAGAUCAUCUUAUAUACCUUAAUUUGAAGAUUCUUUAUUUGGGUUUCUUUCAAGACUUAUCACCUUAGCCACACCACCUACACGUCUGCAAGCUUCCGUAAUCUAACAAGGAAGGGGAGGCUGCGCAAUACUUAUCACCUUAGCCACACCACCUACACCACAAGACCAAUAUGUGUAGUCCAGCAGGCUUUCCAAUUUUAAUAUAUAUUAUAAAAUAAAAUAAAAAUCAAUCUAUUAUCAUAUAUAUUAUAAAAUAAAGAUUAUUGCUCCAUCCUCCAUGCACUUGCAUGCCCUCUUACAAAGUGUGAAGUAGAUUUUGUGUGCUCCAAGUCAUUGACGAGAGCUGUAACAUGGUUAGCUGGAUUUAUAAGAUCUUUUCUUUUCUGGGAAUUUUCUGAAUUAAGAAAAAUCAAGUAAAAUUAAUAAAGCAUAAAUUAGAAAGGGAAAAUAUCUAGAGGAUGCAUUGUAGGAUUGCACAUGCCAAUAAUUGUAUCCUCUAAAUAUAUAGCGACACAUUUUUUUUGUUUUCAUGACUUGUGGUCCUAAAAUUAUUGUUCCUAGCGGGCUUUUCACCCUCUCUCGAUUGAAAAUCAAUUGUGUAAAUCUUCAAUCUUGAAUGAUGCACCUAAAACUCAAGUGUCCCAGGCCAAUUAUUGCUCUCAUACCACUUGUUGUAAUAAACAUUCACCCAUUCUAAAGGAAAGAUAACCAUCGAUAUUAUCUGAAAUUUAACCACUUAAGUUCAUUAUGAUUAACUAUGUAUCUUAUGGACCAAUCCAAUCGUAAGGUUUUAUACUCAAUUAGAUCGACCAAUACAAAGUUCACACUGGAUUAAAAAGGGCUAUCGGUAGGGGAGUGUUCGGCACCCUUUACUGUGGAGCGCAACACAAGACCCCUUGCAUGCCCUCACUAAGUUGAGCCCAACUAUUUUUGAGCAUUAACAAUAUAUAUAGAUUGAAAAAAUAAAAUAAAAAUCAAUCUAUUAUCAUAUAUAUUAUAAAAUACAUAUUAUUGCUCCAUCCUCCAUACACUUGCAUGCCCUCUUACAAAGUGUGAAGUAGAUUUUUUGUGCUCCAACUCAUUGACUAGGGCUGAAACAUGGUUAGUUGGAUUUAUAAGAUCUUUUGUUUUUUGGGAAUUUUCUGAAGCACGGAAAAUCAAAUAAAAUUAAUAAAGCAGAAACUGUACCCUUUAAUUAUAUAUGGACAUAUGUUUUUUUGUUUUCAAGUCUUAGAUGACAUGGGGACCCCUCUCAAAUUUAAGUGGUCCAUUAUUGUUAACCACAUAUUUUAUGGACCAUCCAGCUUCGGUACAUUUCUCCCACAUGCCACAAUUGUAUAUUCACAAUUACGUCUGAUACAUCACAUCAUGCCACUUGCCUCACAUGCCACAAUUGUAUAUUCACAAUUACUUCUGGGUACCCCUCAUCAGUCGUCUAUAAAAUGGUGAAGCCAGUUGCUACUGUUACCAUAAGAGCCAGCUCCGACUUUCUUUAAUUUCUUGCUACAUCUGUUGCUAAGUUAAUUUCAGUCCUAAUGGGGUUUCAUCUCCCACUCAUCUUUGCUAUUCUCAGUGUAAGCUCUGCAAUUUGAUUAACUUUUCCAUUCUCUCUCAUUGUACUCUAUAUAUAUAAAUGAAAGUUUUGUGUUCCUAUAAUUCUCUCCGAUUUUAUUUAGUACGUACUUAAGUGUCGUCCACUAAUUAAUUACACUUUGUGAGAUUUGAUUUUAAUUAGAGUUCGAAUUAAUGUUGCAGCUAGCAGCGGUUGCACUGGCAAACAAUGCUGCUCAACCAGCACCUCAACUUUACUGGAACUCCGUCCUGCCAAACACACAGAUGCCAAGAUCUAUCAGUGAACUUCUGCAUCCUGGUUUGUGUUCAGCUCUUUAUAAUCUUAGAUAUCUCUUCUACCUGCCAUUUUACUAAACUAUGUUCGACCACAUAUUUAUCAGUUAACUACUGUCAUUACAAGAAUGACACUUAUUUUCCAAUAUAAUUUGCAGACUCCACAAAUGAAGAAAAGAGCAAACCUGAAAUUUUCCCAUUGCAGGGCAAUAGAGUUUACACUCAAAGCCAUUAUAAAAAACGUCCUCCUCCUCCAUCUGACGAGGGCAAACCUGAAAAUUUCCCAUUGCAGGGCAAUAGAGUUUACACUCAAAGCCAUUAUAAAAAACGUCCUCCUCCUCCAUCUGACGAGGGCAAACCUGAAAAUUUCCCAUUGGCCAAUAGCUUUUACACUCAAACCCAUUAUAAAAAACGUCCUCCUCCUCCAUCUGACGAGGGCAAACCUGAAAAUUUCCCAUUGGCCAAUAGCUUUUACACUCAAAGCCAUUAUAAAAAACGUCCUCCUCCUCCAUCUGACGAGGGCAAACCUGAAAAUUUCCCAUUGGGCAAUAGCCAUUACACUCAAAGCCAUUAUAAAAAACGUCCUCCUCCUCCAUCUGACGAGGGCAAACCUGAAAAUAUCCCAUUGGCACGUUCAGGUUACCAACGAAAAAAUUAUGGAGCAAGUCCUCCUCCAUCUGACAGUCAACUAAAGCAUUAUAAAGACUUAGCUAUUUUCUUCUUCGAGAAGGACAUGCGCCCGGGCACAACUAUGAAGUUCCAAUUCCCUAGAAAUUCAAACACGGCUACUUUCCUGCCACGCGAAAGUGCUCAAUCGAUCCCCUUCUCCUCUAAGAAACUACCAGAAAUUUUCAACCAUUUUUCAGUGAAGCCAACAUCUGAGGAAGCCAAAACAAUUAAGCAAACAAUCGAAGAGUGUGAAGCUCCAGGCCUUAAGGGAGAGGAAAAAUAUUGCGCCACAUCUUUAGAAUCAAUGGUUGAUUUUAGCACUUCGAAGCUUGGAACAAGAAACGUUGAAGCAAUCUCAACGCAGGUAUUGGAAGAAGGAGCCACCAAGUACAUGCACAACUAUACAACAAUCCCGGGACUGAAGAAGUUGGUAGGUGACAAAGUCGUUGUGUGUCAUAAGGAGAACUAUCCCUAUGCUGUGUUUCUCUGCCAUGCAAUAAAACAAACAGAAGCUUAUGUUCUCUCCCUGAAAGCCGAUGAUGGGAUGAAGGUGAAAGCAGUAACCAUCUGCCAUCUAGACACAUCAGAAUGGGACCCAGAGCAUUUGUCCUUCCAAAUCCUCAACGUUAAGCCCGGAACCACUCCCAUCUGCCAUUUCCUUUCCACUGAUGCUAUUGCCUGGGUUCCAAAACACAAAUCUGCAUGAUCAUCACUUAGCACUGUACGUAUAAUAAGCUUGGUCGGGUUGCACCCUAGGCCUGCAUAAUUAUCUCCCUACUUAUUUCUGCCUCUUCAUCAUGCGGUGUAAGAUAUAUGAUGAGAUGAAGUUUUCUCUUGUAACUAUGUAGACUACUUCAACUUGUACUCAUAAUAAAGCACGCUGUUGGGGGGUUCUACUUAAUUUCGUUCUCUCCAAUGUUUGAGUGUUGAAUUGUUACGUUGGAAUAGGCUGCUAAUGCAUGUAGUUAGAGAAGCCUUCAUUUAUAUCAAAGUCCUCAAACUAUCAAGAAUUAAUGUAUCCAGAAACAUAUACCAAGACGCAAAACAACAUAUUUUCCAUUCUCUGUCUGUAACACCAAGGCAAACUUCCUUUAUCACAUCAUUUAAAGGAUCAAAUUCCAGUACUAAUCUAAUCCAUCAUGUAAAGCAUACAAGUGCCUACCUAAAUUUGUCCAUUGGAUAUAUAUGUCACUUUUUAUUUUUUGAUAGAGAUAUAAAUGUUGAGAAAAUUAGAGUACACAACUCCAAUAUAGACUUGUUGGAGACAAAACAAGUAAACAAAUUACUUGUAUUAGACUCACAAAAUAUUACAACAAGACAACUCUCAAAGAAAAGACAAACUCUCACACUUCUCACAAGGACUACUUAACUUUAUAGCUUAUUGCAUAUAGCAUAUGCAAACACAAUUAGAACAUACCUACGUACACUAUGGGAACACUCGUGUAUAUUUGAACACAAGAAAACAUGUGCGCACCGUGCACGGUUCACAUGAAGUAAGAAAUGAAGAGGAAAUAAAGAAGAAGAAUACAAAAGAAAAUGGAGAUGAGAAAAAAAAAACACGAAUAAUGAAAAAUGAAUUGACAAUUAUAUAUGGUUGACAUUAGAUCUAAUAUUAUAUGUAAUAACUAAUGAUCUAAAAUAAACAUUAAAUCAAACAAUAAUUAAAAGAUUUGACAAUAUAAAAAUUUACACGUCAGCAAACUCACCAUGGUAAGUUUGCUGACGUGUAAAAAUUGUGAAUGGACUACAUCGAAAAAUAAUUGGCUUACAUCAAAAAUUAAAAUCACGUGGGUUAUUCCUAAGAAACCUUAAUAUUUUUAGGUUUAUAUAUUUUUUGUAUUUAAAAAAAAAAAAAAAAAGAGAAAUCUGACCAUGUAUGUAUGAUGAUGAUAUGCAUGUUAUUUUUAGACCUAAGGUAAAACAGACAAACUUUUUACUCCAUUUUUCAUGAGGUUUAUCACAAUAAUUAAACUGUUAUAUCCUCCAUUUUAGAUCUCAUGCUUCCAUUUAAAGAAAAGAAUAUCAACAACAAAAAAAGAAUAAAGUUACAACAUUGAUCAAUUCAAAUGUCCAACUACCGGAUCAUGAGCCCUUGCACUUAGCGAUAUGCAGAUAAAUGCGUAGUGUCUUAAUGCAGAAGCUCGGGAUCCCCAAUUACCAUUGAAACAUAAGAAACUAAAAUCUGCAAGAAAAUGCUAUCAAUUGAAAAAACAAUAAUUAAAAAACAAAAAAAGGAAGGGAAUUCGCACCCGCUAUGCAAAAAAGAGCAAGUCGGUUCAAUGAUUUUUUUCUUCUUCUUUUUGUUAUGGAAAUGAAAAGCUCAAUGAUGGGCUAUAUAUAGGAAGAAGCUCAAUGAUUGAAUUAUUAUCUUCUAUCUACAUUCUACCCUCUUCCUCGCUACAUACACAAAUGGUGCACACCAGUAACUAAGCUUGUUUUGGGUUUGGUGGCCCACUGUAAAAGCUCAAUGGAGAUGGUUUGAGGUAGAAUUUUCUCCUAUUUCAAUAGGACAAUGAUGAGAUCUAUGUAACAACAAAUUUCUUUAAUAAUGAUAACUAAAAAAAGUGUGAUUCAUUGAAUAUUUGCGGGGUUUUGUUCUAAGUCAACACCUCAAAUUCCUUUUACACCAUCAAAUUCAAAAAGUUUUAUUCAACCAUCUCGACCUUAUGCUAAAAAUUUAUUUUGUUCAUACUUAACGUACUAGGUAUUUAUUUUAUACCAACGAGUACGAUGGUCCAUAUAAGUAUUCUAAUCAUUCACUCCAGUUGCAGGCCCCAAUAAUUUAGAAGGGCCGAAGGUCUUUCUUUUUUUCUUUUUUCUUUUUUGAGAAAUUCUAUGAUUGCAUUCAUAAUUCAGGCAAAAAAGUCACUAGCCACAAAAGGGCCAGUACAACAACGGAGCGGUCUAAUAUCAAAAUUAAGACAAUCUAGUGUGUCUCCACUAACGAUCAGGCGAGCCGAUGGUCUUUCAUUGGAUGAAAGCUUCUAUCUACCGACCCCACUAUAUGAACUAUGCAAUGGUGAUGAUGUUACAUUGCAAAAAAUAAAAAGUCAAGGUUUCUUAUUAAUGUUAAUGAAGGCAUAGCAAAAAAUUUAUAGCUCCAAUGGUUCAAAGCAGUUACCCAUGCACUUGAGAUUCUGUGUUUGAAUGCCCUCUCCCCUAAUAUUGCUUGUAUAAAAAUAAAAACUUCUAAAAAGACAUUAAUAUUGUAUUCUAUAUUCUAUAAAGUGUUGGACAUGUCUUAUAUUGUUGACAACCCCCUAACACUUUGGUGGUGCCUAGUUAUAUUCAAUUCGUAUGUAUUUAAUUUGCCACUUACAUUCUUUCCUUAAUACAUUUAGGCUUAUUUUUAUACUAAUUUCUCUAACAUAACUUUUGCACAUUCUUUUAGUCUCUAAUAUAUAUAUUUUCUAAUAAAUAAUCAAGAUCUAAUAAAUAAUCUUACUCACUUGAGUUAUAAACUAUUUUCUUUUAGCACAGAAAAUCGACAUUUUGACAGAGAGUUGAAAACGACUCCCCAAUUUUAAUGUCAACCACUUGAAAAAAAAAACAUAAAUUUAAUGAAAACAAUUACAUUUAGCAAUGCAACCUAAAAACUCAACCUUUGCGCCCCUUUCACAACGUAGAUAGCAAGGUGAGGAUAUUCGGAUAAGAACCAAGACAGAAGCCAAAGGAACUGCGAUAGCCAACCAGAGUCUCCAUUUCUUACCAUUUGAACAACGCCACCAUUUUGUUUGGUAAGUAUUUAAUAACAUUUCUUGCUCUACAUAAAGUAAUAUUAAAACGGAAUUUGCCUAAAUUUUUCUUACCAGCAAUCCAUAUGGACAAAAAUAAAAUAAAAUAAAUAAAUUUACAAUUAUACUCAAUAUAGGAGCCCAAAUUAUUUAUAAUUAAAAAAACUUAUAUGAAAUGGACUUUAGAAACACACUUAAAACCUAUUUACAACAAAACAAAAAAACGUUUAACUUCUUUUAAAUUACAAAACUAUCAUUGAUUUCUUAAACAAACCCAACCCAAAAACUUCAUUAAAAAAAAAAAGCUCAAAAUAUUAGACUCACAAAAUAUUACAACAAGACAACUCUCAAAAAAAAGACAAACUCUCACACUUCUCACAAGGACUACUUAACUUUAUAGCUUAUUGCAUAUAGCAUAUGCAAACACAAUUAGAACAUACCUACGUACACUAUGGGAACACUCGUGUAUAUUUGAACACAAGAAAACAUGUGCACCGUGCACGGUUCACAUGAAGUAAGAAAUGAAGAGGAAAUAAAGAAGAAGAAUACAAAAGAAAAUGGAGAUGAGGAAAAAAAAAACACGAAUAAAUGAAAAAUGAAUUGACAAUUAUAUGUGGUUGACAUUAGAUCUAAUAUUAUAUGUAACAACUAUUGAUCUAAAAUAAACAUUAAAUCAAACAAUAAUUAAAAGAUUUGACAAUAUAAAAAUUUAUUGAGGACAAAAAAAGGCAAAAACUUAUGAAAAAUGGAAACAAUAAAUAUGAACUGAGUCAUCAACUCACCAUGGUAAGUUUGCUGACGUAUAAAAAUAGUCAAUGGACUACAUCGAAAAGUAAUUGGCUUACAUCAAAAAUUAAAAUCACGUGGUCUACCUACUAUAUAGGAUGAAAAAAUUAGGUGAACAAUAUACUUACACCAUGGGAACACUCCUAUAUAUUUGAACACAUGAACACGUGUUCAAGGUUAUAUAUUUCAUUACCUUCACAAUAGGUACCAAACCGUACCAUGCGAACAUUCAUAUACGCACAACAUACUUAUAACAUACCUACACUAUGGGAACACUCGUGUAUAUUUGAAAACAAGAAGACCUGUGCACCACCGUGCACGGUUCACAUGAAGUAAGAAGAUGAAGAGGAAAUAAAGAAGAAGAAUACAAAAGAAAAUGGAGAUGAGAAGAAGAAAAAAAAACACGAAUAAUGAAAAAUGAAUUGACAAUUAUAUAUGGUUGACAUUAGAUCUAAUAUUAUAUGUAACAACUAAUGAUCUAAAAUAAACAUUAAAUUAAACAAUAAUUAAAAGAUUUGACAAUAUAAAAAUUUACACGUCAGCAAACCCACCAUGGUAAGUUUGCUGACGUGUAAAAAUAGUCAAUGGACUAUAUCGAAAAAUAAUUGGCUUACAUCAAAAAUUAAAAUCACGUGGGUUAUUCCUAAGAAACCUUAAUAUUUUUGGGUUUAUAUAUUUUUUGUAUUUUUUUUUUAAAAAAAGAAAAGAAAUCUGACCAUGUAUGUAUGAUGAUUGUUGGUAAAUUUUAACAACAAUAUUAAAACCUUGCAAGUGCACAAAUCAAAUGAUAGUAUAGUAAGCAAGCAAGGGUCGAUCCCACAGAGAUUGUGAUCUAAAGAGAUGUUUAUCAAUGUCACGCAAUGAAAAUCAAAACAAAGGACUUCCAAACACAAGCCAACACCAAGGGGGGUUUUGAUUUGUUUUUGUGAAUCAAACAAAAUAAGGAAAAGGAAACAAAAGAGAAUUUAAAUUAGAGUUUAAGAGAAAUUGGUUUAAAAACAAUCAAGAACAAUAGCUAGGACUUACUAUCCACCUCCAAACAAUCAAUCAAUCCAUAAACAACAAUAGAUAAUCAAUUUCUAGCAAGCAUAUGAUGACGACACUCACAACAAGAUCAUGGCAUUUGACUCGAGUUGUAUGAUUCUCUCUUAAGUGUAUGUAAAGUGUAUGGCAUUUACAUCAAUACGUGUAUUCUUAAUUAAAAUCUAGUAUGACAUUUACUCAAAUUAACAAUCAAGAAUCCAUUAAGAUCAAAGAGAAUAUGAGUGUCACAAAAACCCUAAAACAUGACAUUUGUUAUUAGGAAUUCAAGAAUCGAUUUCUCAUAACUAGUUCUUAACCCAAUUAUUCGUUGCAAACAAGAACACAUUCAAUAUGGCAAUUGACCUAUGUUCUACAACAAUUUAAUUCCAAUACAUGCUUCUAAGUUAGCUACUCAAAGAAACAAAAUACCAGAAUUCACAUAACAUAGAGAAACCGAAAUCAUCACGCUUGUAGAAACUAAAAAUCCAUUAAACUUGUUUAUAAAAUUGAAAUCAUGUCUAGGGCUUCAAGAUUAAGCCCUAACUAACAAGAAAUUAGUUACUCAUGGUCUUGGAUGAACUCAAAAAUAAAUACAUAAGAACUGAAAAUUAAAAGAAGGAAGGAAAAGAAAGAACUCGUUCGCAGCUUUCUCCUCUUGCGCAGUUGACCUCUUUAGGACGUGAAUCCUUUUUAUCAGGCCUUGGCUCGUCUUUUAUAUCACUUAUAUCAGAGUUCUAAACCCUAAAAUUGACUGAAAAGUCGUCCAAGAAGUCUUGAUAAACAAGGAAUCCAAAUAGGAAAGUAAAAAUCACAAUUCCUAACUCCACUGGGAUAUACAGCUCAGCCCAAUGUUCACACGAUUUGGGGAUCUUCGACCUUGUAGAAAAAUUAUUAAAAAUAUAUUUUAGAAAGAUAAAUGUCUUAUCUUUCCAACAUAUAUAGCACGUAACUUGAAAAAUUUGGAAAGGCUUCCGUUUCUUCACAUUCACGUAACAUGUACGAAACUGUCCUGUCUGCACGUGGGCUAACUUUACUUGUAAUACUGUACCAAUUGGCUCGGUAGAAAAUUCUAGAAAAAUAAUAGAUUGAACUUCAAGAUGUUAGCUUUCAUCUCCAAUUGGUCUUGUGCUAAAAUUCCUCCGAAAAGUUGAUUUUCCCUUAAAAACCUUCUAAGAGCGCAGAAAAGCUGAAAAUCAGAAGAAUAAAGUAAUAAGCCCUUUUUAAAUCUAAUUCUCUUACAAAACCAAAGUAAAAAGAGUACAUAAAUGAGUAUAUUUAUGGACUUAUCAAUGAUGAUAUGCAUGUUAUUUUUAGACCUAAGGUAAAACAGACAAACUUUUUACUCCAUUUUUCAUGAGGUUUAUCACAAUAAUUAAACUGUUAUGUCCUCCAUUUUAGAUCUCAUGCUUCCAUUUAAAGAAAAGAAUAUCAACAACAAAAAAAAUAAUAAAGUUACAACAUUGAUCAAUUCAAAUGUCCAACUACCAGAUCAUGAGGCCCUACACUUAUAGACUACGCAUUUUCUCGUAUUUUGCAAAAUUUAGACCAUUAUAAUAAUCUAACCCCUUCAAAUGUGAAACAUCAUCAAGUUUUUUUUCCUUCACUAAACAGAAGAGUUAAGUUUUAUUUGUGGGUAACUAAACUCUUGUUUAGAGCAUGUUUUUUAUUAUUUUUUUCUUUCUUCUGUGUAAAGUAUAAUGGGUUAGAUUAUUAAUUGUGGGUGACUAAAAUCUUGUUUAACAACAAUAGUUAACGUUUGUUUAGAGAAGAAAAAAAACUUGAUGAUGUGCCAUGUUCUAAAGGAUUAGAUUAUUAUAAUGGCCUAGAUUUAGCGAUAUGCAAAUAAAUGCGUAGUGUCUUAAUGCAGAGGCUCGGGAUCCCCUACUACCAUUGAAACAUAAGAAACUCAAAUCUUCACGAAAAUGCUAUCAAUUGAAAAAACAAUAAUUAAAAAACAAAAAAAGGAAGGGAAUUUGCACCUGCUAUGCAAAAAAGAGCAAGUCGGUUCAAUGAUUUUUUUUCUUCUUCUUUUUGUUAUGGAAAUGAAAAGCUCAAUGAUAGGCUAUAUAUAGGAAGAAAAAAAUGGUGCACACCAGUAACUAAGCUUGUUUUGCGUUUGGUGGCCCACUGUAAAAGCUCAAUGGAUGUAACACCCCGACUCCAAAUUAAAUUCCCUAUCUAAAUUAUUUAAUUUAAUUAAAUAUGGAAUUUCCAAUUUACCCUUGGGGUAGGGGUAUUUUGGUAAUUCUCUUAUCCAGAGAGAUUUUGGAGCAACAAGUGGUAUUUUUAGGUAGAUCAUACUUAGACGAGUCCGUAGAUACGUAGUGGGCUCGAUUCGGAGUUGUAAUGAAGAAGUUACGAUCAAAACAAGUUUUUUUUUUUUUUUUUGGAGAAAUUCUAUAUGAUUGCAUUCAUAAUUCAGCCAAAAAAGCCACUAGCCACAAAUGGUCAAUACAAACUAGCAACAAAAGGGCCAUUACAAUAACGGAGCGGUCUAAUAUCAAAAUUAAGAAAAUCAGGUAUGUCUCCACUAACGAUCAGGCAAGAUCGAAGAAACUCUGGCAUAGGCAUCCCAACUAAGAUUGCAAACUUAGAAUAAUAAAAAAGAGAUAAAGCUUGAAAAAACCAAGCCAUAACAAUACAAAUAAAACUCUCACCAAGGAUAGAUGAAAAGCUGUCACAAAGGAGAAAUGAAAAACUCUCACAAAAGGAGAGGUGAAAACUACACAGACAACCCAAAGAGUCUCUGCAACUUAUUCCAAACAUAAAGAAAAUGCAAAAAAGAUGGUGGUGGAGAUCCGACGCCGAAAUGCAGGUGAAGAUCCAACGUUGAGCCGCAGCCGCCUAUAAUGGUUGGAUGAAAAUCCUAACAAAACUAAGAAAAUAGGGACAACCAUUUAUCUUUGAAAAUGGGGGAAGAGGUGAAAGGAGGAAGAAAGGAAGAGAAGAGGGGAGAGGAGGGAAGAACAAUGGCUUUCUCCCCCUUCAAAGUGGAAAAGGCUCUAAGAGUGUUUUUUGGGAGAAAGGGGGCACGAUCAAAACAAGUUUAAUAGCACAAUCAUAAUUAUUUCGAAGUUGGUUUUUAAUAAAUCAGAAAACACACACACACACACACACACACACACACACACUCUCUCUCUCUCUCUCUCUCUCUCUCUCUCUCUCUCUCUCUCUCUCUCCCGUGCGAUUCUUCCUCCCUCGUCAAACAGCAGCGGUGGUUUUUUCCACCGCCACUGCCACACGCCACCAUACGAGGUGGCACCGGUCCCAAAAGGACACCCAGCUCAUCCUCUUCCAACCCCAGCCAAGCCACGCCGCCAGCAGCAACGAGAUUUGCUGGAAACCGCAGAAAAUCCUGCCGGUUUUUCCUAAACUUCAAACCUCUCGUUCUCUCUCAUUUCUCCACCGAUUUGGAUGUAUAGGGUAUGGAUUUCCACCUAUUUUUCAUGAUCUAGCUGAUGGUAAGGUAGGAUUUCAUUAAUUUUGAGCUUAGGUUAGUUGAUUCUCUAUUUGAAAUUCUGCCGGUUUUGGGAUCGCGUUUUCGGCCAUUUCCGGUCACUUUUUGGGGUAGGCCCAAGAACAAAAGUAACUCCAAAUGGGGUUUUACACCUAGGGUAGGAGUCUGGGCCUGAUAUUUUGAGGUUUUUUCGGCAAGUGUUAUCGCUUUAGACACCCACGCACUGCCCGUGCGUGGGCACUGUAGCAAAGGUGCAUUUUUACCCCAAUGUGUUCCCCUACUUGUCACGAGUUCGUGGGUGUGCUCGGAUUCCAAUUCGUAUAUCGUUUGACUAUCGAACAGAUUUACGCCUAUUGUGUGUCAUCCGGGUUCAAUUUGUUCGGACCGUUGGAUCGAGUUCAAAUUAAUAUAUGUUGAUCUAGGCACUCCUAGGAUCGUGUAGGAAUUCACGGAUCGUGAAUCGAAGCCCCGGAUGUUCCUAUUCAAUAACUUAAAAUUUGUGUUAAACGAUAACCGUCCGAUCGUGCAAUCGCGAGCGAUCCGACUGCUCGAUCGAGACCAAACUCUUGGGAUGUGUUUAGGAAACUCUGUUGGACCUUUAGGAACUUUUGGAUUGUAAUUGGGAGGUUGUGGGCCCCGUGGGCCAGGUUGAUUAUCGGUUGACUAAUUUGACUAGUGGGACCGGAUAGUUGACCACGAGUCUUUGGAGAACAUUUUGUCUCUUGUUAAGUACUAAGAUGGCCUUAGGGUUUUACAAGGACGUGCACCCCCUGUGAGUCCUGAGAGUUAGGAUUUUGAAUUAAAGUUCAGUGUUGGAUUUGAGUAUUCAGUUAAUCUUGGUAUUCUCUCAAAUAGGUUCUUUGGCGCUAGGAAUCGUUCUUGACAAAACCGCGGAGGGUUGAAUGCGCUUUGGACCGUGUGUGAGUAGACAUUUAUUUUCUAAAUGGUUUUAUGAAACUCUUGGAUUGUGAUUAUAAUUUGUGUUGUUUUAUGGAUUUGAUGAUUUAUGGUUAUUAGUUUUCUAAUAGAAUAUUAUGCAUAUUCGAAUUUAGUUUGAAAACUAUUUUGAAAGAAUUAUAAAUGGUUUGAAUCAAAUAAUGAAAUUGGGGUUUUAUCUCGGUUUUAAAGAGAAUUUUGAUUAAUUAAUUAAUUAUAAUGCAUACUUGGAACUUUAUUUGGUUUUGAAAGAUUUGUGUUUUAUUUGAGAUAACUAAGAAGGGAUUUGAGAAACAGUGUGGUAAAUAGGGAUUUGUGGAAAAAAGAAAAGAAAAAAAAAAGGGCUUUUAUGAUUAAGUGUUGGAAUUGGAUUUCAAACCCACCCUAGAAACCUAUCCCUGGUUGCCUACAAAAUGUAUGAGAUGCCUUGGGAAUAAAUGAGUUGCCUCGGAAAAGAUAAAAAUGGUUGCCUUUGGAAAAAGUGUAAUAAGUUUCCUUCGGAAAUUAUGGUUGCCUUCGGUUAAGUCUGUGCACAUAACUAAGAUUGUCUAUACCUACAUAGAGACUACUCUGUAGGUAUCCGGCCAGAGUAUAUUGUCUGUACCUGUGUUGACUAUGCAGGUGUCCGGCCAGUGAUUUGCCUGUACCUACAUAGAGAUUACUUUGUAGGUGUCCGGCCAGUAUUUUGCCUGUACCUGCUUAUGUGGUUGUUCGGCCAGGAUUUUCCCACUACACCUAUCUGAUUGUCUAUAUAGGUGGUUGAUGUAACACCCAGACUCCAAAUUUAACUCUUAUUUAAAUUAUUUAAUUAUUUAAGGGGAAUUACAAAUUUACCCUUGAGAUAAGGGCAUUUUGGUUAUAUUCUUAACCGGAGAGAGUUUGGGGUAGGUCCAAGAACAAAAGUGGCUCCAAAUAGGGUGUUAUACCUAGGGUAGGAGUUUGGAGCCGUGGUUUUGAGAUUUUCCGGCGAAGCUUUAUCGCUUUGGGCACCCACGCGCUGCCGGUGAGUGCGGCGGCGCAUGGGCACUGUAGAAAAAGUGGCAUUGUGUCUCGAUGAGAUCCUUAGGUUGUCACGAGUGCGUAGGAUUUCGCGGAUCUCAAUUUGGACGUCGUUUGACUAUCGAACGAAUAUCGCCUAUUGUGCGUUAUCCGGGUUCGAUAGGUUGGGACCGUUGGAUGGUCCCAAAUUUAAUACAUGUUAAUCUAGGUAUUUCUAGGAUCGUGUAGGAAUUCACGGAUUGUGAAUCGGAGCCCUGGAUGUUCCAAAUAAGAAUUUUAAGUUUAUAUUUUAUAUUAACCGUCAGAUCGUGCGAUCGUGAGCGAUCCGACCGUCAGAUCGUGCGAUCGUGAGUGAUCCGACCGUCCGAUAUGAACCAAACUUGCAGGACGAGUGUCCUAUACCUUGUAAAACCCAUAGGGACUUUCGGAUCGGAAAUUGGAGGUCGUGGGCUCCGCAGGUCCGUUUGACCAGGGUUAAGGUAGUUUGACCCUUGGUUGACUGUGAGUCUCCCGGAGUAAAUCUCACCUACUUUUCAUGCUCUAGCUGCCUGUUGGGUAAGAUUGGAUCGAUUCUUAGCGUAGCCAAUUCGAUUUUCGAAUUGAAAUUCGGCCGAUUUUGGGAUCGCGAUUCCGGCCACUUCCGGUCAGUUUUUGGGAAAUGUCCAAUUUAUAGAGGAGACUCUGCCAAAAUUUCGGCAGGAAGUCUCGGUCUUUAGUAAGUGGGCCUGGCAUCGGGAUGAUGUCGGGAAUUCCAAAGGGUUUGCCUCGGGUUCUGAAAAAUUCGGGGCGGGUCCUUUCAGUUGAUCAGUUUUCCCCUAUUCUCGGUUACCUCAGUAUAUUGUCUGUACUUGUAUCACAAAUGCGAGUGUCCGGCCAGUGAUUUUUUCCCAGGAUGUUCCCCUGCCACCCUGCCGAUUUAUUACACAGGGUAGGCCAGUUAUUUUCCCCAUAGGUGUACUUGCAUGGAGAGAUUUCGUAUAACUUGGUUUGAGAUUGGAUUUUUGGAUGAUUUGUGUUUGAGCUUGCUUGAUUUAUUGGAUUCAAAUGAUGUUUUGAAACUGGAUUUUUAUGAAAUUAUAUUUUGAGUUGUAUUGGAUUUAAAUGUUAUUUGAAGUACAAAUUUGGGUCAAUGAUAUUUUAUUUACUAGAGUUUAUUUUACUUGCACAUGUAUUGAUUAUAUUUUGUUCCUGUAUAUAUACUUAUGUGUAUUAAUGAGUUUUCCAAAGGUUUGCAAAAACAGAGGGGUUAGUAUGUUCUGUAUAAUUACUUUCAAGAAAAACUUUCUUUUUGUCUACUCAUGCUUUUACUGUUUUGUGCCCCCAUGAAGUAGAUAGCUCAGCGUUCGGACAUCUACAUAAGCUACUCCGACGUCGGUGAAGUCCUUAUAAUUCUAAGUAUGAGACUUCAUCUUUCGUUCUCAUGGUUCAUUUGGAAAAUAAUUUUGUAAAUUCAACUUCUGUAGUUGCUCUGAUAUUUCCCACUUAGGAUUGAAAUUGAGGCCGGAGGCCAUGUGAAUUUUAUGUGUGCCUUAACUUGUGUGUGCUGCCUGUUGAGAUUAUUAGAUUGUCGGUAAUUGCAGGUGUUAAUUUGGAGAAAGUCCAUUUUAGAGAGGAGACUUUACCGAAAAUUUCGGUAGAAGUCUCGACCCUUUUAUCUUAAAAGUUUGGGUGAAAGGUGUAAAUUUAGUAGUGGGUCCGGCAUCUCUUAGGUGUCGGUCAGAUAGCAGGAUUCGACACGAGUUCCAAUGGGAAAUUCGGGUCGGGUCCUGUUAAUGGAGAUGGUUUGAGGUAGAAUUUUCUCCUAUUUCAAUUGGACAAUGAUGAGCUCUAUGUAACAACAAAUUUCUUUAAUAAUGAUAACUAAAAAAAGUGUGAUUCAUUGAAUAUUUGAGGGGUUUUGUUCUAAGUUAACACAUCAAAUUCCUUUUACACCAUCAAAUUCAAAAAAUUUAUUCAACCAUCUCGACCUUAUGCUAAAAAUUUAUUUUGUUCAAACGUAACGUACUAGGUAUUUAUUUUAUAUCAACGAGUACGAUGGUCCAUAUAAGUAUUCUAAUCAUUCACUCCAGUUGCAGGCCCUAAUAAUUUAGAAGGGCUGAUGGUCUUUUUUUUUUUUUUUUUUUUUGGUUGAGAAAUUCUAUGAUUGCAUUCAUAAUUCAGCCAAAAAAGUCACUAGCCAAAAAAGGUUGUUACAAUAACAGAGCGGUCUAAUAUCAAAAUUAAGACAAUCUGGUAUGCCUCCACUAACAAUCAAGCGGGCCAAUGAUCUUUCAUUUGAUGAAAGCUUCUAUCUACCGACCCCGCUAUAUGAACUAUGCAAUGGUGAUGGUGUUACAUUGCUAAAAACAAAAAGUCAAGGUUUCUUAUUAAUGUUAAUGAAGGCAUAGCAAAAAAUUUGUAGCUCCAAUAGUUCAGAGCAGUUACCCAUGCACUUGAAAUUCUGUGUUUGAAUGCCCUCUCCCCUAAUAUUGCUUGUAUAAAAAUAAAAACUUCUAAAAAGACAUUAAUAUUGUAUUCUAUAUUCUAUAAAGUGUUGGACAUGUUUUACAUUGUUGACAACCCCUUAACAUUUUGGUGGUGCCUAGUUAUAUUCAAUUCGUAUGUAUUUAAUUUGCCACUUACAUUCUUUCCUUAAUACAUUUAGGCUUAUUUUUAUACUAAUUUCUCUAACAUAACUUUUGCACAUUCUUUUAGUCUCUAAUAUAUAUAUUUUUUAAUAAAUAAUCUUACCCACUUGAGUUAUAAACUAUUUUCUUUUAGCACAGAAAAUUGACAUUUUGACAAAGAGUUGAAAACCACUCCCCAAUUUUAAUGUCAACCACUUGAAAAAAAAAACAUAAAUUUAAUGAAAACAAUUACAUUUAGCAAUGCAACCUAAAAACUCAACCUUUGCCCCCCUUUCGCAACCCAGAUAGCAGGGUGAGGAUAUUCGGAUAAGAACCAAGACAGAAGCCAAAGGAACUGCGAUAGCCAACCAGAGGCUCCAUUUCUUACCAUCUGAACAACGCCACCAUUUUGUUUGGUAAGUAUUUAAUAACAUUUCUUGCUCUACAUAAAGUAAUAUUAAAACGAAAUUUGCCUAAAUUUUUCUUACCAGCAAUCCAUAUGGAAAAAGAAAAAAAGAAAAAAGAAAAAUACAAUUAUACUCAAUAUAGGAGCCCAAAUUAUUUAUAGUUAAAAAAUCCCUAUAUGAAAUGAACUUUAGAAACACACUCAAAACCUAUUUACAACAAAACAAAAAGACUUUUAACUUCUUUUAAAUUACAAAACUAUCAUUGAUUUCUUAAACAAACCCAACCCCAAAACCUCAUAAAUAAAAAAAGCUCAAAAUACUCAAUAAAACAUCAAAGUAAUUUAAUAAUUAAAAUUAAAUUCAAUAGGGACAUCUGUUAUUUUUUGGGUUUUUUUGUUUGUUUAUAGAAAUUAAAUGAUGUAGAAUCUAUCUAUAUUAUUAGUGCUAAGAAUGGAUAUGUGACUAUAUAACUCAAAAAAAAUUUAUAGUAAAUCUACAAUUUUUUUUUAAACAAAAAUCUAUAGAAUCUUUUAUUAGAUCAAUAAUCAAUAGUCACUACUAGAAAAUCUUCAUAUAAGCCACUAAUACACCCGUAACUUAUACAAAUGUGAGCUACUGACAAACCUGUAGCCAAAGAGUAUUGGCCACCUACCACACGACAGUGGUCCAAGCAUAAUGUUGUCAUUCAUUAUUCCCCACAGCAACCAGCAUCCAAUAAAGGGCUGGGCCCCACCCAUAUUCCACCUCUCUUUGUGAAUAUAAAAGAAAUAUUUUUUAUUCAACAUGGACGCAGAAACUGUUGCUAAACUGCAAACUUCUUAAAAUAUUUGUCUCACUUUCUAGAUCCAUGUACUGAGAUUUAUUAGGGAAAUAUUGUAGAAACUGAUUAUUUUGAAAUAUUAAAUGUGAAAAACUGAACAAAAAUUUGAUGGAUUACAUAUUUCAACUCAUUUCAGCAGCUUAGAUUUUGAAGACCUCUGAAGAGGCUAUGCAAUGAGCCUGGCUAUAGUACACUGUUGAUCACUUCAGUGUCUACCGAUCUGUAAUUUUUCCAGAUUGGUUAUAUUUUCCUUUACAUAUGUAUGCUUAUAUUAUUCCCAGCUGUAAGUGUUUUAGCAACAGGGUUACAAACUUCUUCUACAACACACCAACAUGAAUCUAGCCCUGAUCCACUCUUCACAUACUUGAAAACAAAACAAAACACGAAAAACAAAAAACAAGAUAGGGAGAAAAUGGCCUUGAUCAAUAACAGAGAUAAUAGAGUACACUGUUUAGGGUGAGUAUCAGAAGAAUAAUAGCCGCAAAGAGAGAAAUAGCUGCCCAAGGUGUGUUGAAAUACUUUUGUCUCAAAUUUGCCUUCCAUCUGUUCGUGGUCUUCUUGCAGUACUCGUUUAGUUUGCCAGCAAGAUCACCAAAAUAGUAGUUUUCGGAGCAACUUUACUGCAAAGCUUGUUAAUCAUAAUGGAAACCUGAUUGUUGUCACCUAGCGUGUUUACAACAAUUCCAUUGUCAACAAGCAACUCUACAUCCUUUGGGGUGUUUACAAAUUUAUCCAGGAUGAAAACAUAAUCGCUUAUGUAUUUAUCCACGCAAUGGCAUUGUUCAAAGGCAAUGAGAUUUCUAUGUGUAAGCUCUGUGUAAUCAUGUAUUUCAAUUUUUGGAAUUUCCAAGGUGUUUUUCUUGAACUGUAUAUCGAAUAAGUUCUUGCUUGAUCCCACGUUAAACUUAACUCCGGCCUGGUGUAGUUUUGUCAUGCUGGGUGUACUUUGGAGCCCUACAUUUUCUUUUAGGGUCGGAUCUGGCAGAUGUAAAGGUUUUUUAGGAUCAGGUGGCAUAAAAGACUUACGGAAGGCUGGUGAGUUCUCCAAGUUUUUUCUAAACGGAAGAACCUGUAAGAGAGUUCAAUUAUUGAAGGCUCCCCAGUCUGAGCAGCUGUGAGAUUGUAAAGAUCCUCGAGAAUGAAAAAUGGCAGCUGAUUUUCGAGCAUAAGCAUGUCAGGCAAUAUAUUUUGUGGCACCCAUGGUUUUUUAAAUAUCCAAGCAUUAUCAUCCUGCAAUUUUUCUUCCUGAAAUUUUUCUUCGGAUUUAUUCCUCAACAAUAGCUCAAUGACAAAGGCGGCGUCAACUAGAAUGAUAUUCACAAAAGCAGCAAUGUUAAAACUUCUUAGUGUCUUCAUAACAAUGACGGAGAUCACCUUCUCUCUCCUUUAUUUUCUCUAAAUAAUCCUUCAAUCCUACUACUUUAGUCCGAUUAAGAAAGCAUUUUAGGUACCUGAGUUUGUGAUCUUCCAUGGCUUCUAAGUUUUUGCUGGCAUGGUGAAGUGGGUCUAUUGAGACUACUUGUGGUGUGUAGGCCUUUUGUUUUACGUUCCGUAGUCGCUCAGGCACCCUGUAGAUCCAGCAGGCAGGGGACAGGGCACGCAAGUUUGUCAACCGAUUUUCCAUGGAAGUUGCUUGGUUUUCUAUGUCAAAAGAAGCUUCAUUGCUGCUUUCUUCCACUUUCUUCAUCCCCGUAUGUGUUGUUCUGAUUGUAAGUGACGAGGAUGGUGAUGAUUCUAGACACCAUAAUCAACAAAUGUUUCAAUCAUAAUUGACAUUUCAAGAUGCUCCGACAAAAAAUUAGAAAACAUUCAUCACACAAUGCGAACUCAUACAAUAGAUGGGUUGAGAAGAUCCACACAUUGCAAUCAUACAAUCCAAUUGCACAGGGAUUAGUCCCUAUUCUCCUCUCUCUCUCUCUCUCUCUCUCUCUCUCUCUCUCUCUCUCUCUCUCUCAAAAAGAUUUUCAUAUCGAUAACAUCUUAUUGCAAGGGACUGGUACAUCAAGUAGUGAAGAACAGAAAUUCAUAUUCUUUCAAUCAAAAUGUAUAAAUUUUGAAAAAGUUUGUUUUAUUUUUGGGGGAAAAAAAUCUGAACAUAUAUGUAUGUGCAUAUUAUACGUAGAUCUAAGGUGAAAACAGACCAGAUUUUUACUCCAUUUUUCAUGAGGUUUAAGUUCAUGAUGUAUAUAUUUAUCUCAAGUGUAACAUCUCACAUCGAUCAACGGAGAUGAGGUGAUGUGUCUUAUAUGUACAUGCUCGCCUCCAUCUAGCACAAGGCCUUUUGGGAGAUCACUGGCUUCGGAGUCAUAGGAACUCCGAAGUUAAGCGAGUUGGGGUUAGAGCAAUCCCAUAAUGGGUGACUCACUGGGAAGUUGCUCUUGAGUUCCCAAAAACAAAACUGUGAGGACAGAGAGGGGGGCCCAAAGCGGCCAAUAUUAUUCUACGGCAGAGCCGAUCCUGGGAUGUGACAAUUUGGUAUUAGAGCCACACUGCCGUGUGGUGCGAGUGUGCCGAAGAGGACGUUGGGCCCUUGAGGGGGGUGGAUUGUAACAUCUCACAUCGACCAACAGCGAGGGAGUGAUGUGCCUUAUAUGUACAUGCCCGCCUUCAUCUAGCACGAGGCCUUUUAGGAGCUCACUCACUUCGGAGCCAUAGGACCACCAUCCCAAGUUCAAUAUACAACCCAACAACCAUCUUAGCCAUCUUCUCAUUGAUCUUCCACCCAGCAUCCAACACUAUCUUCAUAAACUCUUUAGCUUAAUAUCUCUGUUGCUUUUGUUUUUUGUUUUUUUUAAUUUAAAUUUUUUAGUUUUUUUUUUUGGUUGGUGCAGAUUCAAUGAUAAAGAACAUCGAACUCGUCGCAACAUCCUGCCCUAGAUCCGAACUCUACCACCAUCACAACCCUCCCUCUCUCGAUCUCCAACCAACCUUAACACCCAACUUCAAAUCUUGGUUGUUUGAAACUCAGCCCCCUUCUCAAACCCCACCCUCUCUCUCUCUCUCUCUCUCUCUCUCUCUCAAAAUCAACAAGAUUUUCAUGUCAAUAAGAUAAGAUCUCAUUGCAAGUGACUUGUAGAUGAAGUGGGAAAGAACAAAAAGUCAUAUUCUUCCAAUCAAAACGUAUCAAGUCUAACAAAAUUUCUAGUUAGUUUGCUUUAUGAUAGUUGUUUUUUGAAGGGGUCCUUAGAUCCAAUCUCAAAAAGUUUGACUUUUAUUAUGUUUAACUCUGGUUUUUGCAAAUUUUUUUUUUUAUCUCUACCCACUAACUUUUAUCUCUCAUUUUUAUUACCCAUUUUACCCUUUAAAAUAAAUAUGGUAAUAAACUAAAAAUUCUGAUUCAAUGCAUGUUCAUAAGAGAAUUAAGGCCCCGUUUGGGAUUGCUUUUUUUCGUCAAAAACUUGUUUCACUUUAAAGUUAAGCAGUUUAAGGUGUUUGGUAAAAAUAAAAUAUCCUGAUUAUUUUAAAAGCAGUGGCCUUUUGACAGCUGCUUUUAAAAGCAGGUUCUGGGUUGCUUUUCAAAGCUGCUUUCAAAAGAAGCAAAGAUGAACUUUUAAUGAAUGUUUUUUAAUUCCCAAAAUACAAUCAUUCAUUUUAAAAAAUGACACCACCUCCACUUCCACAUCCAACUCCACCACUUGCACCACCACAUUCACUACCUCCACAACCACCGCCAUUACCACCACCACCACAUCCUUCUCCUCCUCAUCCUCCGCCACCACCACCAGAAGCAGAUCCAGAAAUUUUUCAGGAGAGGGGCAAUAAUGAUUUUGAUACUGCCCAAUUAAAAACAUAUUAUGAAAACCAGACCCUUAGUUAAUUUAAAGAUUAAUUAGCACGAUAAAAUAAAUACAUAAUUAAUAAUAAAAAUAUAUUAUCACAGUGAAAGAUUAGAUCAACAAACAAGUAGUAUCAAUCAAAUCCUAAUUAAACAAAAACUCUAAUAUCAAAGUGUGAUUUGAGAUCAUUGUGCAAGGACUCUUCUUCGUUGUUGUUUUUUAUUAUUUAAUUUUUUUGACAGAUGGGCUUCUUCAAAUUGGGAGCAUUGAGGUAAGCCUUUUGGUAUUACAUUAUUAUUAUUAUUAUAAUGAAAUAUUUAUUAUAACAACCAAGUAAUUGAAGCCAAACAAUGAAUCUUGAAACGGUUUGCACAAAAAACGAAGAGUUUGAAUUUUUGAAAAACACUUCAUUUAAACCAUUAAACAUAGAUCAAGGACGACGCCGUUUGUGACAAAUAAAAAUAGGGUUGUCUUCUUCAUUCGUGAACCAGAGCCUCCAUCAGGACACACCUCUACAACUCCUCCUCUACAACACAGUGUGUGCCUCAAUCGUGUAACUUGCCAUUUGCGAUUCAGGAGGCCUUAGAUCGUCGCACUCACGAGAUGCGCCUUGAUACACUUUUAAACGCUAGANNNNNNNNNNNNNNNNNNNNNNNNNNNNNNNNNNNNNNNNNNNNNNNNNNNNNNNNNNNNNNNNNNNNNNNNNNNNNNNNNNNNNNNNNNNNNNNNNNNNNNNNNNNNNNNNNNNNNNNNNNNNNNNNNNNNNNNNNNNNNNNNNNNNNNNNNNNNNNNNNNNNNNNNNNNNNNNNNNNNNNNNNNNNNNNNNNNNNNNNNNNNNNNNNNNNNNNNNNNNNNNNNNNNNNNNNNNNNNNNNNNNNNNNNNNNNNNNNNNNNNNNNNNNNNNNNNNNNNNNNNNNNNNNNNNNNNNNNNNNNNNNNNNNNNNNNNNNNNNNNNNNNNNNNNNNNNNNNNNNNNNNNNNNNNNNNNNNNNNNNNNNNNNNNNNNNNNNNNNNNNNNNNNNNNNNNNNNNNNNNNNNNNNNNNNNNNNNNNNNNNNNNNNNNNNNNNNNNNNNNNNNNNNNNNNNNNNNNNNNNNNNNNNNNNNNNNNNNNNNNNNNNNNNNNNNNNNNNNNNNNNNNNNNNNNNNNNNNNNNNNNNNNNNNNNNNNNNNNNNNNNNNNNNNNNNNNNNNNNNNNNNNNNNNNNNNNNNNNNNNNNNNNNNNNNNNNNNNNNNNNNNNNNNNNNNNNNNNNNNNNNNNNNNNNNNNNNNNNNNNNNNNNNNNNNNNNNNNNNNNNNNNNNNNNNNNNNNNNNNNNNNNNNNNNNNNNNNNNNNNNNNNNNNNNNNNNNNNNNNNNNNNNNNNNNNNNNNNNNNNNNNNNNNNNNNNNNNNNNNNNNNNNNNNNNNNNNNNNNNNNNNNNNNNNNNNNNNNNNNNNNNNNNNNNNNNNNNNNNNNNNNNNNNNNNNNNNNNNNNNNNNNNNNNNNNNNNNNNNNNNNNNNNNNNNNNNNNNNNNNNNNNNNNNNNNNNNNNNNNNNNNNNNNNNNNNNNNNNNNNNNNNNNNNNNNNNNNNNNNNNNNNNNNNNNNNNNNNNNNNNNNNNNNNNNNNNNNNNNNNNNNNNNNNNNNNNNNNNNNNNNNNNNNNNNNNNNNNNNNNNNNNNNNNNNNNNNNNNNNNNNNNNNNNNNNNNNNNNNNNNNNNNNNNNNNNNNNNNNNNNNNNNNNNNNNNNNNNNNNNNNNNNNNNNNNNNNNNNNNNNNNNNNNNNNNNNNNNNNNNNNNNNNNNNNNNNNNNNNNNNNNNNNNNNNNNNNNNNNNNNNNNNNNNNNNNNNNNNNNNNNNNNNNNNNNNNNNNNNNNNNNNNNNNNNNNNNNNNNNNNNNNNNNNNNNNNNNNNNNNNNNNNNNNNNNNNNNNNNNNNNNNNNNNNNNNNNNNNNNNNNNNNNNNNNNNNNNNNNNNNNNNNNNNNNNNNNNNNNNNNNNNNNNNNNNNNNNNNNNNNNNNNNNNNNNNNNNNNNNNNNNNNNNNNNNNNNNNNNNNNNNNNNNNNNNNNNNNNNNNNNNNNNNNNNNNNNNNNNNNNNNNNNNNNNNNNNNNNNNNNNNNNNNNNNNNNNNNNNNNNNNNNNNNNNNNNNNNNNNNNNNNNNNNNNNNNNNNNNNNNNNNNNNNNNNNNNNNNNNNNNNNNNNNNNNNNNNNNNNNNNNNNNNNNNNNNNNNNNNNNNNNNNNNNNNNNNNNNNNNNNNNNNNNNNNNNNNNNNNNNNNNNNNNNNNNNNNNNNNNNNNNNNNNNNNNNNNNNNNNNNNNNNNNNNNNNNNNNNNNNNNNNNNNNNNNNNNNNNNNNNNNNNNNNNNNNNNNNNNNNNNNNNNNNNNNNNNNNNNNNNNNNNNNNNNNNNNNNNNNNNNNNNNNNNNNNNNNNNNNNNNNNNNNNNNNNNNNNNNNNNNNNNNNNNNNNNNNNNNNNNNNNNNNNNNNNNNNNNNNNNNNNNNNNNNNNNNNNNNNNNNNNNNNNNUACAAACCACAACCACCAACUCCACGUUCAUCACCACCACUACCUCCACUCCACCACUACCAUUACUACUACCACAACAUGAUUAGUACAUAACACUUUUAACAUCAUGUCUAUUUUAGUCAUUAUUCACAUUUACAACAAUUUUAUAUUAAAAUUUACCAAACGGUUUUGACACUGCUUUUUGUACUAACAGCACUUUAAAAAUAUUGUUUAUCAAACAUGGAGUGCUUUACUUUACAGCUAAUUAUUUUCAAAGCACAGCAAAAGCAAAUUUUUUUAAAAGUGACAGCAAUCCUAAAAAUUCUAUACUCUAACACAAAAAAUAAAAACUAAAAACAAAAAUUAAAAUGGUUAUCAAACAUACACUUAUAUUACAAAGAAAAUAUCAAAUAUUGAACUCAUCAUAAGAGAACACAGAAAAACCUCACCGCUUGCAACUCGUACACCACCACUACACGAACAACUGCUAAUUAAAAUGAGUCACAUGUGGUACUUAACUCUAAAAACUUAUUCAGAUUAUAUAUCGUACUCCUCGAUCAAAACAACCAUGAAACAUAAGUGAUUUAAACCUCUAGGCAAAUGGAAGGUAUAUAACAAUUUAUAGAACAAUACAGUAAUCCAGAAGAAAUAUUAUGAAAUAAAAAGAAUAAAAAGUAAAAAAAGAGAAGGAAAGGAAUUCCCACCUGAUAUGUAUAAGUAUGAAAGGAAGGACCAAGUUUGUUUUGCCUUUGGUUAAUGACUAGAAAAGCUCACUUGCAUAUUGCUUUCUCCGGCCGUAGAUGCAAGAGAAAUUUUCUCUUAAUAAUAGCACAAUGAUCGGGUAAUUGUAAGAACAAGUUGAUUUUAAAUUCAGGUCAAGUCGUAGAUUUCUUGCCUUUUCUAUUCUCCUUCCUUGGACAUGAGCUGUUUAAUCUUGGACUCUUCCCCCAUCAUGUUGGGCCUGUCUUCUUCUUGAGGAUUGUAUAGGCCCAGGAAAUGCUUCAAGGUAGUUUUUGUGUUUUGGGCCUUGAGACCCAACUUCACAAAAAGAAAAUAGAUUUGACCAAAAAACAAAUUUGAAGGAUAUUGAAAUUGUACCUGUAGGAUAGGUUAAAACACCAUAAGGGAGGUAAAUAGUACGUUUACAGAAUUUAAGUGUAAUAAUUGAAUAAAAACAUGCCCAGAGGAUUGAUAAGUGAUAUCAAUUCUUGAAUAUACAGAACGUAAAAUAAAGGAACACGUAGAAAAUUAUUUUAUGUGGUAAAACUCUAUCUCUGGGGAACAUCCACGGGGCUUUUUAGUCCAAAAUAAUCCAUUAUAGAACGAUGAUUACAAGAAGUAUUCACACACUUAUCCUAGACACAUUCUAGAUUAUGUUUACUGACCUCUUCUCAACUUCUGUCUCGAGAUGAUCUUUCGACACUCCUUAUGUUGAACGCAAUACUGGUCACGAUUUCUUCAAGCUCCCUAGAGUUCUUCCAACUCUCCUUGUAUUGAAUCCGACACUAGUCACGAUCGAUUCAAGCUCAUUGGAGAAAAACUGCCACAACGGUCUUAGUGCCCUCAAUCGUAUGAGUCACUGAACAUGCAAAUGAAUACAAUAUAAAUGAUAAAAGUGUUUGAUAAAUCACCAAGUUAUAGAACACUUGAUGAUUUAUCUCAAAUAAAAAUUCAGCUUUACAAAGUUUAUGAUGAAUUGAAAAUAUGAUCGUUAAAGCUAUCUAAACAAAGAAGACGAAGGUCUUAUUUUAUAGAAUUUUUCUUUACAAGAAAGAAAACACGUUGAAAACCAAAUCUCCAAUUUUCAAGGCUUGACAGAAAAUCACAAAAGUAUCUUUCCUAUUCUAGAGAUUGGUCACAUGUAGUUCAACCAAUAGGAAAUGAGAUAUUCAAGAAAGCAAGAUUUUGAUCAAUAUCAAUAUCAGAUCAAUUCUUAUACGCCUAGUCAACUAUUAAGGGUAUCUUGACUCCUUGAUGUUGUGAUAUGAUUGAAACAUGAUUUCCAUGUUAGAAAAUUAAAGGGAUGUUAAAACAUGAAAGUAAUAGAGAAUCAAAUUGAUGUGGACCAAAAUUGCCUAAAAAGAAAACACUCCUAAAUAAACUUCAAUUCACUUUUAAAAAACAGUAAAACAUGAUUGAUCGUUCUUUAAAACAAUUCCCUAAAUAUACAUGCAUGAUAAUGAUAUCACUUACCCUUAAAUCAAAUUGUCACGCCCCGGACCCGAGGGUCGGGUGGAAACCUCACCGCCCAGUGCGUGAGAAAAUAAAAAGAAAAUAAAAUAAAAAGAAGCCGAACAGGGUUUAAAAUAAACUUCUCUUAUAAAAAUAACUCCAAUCUACAACUUUACAAGAAAUAACUAANNNNNNNNNNNNNNNNNNNNNNNNNNNNNNNNNNNNNNNNNNNNNNNNNNNNNNNNNNNNNNNNNNNNNNNNNNNNNNNNNNNNNNNNNNNNNNNNNNNNNNNNNNNNNNNNNNNNNNNNNNNNNNNNNNNNNNNNNNNNNNNNNNNNNNNNNNNNNNNNNNNNNNNNNNNNNNNNNNNNNNNNNNNNNNNNNNNNNNNNNNNNNNNNNNNNNNNNNNNNNNNNNNNNNNNNNNNNNNNNNNNNNNNNNNNNNNNNNNNNNNNNNNNNNNNNNNNNNNNNNNNNNNNNNNNNNNNNNNNNNNNNNNNNNNNNNNNNNNNNNNNNNNNNNNNNNNNNNNNNNNNNNNNNNNNNNNNNNNNNNNNNNNNNNNNNNNNNNNNNNNNNNNNNNNNNNNNNNNNNNNNNNNGAUUUCAAUUGGUAUUCAGAGCGUCAGCUCUUAAUACAAAUAGAGAGAUCCUAGGAUUUGUUUUGGUGUUUAGGUGUGCUCACUGUGGAACGGGAUCGAGUUGCUGGAUCUUGCAACUCCCCUCCUUAUUUUGAUGGAAACAACUACGCUGCUUGGAGAGAAAAAUUUGAGAUAUUCCUUGAUGCUCUUGAUGAGUACGCAAGUGAGUAUCUCACAAAAGAGUGGGUUGCUCCUGUCAAGACUGUUGAGAGUAAUGUUGUGCCCAAGCCUAGGUCGGAAUGGACUGAAGCUGAGGUGUUUGCUGCAUAUUCAAACAAGAAGGCCAGAAAUGCCUUAGUUACAGCCUUGUCUAGCACACAAUUUUCACAUAUACAACACAUCCUAAAUGCGAAACAGGCUUGGGAUAAACUAAGGGUGGUUCAUGAAGGGGAUGACCAAGUUAGAUCCCUAAAACUUCAGAUGAUGCCUGCACAAUUUGAAGAACUUAGGAUGUCUGAAACUGAGUCUAUUUCUGAGUUCUAUGGGAGAGUUGAGAUGAUCACUAAUGAAGCCAUGAGUCUCGGUCAACCUAUUGAUGAGCUUCUUGUUGUUCAGAAAAUCCUUCGUGUUCUACCAUCUAGGUUUAGAGCAAAGAAAACCGCAAUCAUGGAGGUCCAAAACUUAAAUGAAAUUAAGCUUGGCAAGCUCGUAGGAAAAUUGAAAACCUAUGAGAUGGAGUUGAAUAUGGAAAAGAAUGACACUAAAAAAUCAAAAAAUGUUGCACUUCAAGGAGUGAAUGAUUCCUCUCUGAAAGGUGGUGAAAAAUCCUCAGGUUUUGAGGAUGAGAUGGCUUUGUUUGUCAAAAAAUUUAGGAGAAUUCUUAGGGAUAAAGGAAAGUUUGCUAGAAAGGGCAGCUCUGGUAGUGAGAGACAAGUUAGACCAUCAACUGAUCAGUCUAAUGAGAGGAACAAGGAUGUCAAACCUUUCACUAAAGAUUUUAGAAAAUCUGUCAAGUGCUUCACAUGUGGAGGCAUUGGGCACUAUGCUGCCCAUUGUGCAAACAAUCAGAAAAAAUACUCCAAAGGAAAGGACAAGGCCAUAAAAGUUAGCUGGAGUGAGAGUGAAAGUGAAGUGUCUCAAGGGGAUUCAUUUUUCUCUGAUAAUGAUGACCAACAUGUUGCUUUUGUUGCCUCUGUGCAGUCAGUGUCUGAUAAAUCUGAUUCUGAGUCAGAUGACCUGUCAUACGAGUGAUUAGGAAGAAAAUAUGAUUGUUUGUUCAAAGAGACAUUGUCUUUGAAAGAAGAGAGCCUCAAACUUGAGGCCAACAACCAUGAACUUCAACAUGAAAUCCUCAUCUUAAAAGAAACCAAAAAGGAGUUGAGUGACAAAUUUGUGUCUCUAGAAAAAGAAUUUGUUGCACUUGUGUCAAUUAGGAGUAAUCUUGAAAAUCAAGUUAAUGUGCUCAAGGAAAGUAACAUUGGUUUCCAGAACUCAAACAAAUUGCUCCUAGGUAAAUUGAAUGAAGCAAAAAAGUAAGGUUAUAUCUAUGACCAUUGGUGCCUCAAAAAUUGACAAAAUGUUGACUAUGGGAAAACCUCAUGGGGACAAAGGUGGUCUUGGAUUUAAUCAUUUUGAUUCUAGUUCGUCUAGCUCUACCACUAGGUUUGUCAAUUCAAAAACUCCAACCAUGGCUUCUCUUGAUGCUCAGCCGGUAGUCAAGAAACCUAAGUUUGUUCCAACUUGUCACUGGUGUGGGUUGACUGGUCAUAUUCGAUCAAUCUGUCUUAUGUACAAAAAGGAUAAGACUAGAAAAUUGUCUUCAAAAUCUAAAAAUCCAAGAUCUUUGCAAGAUCAGGUUGAUCAUUUGCUAAAAGAAGUAACUAAGAUUGCAAAACUUGUCUCCCUUAAAAUGUGUUCACCUAUUGUGCCUAAGUCUACUUGGGUUGAAAAAGGUCAUACCAAAUGUCUUGUUGUGCUAAAUGCUUUUGCUGCAUCAAACACCAACUCUUGGUACUUUGAUAGUGGCUGUUCCAAACAUAUGUUUGGUGAUAAGAGUGUCUUCUCAUCUCUCAGUCCUUUUGAUGGAGGCACUGUGACUUUUGGUGGAGGUCACAAGUCUCAAGUUUUUGGAAAAGGUACUGUUUGUAUCCCUGGUUUACCCGAGCUUAAGAAUGUUAGAUGUGUUAAGGGUCUUACAUCCAAUCUCAUUAGUGUGAGUCAGCUGUGUGAUGAUGGAGUAAUAGAAGUUAGAUUCUCCAAGCAUGGGUGCAAAAUCGUUGGAAAAUGUGGCAAUGAGAUUGUGAGCGUGACUAGGUCUAGGGACAAUUGCUAUUGUAUUGAUGGUGUCAAUGAUGAAAAAGAAGUAGUUUGCAAUAAGGUUGUGAAUGAAACAAGUGUCUUGUGGCAUCAAAGGCUUGGACAUGUGAACUUUAGAGACUUGCAUAAAUUGUCCAAGAAAGAGUUAGUGAGUGGAUUACCAAAGCUUGACAAAUCUGAUCAACAUGUUUGUGAAGGAUGUCAAUUGGGGAAGCAAGUUAGAGUGUCUCAUAAGAAGGUCAAACACAUUCAAACACAAGUAAGCCUUGAACUUGUUCACAUGGACAUUGUUGGUCCUAUCCAAACCUUGUCCCUUGGUGGAAAGAAAUAUAUUCUUGUCAUGGUUAAUGAUUUCUCUAGGUUCACUUAAGUCUCAUUCUUACGUGAGAAAUCUGAAACUUUUCUAAGGUUUAAGUCUGUUUGUCAUCUUUUGCAAAAAGAAAAGAUGACUAGUCAUCUGCCUCUUGUUAGAAUUAGAACAGAUCAUGGUUCUGAGUUUGAGAAUUCUCAGUUUCUGAAAUUUUGUGAAGAAAUGGGAAUUAAGCAUGAGUUCUCUGCACCUAUUACACCUCAACAAAAUGGUGUUGUGGAGAGAAAGAAUAGAGUUCUUGUUGAGAUGGCUCGGGUGAUGCUCAAUAGCAACAAUCUUGCUAAACAUUUUUGGGCUGAAGCUGUAAGUACAGCUUGUUAUAUCUCAAACAGGGUAUUUUUGAGGUCUGGUACCAAACAAACUCCCUAUGAGAUUUGAAAAGGAAAGAAGCCUAAUGUGUCAUAUUUUAGAGUCUUUGGUAGCACAUGCUAUAUUUUGAAAGAUAGGGAGCAUCUUCCUAAGUUUGAUUCUAAGUGUGAUAAGGGAAUAUUUCUAGGGUGUUCCACUUUAAGCCGAGCUUAUAGAGUGUACAACUGUAGGACCAGAACCAUCAUUGAGUCCAUAAAUGUCAAAAUUGAUGAUUUUGCUGCCUCUACUGAGAUGGCAUUAGAUGAGAAUGGUCUUUUUUCUCCUCAUCUCGUGCAAGAAUCUCUAGGUCUGGAUCUUGUAGUUGACCUGUCAACUUUCGGAAAUUUUGUCCCAGUUGACCUGUCAACUCCUUCAACCUCUAGUUCCAUCUCAUCUAUCCAAGUUGUCAGCUCCCAUGCUGAUCAUAGCCCUCUCACUCAAACUGAGAGUGUCAUUAUUGGUCCUCUUAAUCAGGGAGUGAGAACUAGGAAAUAAUUAGCUCAAGAAAUUAGUCAUGUGUGUUAUGUCUCAAAAGAAGAACCUAAGAAUGUGAAAGAGGCGUUGAACCAUGGUGAAUGGUUUCUUGCAAUGCAAGAAGAGCUGAAUCAGUUUGUUAGAAAUGAUGUUUGGUACCUUGUUCCCAGACCUACCAAUACAAAUGUUGUAGGUACUAAGUGGAUUUUCAAGAACAAAACUGAUGAGCAAGGUAAUGUUGUUAGAAACAAAGCUAGAUUAGUUGCUCAAGGUUACACUCAAAUGGAAGACAUUGACUUUGAUGAAACUUUUGCCCCUGUUGCAAGACUAGAAUCAGUUAGAUUACUUCUUGCUAUUGUUUGUCACUUAAAAUUCAAACUUUAUCAAAUGGAUGUCAAAACUGCUUUUUUGAAUGGUAUUUUAAAUGAAGAGGUCUAUGUUGAACAACCAAAGGGUUUUGAAGAUCCACAUCAUCCAAAUGAUGUGUUUCAGUUAAAAAAGGCACUCUAUGGUUUGAAACAAGCUCCUAGAGCAUGGUAUGAGAGGUUAUCUUCUCAUCUUCUAAGAAAUGACUAUGUUAGAGGGUCAAUUGACAAAACUUUGUUUGUCAAAAGGUUCAAAAAUGAUGUCUUGAUUGCUCAAGUGUAUGUUGAUGAUAUUAUGGUUGGUUCUACCUCUGACUUGCAUGUUCAAGAGUUUAUUCAUGUCAUGACUAGUGAAUUUGAGAUGAGUCUUGUAGGUGAGCUUAACUAUUUCUUAGGUCUUCAAAUCAAACAAAGCCAUGAUGGGAUCUUUGUAUCUCAAUCGAAAUAUGCAAAAAAUCUUGUGGAAAAGUUUGGUUUUGAGGAUGCAAAAUCUGCAAGAACUCCAAUGAGCACUAGUGCUAAAAUUCAUAGAGACUUGCAUGGCAAAAGUGUGGAUCAAACUCUCUAUAGAAGUAUGAUAGGAAGUCUUCUCUACUUGACUGCUAGUAGACCAGAUAUUUCUUAUAGUGUUGGAGUGUGUGCUCGGUUUCAAAGUGACCCAAAAGAGUCUCACUUGUUUGCUGUUAAGAGAAUCAUAAAAUAUGUGAGUGGGACUGUUGAGUUUGGGUUGUGGUAUACCUAUGACACUUGUGUCAGUCUGGUUGGUUAUAGUGAUGCCGAUUGGGCAGGUUGUAGAAACCCCUCCCGGGGGGGGGGGGGGGGGGGUCUUUUAUGUAGGCAACAACCUUGUUGCUUGGCAUAGCAAAAAACAAAAUUCUGUCUCCUUAUCCACUACUGAAGCAGAGGAUGUUGCAGCUGGGAGUUGCUGCACUCAACUCCUUUGGAUGAGACAAAUGUUGGAAGCUAUGGUCUUGCUCAAUCAUGCUUUCUCAUCUAUUGUGACAACAUGAGUGCCAUAGACAUUUCUAAAAAUCCUGUUCAACACUCUAGGACUAAGCAUAUAGACAUUAGGCAUCAUUUUAUUAGAGAUCUUGUGGAAGAUAAAAUUCUAUCUUUGGAAUUUGUUCCCUUUGAGAAACAGCUAGCAGAUAUACUCACCAAGGCCUUGGACUUUCAGAAACAUGUCACACUUAGGCAGUCCAUUGGCCUUUGCUCAAUUGAUUGAUUAGCUUGUCUGUUCCUUAUCUUCAGCACAUUGCAGAAUUGUUGACUAGUCAUCUUCGUUUUAGUUGACUAGUCAAAUAUUUUUUUGGUGUGUAAAUGUCUAAAACAUAUGCUUCUUCUGAUCUCUGGUGGUAUGAAGUUUGAAUCAUUUUAUGCUUUGCCUGAUUUGUGGAUAAUUCCCCCCUUCUUGUUUGGAGCCAUUAGAUGAAAUCUUUUGGUGUUCUUUCGUCCUCUUGUUGAGACAAGUGUUGUGAUCCAUUAUGGACAAUCAUUGUUAUAAUCUCCUAUCUUUUCUCACUCUCUUAGGCAAUUUGUUUAGCAUUAAACAAAAAAUAAAAAAUAAACAAAAAAUAAAAAAAAUAAAAAAAAGUGUGACCAAUGUAGUCACGACUCUAGGAAGGUAUAAGGUGUUAUGAUUGAAGAAUCUAGAGCAAGAGCCGCAAAAUUGGGCCACUCAAGCACUUAAGUCUAGGAUGUGCAAAUAACAAGGAUAAUAAAUGGCCAGAUUGAGUGAUGAAAAUCAAAUAGGUUGGGUUUAUGCCUUGAGUUUGUCUUGAAGGUUUAUUAUAUACUUGUCUCUCCAAGAGGGGUAUUUCUUCUUCUCUUGUGUUCUUCUUUUGGCUCUGAACCUCCUCUGUCCAUUUUGCCUUAUCUCUGAGCAUGAAAUCUAAUUCAUAUUCUAUCUAUCAGAGUUAGUUGCACUUGUUUUUGUUUGCACAUGUGGUUAUCUUCUCUCUCUCUUCCUUCCUGUGCUUGAAGAUUUGGACUAGGCUAUAGUAGCUAAUAGAUCGUUGAUCACUUGAUAUAUUUGCUAGUUCAUGUUUGUGUUUUUUUUUUAAAAACCCACAAUCUUGUCUUCCACAGGGUCGAUACUAACUUUGAUGCGUGUCAUGAUAUUGCCUUAGUUGACUAGUCAUCUAUGCUUAUGGUUGACUAGUCAUCCGGUUGUGUUAUAUUUGAUGCCCGUCAUGUUAUUGCCUUAGUUGACUAGUCAUCAUUUUUGUGGUUGACUAGUCAUCUAGUUCUGCCUGUUUUUGUUAUUGCCUUGGUUGACUAGUCAUCAUGCUCAUUGUGGUUGACUAGUCAUCAGGUUUUUCUCCUGAACAAUACGUCCUUUUCUUUAGCGGUUAUUCUUAUUAUUUUAUUUUUUUUUCAUUUUUUUUUCUUCUCUUUUUUGUGUUUUGAGCGGUUCUUUUUCAUUGGGGUCAGUUUUCGCAUUUUUUCCUUUUUAGGUCUGUUUCCCUCUUCUUCGUUAGAGUCUACUUUCACUCCCGUUCUCUCUCUGUUCUCUUCAGACACAAACCCAGGCCCCCGCUUCCCUUUCUCCCUCUGUGUUAGUCUCUUCGCCCCUUCUUCCCUCUGUUUUUCUCUUCCAAUUUCUUCCCGCUGACCACCAUGUCGUCCUCCGCGCCCUUCCUCACUUACCAGCGCCGCUCCAAAUCCAAAUCCAAUGACAGAGUGGAUUUUAUACCCUCCAUUCCUAGGGCUCCUAGGACUCGCUCUUCUCACUCUGUUCCCGCUGGAGACUCCUCCCCGUUUGUGUCUCCUGAGGCAGCCUCGUUCUUCGAUGGUGUUGUCUCUAAAAGGAAGUUUGUGCCUGAGAGAGCUUACCAAAUUGAUGCUCCCCCCUUAGCGGCCCAGGGUUCUGCAACUCAGAUUUUUGAGCACUGCCAUCUCCAUUCUCUCAACACUCUGUCUGGUAAGUUCAAUGCUUCUGUCGUUAAAGAGUUUUACUCGAAUUUUCCUGCUGAUCCUAAGGGGUCUAAUUAUCAGUGUGUUGUUCGUUAUGUGCCCAUUACUCUGAGACCCUCUGUCAUUAAUAGGGUUUUAGGUUUUCGGUCUUGCCCUGGUUUUGAUUCUGAUCAGUUUGCUCUUGCCUCUUCUCAAUACACUAUUGAUCUAUUUAAAACCAUGGCCUAUACUGAUCAAACAAUGCCCCUGACUUCUAAAGGUGUUCCUAUGAAGUCUUAUCUGUCACCAUUCUACAAAUUUCUAUGGGAUUUUAUCUGUCACAAUGUUCUCCCAACUAGAAAUAAUUCAAACCCCACUUUGGCUGGCUGUCAACUCAUGAUUUCAAUGGUGAAUCAUGAUAAAAUUCCCUUUGGGGAUAUUCUUUAUCAUGCAAUUCUUGGCAAAACCAUAGGUCAUGGUACAAAACACAAAGGGACUCUUGUCUUCCCAUGUCUUAUCCAGCGUCUCUGUGAGAGAAACCAGGUGGUUUUUCUUGACUCUGAUCAGUGCACUCCUCCUAUUGCUCCAUUUGGCAAGGCUUUUGUUGCCCUUAGCCAAAAAGUUUCAAAAACUUUUCUCACCUCUGUGUCAUCUACUUAUGAAAAUGACUAUCUUAGAUCUCAGCUUGCUACCAAGGAGAAACAUAUUCAACAUCUGUUAAGCCUCAUUCCAUCCUCUUUGGUUCCUGCUGCUGCUGCUGCUGAAGUACAUCCUCAGCCGACUCCUGCCACGGAGGUCUCAGAUGAUUCUGUAGAUUCUGAUGAGUCUGCUGAUUCUCUUGUUUUUUAGCUACAGUGAUCUUGUAGGCAAUGUCCUAGAUAGGGGGAGUAUUUUUGGACAAGUAUAUGUUUGUAAUUCCCUUGUGGAAAUUUGUUUUUGCUUGGGUAGUCUGUGCAUCUUGAUAGGGGGAGUUGUGUUGUAUUAUUUUGAACAAGUGAUUUUUGCUUUGUAAUCAACCUAUGCUAUGUGUUUUUCACUUUGUUCAAAUCUGAUUAUCUGCCUUGUGUUUCAUCCCCUUGUAUGCUGACUCUCUCUCCUUGCACUUUCCUUAUCAACAAGGAGGAGAACACUCUCAACCCCCAUAUUGCAUAUUGUUUCAAAAUUCUGUGAUAUAAUAUGCCUGUUUUUGUGCCUGGAAGAUUGGUUGUUCUUGCAGGUAUCCUCACUUCAUCAUCUCCUUAGGCUUGGUUUUGGGUUGAGUGUUGUUAGAGAGUGUGUUGUCAAGGAAAGCCAAAAAGGGAGAGAUUGUUAAUGUAUGCAUUUUGGGUUUUUCUUUUGGCUUCCCUUGACAACUUUGUAAUAGGAUCUCUAUUGUUAUUUAUCAAGCUCAAGUUUAGAUUGAGAAUAGCUUCUCUAGGUGUUCUUAACUAACAACUAUCAUAUGGAGGUUCAUGCAAAUUGGCAAAGGUAAAUUGUGCAUUGCAUAACAUUGCAUUAUACUGUUUUCAUAAAAUGAUGACUAGUCAUAUGUUUCUUGGAUGACUCGUCAUCCUUGCUCUCCAGCUUGAUAACCAACUUUUUUGUCCUAUUCCUUUUUCUCUCUCUGCUGCCACAUGGGAUUCUGACCUAAGGGUAUUUUUUGGUCUGUAUAGGCCUUGCGAUUCCUCUUUUGGCAAGCCGUCUCUUUUGUGUAGAAUUGGAGGAAAGAUUGGUUUUCUAUAUUUCCGUUCUUCUUCCACAAGAAAGAACAAUAUUUCAUCUAUGAGUUUUUCCAAAUUGAUUUCUUUAUGAAAAAACUGCAUUUGAAAUAUGAAUUUGCAUCUAGCUUCAUAAAAACAUUCUCUCAUUUAUAUCUAGGUCAGAUUCACUACUGAUUUCUUCAAGAGUAUGGUUUCUUGAAGAAAUUGGUUAUUCUCCCUUGAAUCCAAAUUUUGGUUUCUGUUUGAGUUGAGCUUGCAAGCUGGUGCCAUGGGAUGAAUGACUGAAGAAGGAGCUGCCAUUGCCAUGAAGAACUGGGCUUCAAGCUUUGCUAAGUUAGAGAAGAAGAUUGCACAAAGGAGGUAUUGCUCAUCUUCCUAAAUAGAUCUAGGUUUUGCUUGAGCUUGCUUGUGUUCCUUUGUAAGAAUCUUUUUCUACUUAGUUGAUUGCCUGGUCGGUUGAUGACCCCCAGUUUUUUCCCAAUGGUGGGUUUCUGGGUGAACAAUUUCUGAUUGCAUUCUUGUAAUUUUUCUGGGUUUGUGUUCUUGGUGGUCGACUAGUCAUCGUAUGAAUUAUGGUUGACUAGUCAUCAUUAUCUGCUGUUUGGUGUUUGCUUGAUUAUGCUGUCUUCACACGUUUUCACCAUAGUUGUUGCUAGCACAGGGGAUGCCUAGAUUGAUGGGUCUUUCUGAGUGCCUAGGUUGUCACUAGUAAUUCUCUAGGCCUGCAGGUACAUCAUGGUAUGUUCUAUGUAUGUUGUUGUUUGGUAUAAUUCAUAUCUGACAGUUGACUAGUCAUAAGAGUGUGUGAAGUUUGUUGCAUUUUUGGCUGAAUAUCUUUUAAGUUUACCCAUCGUCACCUAAGUACCGAUUUCAACAUGAGACCUUGCCACAGUAGAUUGAUAUAACUAAAUAUUAUCAUAAACAUAGAAAUAUAUAAGUAUUAUUAUAAUAGGAUUCAUAAUAAUUAAUAUAAAAGUAUAACAACAACAUUUACAAUUAUGUACCAAGAUAAUUACACAUAAAAAUAUAACCAAUAUAUAUUUAUAUAUAUUUUUUAAAAUACGGAUCUUUACGUAAAUGCCUUUCACGGGUCAAGCCACAAGUCUGUGUUUUGGGGAUUGCAGAGCUGCAUCAAUCUUGCCAAUGUCAAUUCUGACCCUGGGCUCUCUCAAAGCACGUUUAAAACCUAUGCUAACAUAUACUAGAGUUUAUGCUGUAUCUAGAAAAUGCCAACACUAAUUUCGUAACACAUAGAAUUGUUAGAGAUUAGAAGUUUUUAUCAUUUUUUCUUCCAGUCUCUCCACCACUCACUAAUACAGAUUACUCAUGUGAUGAGUUUACAAAACCUAUUUCUCUACUCUCGCAAAGACUAUACUUCUUCUCAAAAGACUAGAUCACUUUACCUCUAUCUCUGUGAAAUGUAAAAAGUUGAAACUUUAAUGUCAAACCUCGACAAAGUGUUCUACUUACAAACUUCUUGUGUCUACCAAUUUCUACAAAAAUUAAUUUCUCUACGGUGCUCAGAUUCAUCAUAUGUGUGUCCUUAAUUUUAGUGGAAAUUGGAAGUUUCCAUAAUUUUUGCUUUAAGUCACUCUUUUGAAGGAAGUUGAGAUUCCACUCCAUAAUCCAAAAUGUCAGGUUGACUUAUGGCAAACAAUGUAAAUAUGUAGGAGUACUAUGACCUUUUAUAGCAUUUUAAGUUUGAAUUUGGGUUUUAUACAUAGAUUUCGAAAUUAAUAGGUUGAUGCCUAGGAAAUAGAAAUUGUAAGGGCCUAUAUUAGACUAGCCCUCUUAAAAAAUAUAUUAAUUAAUGAAUAUUUGUUCUUCUUCUUGUUUUGAAGUAGUGGUGGGAGGCAGACCAACAACAAAAAUAUAGUGAAGGCUUAUAAGAGCAUUUACAAUUAUGCUCCCUAUUUUUUAGUUAAUAUUUAGGUAAAAAUAGAAAAAAGUUAUUAUAUGAGCUCUUUAUAAAAUUUGAACUCCAAUCAUACUCCCUAGUUUAGGGAGUCAAAAAUACUAUAGUUAUUUUUUAAUUCAAAUUGAUUUUGGUUAAUCUCUAUAAAUAAAUAAAAAUAUAAAAAAUAGUUAGCAUUAAUUAAAAGUUUAAACUAUGCAUAAAACAAAGAAACAUUAAAUUAUAGGGAGCCACUAUGAGUCAUUACUCUCUCUUCAGAUUUAGGAGCUCCUAGAGGUCUCCCUAUUUUAUGAGGUGGAUAAAGAGCAUGGUUGGAGUUGUAUUUCUUCAAUUUCCUCUCUAAAAUUUGUCUAAGGAUGUGGUUUAGGGAGCCCAUUGUGAAUGCUCUAACUCUGGUAAAACACGAGUGACAUGGACAACAUAUGUUACAUCGUACUGAAGAUUUUUGGGUUUCUUUAAUUGGUUAAGUAGCAUCCACAAUGAGCUUUCUAAAUCAUCUCCUUAGACAAAUUUUAGGGAGGAAUUGGAAAAGUACAACUCCAACUAUGCUCCCUAUCCACCAACUAAAAUAGAGAGACCUUUAGGAGCUCAUAAAUCUGAUGAGAGAGAAAGAACUCUUAAUGACCCCCUAUAAUUUAAUGUUGCUUUAUUUUAUGCAUAUUUUGAACUUUUAAUUAAAUCAAAUUAUUAUUUUUAUAUUAUUUUGAAUACAGCCGGAUCAAUUAUAUUAAAUUAAAAAAUAAUUAAAAUAUUUAUAACUCUCUAAACUAGAAAGCAUGAUUGUAGAUCAUCUUAUAUACCUUAAUUUGAAGAUUCUUUAUUUGGGUUUCUUUCAAGACUUAUCACCUUAGCCACACCACCUACACGUCUGCAAGCUUCCGUAAUCUAACAAGGAAGGGGAGGCUGCGCAAUACUUAUCACCUUAGCCACACCACCUACACCACAAGACCAAUAUGUGUAGUCCAGCAGGCUUUCCAAUUUUAAUAUAUAUUAUAAAAUAAAAUAAAAAUCAAUCUAUUAUCAUAUAUAUUAUAAAAUAAAGAUUAUUGCUCCAUCCUCCAUGCACUUGCAUGCCCUCUUACAAAGUGUGAAGUAGAUUUUGUGUGCUCCAAGUCAUUGACGAGAGCUGUAACAUGGUUAGCUGGAUUUAUAAGAUCUUUUCUUUUCUGGGAAUUUUCUGAAUUAAGAAAAAUCAAGUAAAAUUAAUAAAGCAUAAAUUAGAAAGGGAAAAUAUCUAGAGGAUGCAUUGUAGGAUUGCACAUGCCAAUAAUUGUAUCCUCUAAAUAUAUAGCGACACAUUUUUUUUGUUUUCAUGACUUGUGGUCCUAAAAUUAUUGUUCCUAGCGGGCUUUUCACCCUCUCUCGAUUGAAAAUCAAUUGUGUAAAUCUUCAAUCUUGAAUGAUGCACCUAAAACUCAAGUGUCCCAGGCCAAUUAUUGCUCUCAUACCACUUGUUGUAAUAAACAUUCACCCAUUCUAAAGGAAAGAUAACCAUCGAUAUUAUCUGAAAUUUAACCACUUAAGUUCAUUAUGAUUAACUAUGUAUCUUAUGGACCAAUCCAAUCGUAAGGUUUUAUACUCAAUUAGAUCGACCAAUACAAAGUUCACACUGGAUUAAAAAGGGCUAUCGGUAGGGGAGUGUUCGGCACCCUUUACUGUGGAGCGCAACACAAGACCCCUUGCAUGCCCUCACUAAGUUGAGCCCAACUAUUUUUGAGCAUUAACAAUAUAUAUAGAUUGAAAAAAUAAAAUAAAAAUCAAUCUAUUAUCAUAUAUAUUAUAAAAUACAUAUUAUUGCUCCAUCCUCCAUACACUUGCAUGCCCUCUUACAAAGUGUGAAGUAGAUUUUUUGUGCUCCAACUCAUUGACUAGGGCUGAAACAUGGUUAGUUGGAUUUAUAAGAUCUUUUGUUUUUUGGGAAUUUUCUGAAGCACGGAAAAUCAAAUAAAAUUAAUAAAGCAGAAACUGUACCCUUUAAUUAUAUAUGGACAUAUGUUUUUUUGUUUUCAAGUCUUAGAUGACAUGGGGACCCCUCUCAAAUUUAAGUGGUCCAUUAUUGUUAACCACAUAUUUUAUGGACCAUCCAGCUUCGGUACAUUUCUCCCACAUGCCACAAUUGUAUAUUCACAAUUACGUCUGAUACAUCACAUCAUGCCACUUGCCUCACAUGCCACAAUUGUAUAUUCACAAUUACUUCUGGGUACCCCUCAUCAGUCGUCUAUAAAAUGGUGAAGCCAGUUGCUACUGUUACCAUAAGAGCCAGCUCCGACUUUCUUUAAUUUCUUGCUACAUCUGUUGCUAAGUUAAUUUCAGUCCUAAUGGGGUUUCAUCUCCCACUCAUCUUUGCUAUUCUCAGUGUAAGCUCUGCAAUUUGAUUAACUUUUCCAUUCUCUCUCAUUGUACUCUAUAUAUAUAAAUGAAAGUUUUGUGUUCCUAUAAUUCUCUCCGAUUUUAUUUAGUACGUACUUAAGUGUCGUCCACUAAUUAAUUACACUUUGUGAGAUUUGAUUUUAAUUAGAGUUCGAAUUAAUGUUGCAGCUAGCAGCGGUUGCACUGGCAAACAAUGCUGCUCAACCAGCACCUCAACUUUACUGGAACUCCGUCCUGCCAAACACACAGAUGCCAAGAUCUAUCAGUGAACUUCUGCAUCCUGGUUUGUGUUCAGCUCUUUAUAAUCUUAGAUAUCUCUUCUACCUGCCAUUUUACUAAACUAUGUUCGACCACAUAUUUAUCAGUUAACUACUGUCAUUACAAGAAUGACACUUAUUUUCCAAUAUAAUUUGCAGACUCCACAAAUGAAGAAAAGAGCAAACCUGAAAUUUUCCCAUUGCAGGGCAAUAGAGUUUACACUCAAAGCCAUUAUAAAAAACGUCCUCCUCCUCCAUCUGACGAGGGCAAACCUGAAAAUUUCCCAUUGGCCAAUAGCUUUUACACUCAAACCCAUUAUAAAAAACGUCCUCCUCCUCCAUCUGACGAGGGCAAACCUGAAAAUUUCCCAUUGGGCAAUAGCCAUUAUUCUCAAACAGGGUAUGCAAAAGGUCCUCCUCCUCCUCCUAAAAUUUUCCCAUUUUCAGGUUACAGUCGAAAAAGGUAUGGAGGAAGUCCUCCUCCUCCUUCUCCAUUCGUUCAAAAAGACUAUGGACAGAACGAUAAACAUUACGUUCAAAAAAACUAUGGAAAAGUUCCUCCUCCACCUGACAAUCAACUACUCCAUUAUAAAGACUUGGCUAUUUUCUUCUUCGAGAAGGACAUGCGCCCUGGCGCAACAAUGAAGUUCCAAUUCCCUAGAAAUUCAAACACGGCUACUUUCCUGCCACGCGAAAGUGCUCAAUCGAUCCCCUUCUCCUCUAAGAAACUACCAGAAAUUUUCAACCAUUUUUCAGUGAAGCCAACAUCUGAGGAAGCCAAAACAAUUAAGCAAACAAUCGAAGAGUGUGAAGCUCCAGGCCUUAAGGGAGAGGAAAAAUAUUGCGCCACAUCUUUAGAAUCAAUGGUUGAUUUUAGCACUUCGAAGCUUGGAACAAGAAACGUUGAAGCAAUCUCAACGGAGGUAUUGGAAGAAGGAGCCACCAAGUACAUGCACAACUAUACAACAAUGCCGGGACUGAAGAAGUUGGAAGGUGACAAAGUCGUUGUGUGUCAUAAGGAGAACUAUCCCUAUGCUGUGUUUUUCUGCCAUGCAAUAAAACAAACAGCAGCUUAUGUUCUCUCCCUGAAAGCCGAUGAUGGGAUGAAGGUGAAAGCAGUAACCAUCUGCCAUCUAGACACAUCAGAAUGGGACCCAGAGCAUUUGUCCUUCCAAAUCCUCAACGUUAAGCCCGGAACCACUCCCAUCUGCCAUUUCCUUUCCACUGAUGCUAUUGCCUGGGUUCCAAAACACAAGUCUGCAUGAUCAUCACUUAGCACUGUACGUAUAAUAAGCUUGGUCGGGUUGCACCCUAGGCCUGCAUAAUUAUCUCCCUACUUAUUUCUGCCUCUUUAUCAUGCGGUGUAAGAUAUAUGAUGAGAUGAAGUUUUCUCUUGUAACUAUGUAGACUACUUCAACUUGUACUCAUAAUAAAGCACGCUGUUGGGGGGUUCUACUUAAUUUCGUUCUCUCCAAUGUUUGAGUGUUGAAUUGUUACGUUGGAAUAGGCUGCUAAUGCAUGUAGUUAGAGAAGCCUUCAUUUAUAUCAAAGUCCUCAAACUAUCAAGAAUUAAUGUAUCCAGAAACAUAUACCAAGACGCAAAAUGUCACAUCCCGGAAUCAGCUACUUCCCAGUGGGUCACCCAUCCUGGGAUUGCUCUAGCCCCCAACUCGCUUAACUUCGGAGUUCCUACGAUUCCGAAGCCAGUGAGCUCCCAAAAGGCCUCGUGCUAGAUGGAUGCGGGUGUGCACAUAUAAGGCACAAUACCCCCUCUCCGUUGGUUUGAUGUGGGAUCUUACAAUCCACCCCCCUUAAGGGUCCGACGUCCCCGUCGAUACACUCGCACCACACGGCAGAGUGGCUCUGAUACCAAAUUGUCACAUCCCGGGAUCAGCUCCGCCGUAGCACGAUAUUGUCCGCUUUGGGCCCCCCUCUCUGCCCUCACGGUUUUGUUUCUGGGAGCUCACGAGCAACUUCCCAGUGGGUCACCCAUCCUGGGAUUGCUCUAGCCCCCAACUCGCUUAACUUCGUAGUUCCUACGAUUCCGAAGCCAGUGAGCUCCCAAAAGGCCUCGUGCUAGAUGGAUACGGGUGUGCACAUAUAAGGCACAAUACCCCCUCUCCGUUGGUUUGAUGUGGGAUCUUACACAAAACAACAUAUUUUCCAUUCUCUGUCUGUAACACCAAGGCAAACUUCCUUUAUCACAUCAUUUAAAGGAUCAAAUUCCAGUACUAAUCUAAUCCAUCAUGUAAAGCAUACAAGUGCCUACCUAAAUUUGUCCAUUGGAUAUAUAUGUCACUUCUUAUUUUUUGAUAGAGAUAUAAAUGUUGAGAAAAUUAGAGUACACAACUCCAAUAUAGACUUGUUAGAGACAAAACAAGUAAACAAAUUCCUUGUAUUAGACUCACAAAAUAUUAAAACAAGACAACUCUCAAAGAAAAGACAAACUCUCACACUUCUCACAAGGACUACUUAACUUUAUAGCUUAUUGCAUAUAGCAUAUGCAAACACAAUUACAACAUACCUACGUACACUAUGGAAACACUCGUGUAUAUUUGAACACAAGAAAACAUGUGCACCGUGCACGGUUCACAUGAAGUAAGAAAUGAAGAGGAAAUAAAGGAGAAGAAUACAAAAGAAAAUGGAGAUGAGAAAAAAAAAACACGAAUAAUGAAAAAUGAAUUGACAAUUAUAUGUGGUUGACAUUAGAUCUAAUAUUAUAUGUAACAACUAUUGAUCUAAAAUAAACAUUAAAUCAAACAAUAAUUAAAAGAUUUGACAAUAUAAAAAUUUAUUGAGGACAAAAAAAGGCAAAAACUUAUGAAAAAUGGAAACAAUAAAUAUGAACUGAGUCAUCAACUCAUCAUGGUAAGUUUGCUGACGUAUAAAAAUAGUCAAUGAACUACAUCGAAAAGUAAUUGGCUUACAUCAAAAAUUAAAAUCACGUGGUCUACCUACUAUAUAGGAUGAAAAAAUUACGUGAACAAUAUACUUACACCAUGGGAACACUCCUAUAUAUUUGAACACAUGAACACGUGUUCAAGGUUAUAUAUUUCAUUACCUUCACAAUAGGUACCAAACCGUACCAUGCGAACAUUCAUAUACGCACAACAUACUUAUAACAUACCUACACUAUGGGAACACUCGUGUAUAUUUGAACACAAGAAGACCUGUGCACCACCGUGCACGGUUCACAUGAAGUAAGAAGAUGAAGAGGAAAUAAAGAAGAAGAAUACAAAAGAAAAUGGAGAUGAGAAGAAGAAAAAAAAAACACGAAUAAUGAAAAAUGAAUUGACAAUUAUAUAUGGUUGACAUUAGAUCUAAUAUUAUAUGUAAUAACUAAUGACCUAAAAUAAACAUUAAAUCAAACAAUAAUUAAAAGAUUUGACAAUAUAAAAAUUUACACGUAAGCAAACUCACCAUGGUAAGUUUGCUGACGUGUAAAAAUAGUCAAUGGACUACAUCGAAAAAUAAUUGGCUUACAUCAAAAAUUAAAAUCACGUGGGUUAUUCCUAAGAAACCUUAAUAUUUUUGGGUUUAUAUAUUUUUUGUAUUUUUUUAAAAUAAAAAAAAGAAAAGAAAUCUGACCAUGUAUGUAUGAUGAUGAUAUGCAUGUUAUUUUUAGACCUAAGGUAAAACAGACAAACUUUUUACUCCAUUUUUCAUGAGGUUUAUCACAAUAAUUAAACUGUUAUAUCCUCCAUUUUAGAUCUCAUGCUUCCAUUUAAAGAAAAGAAUAUCAACAACAAAAAAAAGAAUAAAGUUACAACAUUGAUCAAUUCAAAUGUCCAACUACCGGAUCAUGAGCUCCUGCACUUAGCGAUAUGCAGAUAAAUGCGUAGUGUCUUAAUGCAGAGGCUCGGGAUCCCCAACUACCAUUGAAACAUAAGAAACUAAAAUCUGCAAGAAAAUGCUAUCAAUUGAAAAAACAAUAAUUAAAAAACAAAAAAAGGAAGGGAAUUCGCACCGCUAUGCAAAAAAGAGCAAGUCGGUUCAAUGAUUUUUUUUCUUCUUCUUUUUGUUAUGGAAAUGAAAAGCUCAAUGAUGGGCUAUAUAUAGGAAGAAGCUCAAUGAUUGAAUUAUUAUCUUCUAUCUACAUUCUACCCUCUUCCUCGCUACAUACACAAAUGGUGCACACCAGUAACUAAGCUUGUUUUGGGUUCGGUGGCUCACUGUAAAAGCUCAAUGGAGAUGGUUUGAGGUAGAAUUUUCUCCUAUUUCAAUAGGACAAUGAUGAGCUCUAUGGAUUUUUUUUGUUUGUUUAUAGAAAUUAAAUGGUAUAGGGUCUAUCUAUAUUAUUAAUGCUAAGAAUGAGAAUAUGACUAAAUAACUCAAAAAAAAUUUAUAAUAAAUCAACAAUUUUUUUUUUUUAAAAAAAAAUCUAUAGAAUCUUUUAUUAGAUCAAUAGGCACCACUAGAAAAUCUCCAUAUAAGCCACUACUAAUACACCCGUGACUACUGACAAACCCGUAGCCAAAGAGUAUUGGCCACCUGCCACACGACAGUGGUCCAAGCAUAAUGUUGUCAUUCAUUAUUCCCCACAGCAACCAGCAUCCAAUAAAGGGUUGGGGCCCACCCAUAUUCCACCUCUCUUUAUGAAUAUAAAAGAAAUAUUUUUUAUUCAACAUGGACGCAGAAACUGUUGCUAAACUGCAAACUUCUUAAAAUAUUUAUCUAACUUUCUAGAUCCAUGUACUGAGAUUUAUUAGGGAAAUAUUGUAGAAACUGAUUAUUUUGAAAUAUUAAAUGUGAAAAACUGAACAAAAAUUUGAUGGGUUACAUAUUUCAACUCAUUUCAGCAGCUUAGAUUUUGAAGACCUCGGAAGAGGCUAUGCAAUGAGCCUAGCUAGUGCACUGUUGAUCACUUCAGUGUCUACCGAUCUGUAAUUUUUCCAGAUUGGUUAUAUUUUCCUUUACAUAUUCUUAUAUUACCGAUCACUUCAGUGUCUACCGAUCUCAUAUUUCUGGCAGAACAAUAAAUCUUUCAACAUUAAAAGUUUAAAACUCCAAGAUGCUAAAUUUAACGUUAAAAUAAAUAAUUAAAAGGGCUAAUGAAACCUAUAUGCCCAGGUGAGGAGCAUGCCACAAACUUAUUUCAACCCCAAAACUUCAUUAAAAAGCCCAAAACACUCAAUGAGGCAUCUAAGUAAUUUAAUAAUUAAAAUUAAAUUCAAUAUGACCAGCUAUCAUUUUUUGGGUUUUUUUUUGUUUGUUUCUAGAAAUUAAAUAGUAUAGGAUUUAUUUAUAGUUUUAGUGCUAAAAAUGGGUAUAUGACUAAAUAUCUCUAUAAAAAAAAUACCUAUAUGUUUGAGAAACAAAAUAAUAAAACUACAACAUAGGUUAAAAACAUUCUAAUAAACUCAAUACAUAUGGUCUACGUACUAUACAGGAUGAAAAAAUUACAUGAACAAUAUACCUACACCAUGGGAACACUCCUGUAUAUUUGAACACAUAAACACGUGUUCAAGGUUAUAUAUUUCAUUACCUUCACAGUAUUCAUCAAAACCCACCAUGGGAACAUUCAUAUACACACAACAUAACAUACCUACACUGUAGGAACACUCGUGUAUAUUUGAACACAAGAAGACAUGUGCACGGUUGAUGUGAAGUAAGAAGAUGAAGAGGAAAUAAAGAAGAAUAAUACAACAGAAAAUGGAGAUGAGAAAAAAAACACGAAUAAUAAAAAAUGAAUUGACAAUUAUAGAUAGUAGACAUUAGAUCUAAUAUUAAAUGUAAUAACUUUUGAUCUAAAAUAAACAUUAAAUCAAACAAUAAUUAAAAGUUUUGACAAUGUAAAAAGUUAUUGAGGACUAAAAAAGGCAAAAACAUUUGAAAAAUGGAAACAAUAAAUAUGAGCUGAGUCAUCAGCUCACUAUGGUAAGUUUGCUGACGUGUAAAAAUAGUCAAUGGGUUAGAUUAUUAUUUGUGGGUAACUAAAAUCUCGUUUAACAACAAUAGUUAACGUUUGUUUAGAGAAGGAAAAAAACUUGAUGAUGUGUCAUGUUCUAAAGGGUUAGAUUAUUGUAAUGGCUUAGAUUUAAUGAAAUACAGGUAAAUGCGUAAUGUCCAAAUGUAGAGGCUCGGAAUCCUCAUCUACCAUUGAAACAUAAGAAACUAAAAUUUUCAAGAAAAUGCUAUCAACUGAAAAAACAAAAAACAAAAAACAAAAAGGGAAGGGAAUUUGCACCUGCUAUGAUGGGUUGAAUGAUUUUUUCUUCUUCUUCUUCUUUUUCUUUUUCUUUUUGGUUCUUUAGAUCUAGUUGCACAUUCCAAAGAAAUAAAACCUCAGGCAUGCAUGCAAUGCAAGCUCUUUUCCCAUGUUUUCCUCUGUUUUCCUCCUAUUUUCCCAUGCAAACUCUUUUCUUAUAUGGAAGUGAUUAAAGUGUGAUUCAUUGAAUAUUUGCGGGGUUUUGUUCAGACCUAACAAAGUUCUAAGUGAGCACAUCAAAUUUCUUUUACCCAAUCAAAUUCAACUAGGUUUAUUCUACGACCUUAUGCUCGAUCAUUUUCCACAAGCAACCGUCCACGUACCAAGUAUUUAUUUUAUAUCAACGAGUACGAUGGUCCAUGUAAGUAUUCUAAUAAUUCACUCCAGUUGCAGGCCCCAAUAAUAUAGAAGGGCCAAUGGUCUUUCAUUUGAUGAAAGCUGCUAUCUACUGAUAACAAAGUUCAAUGAAGACGUAGGAAGAAACUUUGAGAAGAAGCUUGCAAUUUCUUUUAUUGAUUUUCUCUCUUUUUCGAUCUACUUCACAAUGAACAGUAUCUAAUAUUUAUAUGACAGAAGCACUUAGCUUCUCAGCUACGACUUAACAAACACGUGAACCCACGUGAACUUCUAACUAACUAAACGCAUUAUAUACAUGUCUUUUGCCAAUCAUCCCCCCUCAAUCGCAGUGGUGGCUGGACCAACACUAAGAUUGUGACAGUGUUUCAAAAACAAUGGACUAUGCAGGCCCUUUGUGAAAAUGUCGGCAACUUGUUCUUCAGUAUUGACAUAUCGAACCACCAAAUCAUGACGCUGAACCCGUUCUCUGAUAAAGUGAAAAUCAAGUUCUAAAUGCUUUAUGCGAGAGUUUAAAACUGGAUUACUACUUAAGGCCAAUGCUGAUAAAUUGUCACUAUGUAAGACUGGAGCUUCAGGAACAAUAAUAUGUAAGUCUUGAAGAACAUAUCUGAUCCAAGAGAUAUCAGCAGCACAGUUGGCAAGAGCUCGAUACUCUGCCUCUGUAGAACUACGAGAGACAGAAGAUUGCUUACGAGAGGACCAAGAGAUAGGAUUCUGUCCAAGAAAUACAACGUACCCUGUAGUAGAGCGACGAGUAUUGGGAUCCCCAGCCCAAUCUGCGUCACUAUAGCCAACCAAAACAGAAGAACCAGAUGUAAAUGUCAAACCAUAAGAUAAAGUGCAUUGCACAUAUCUCAGUAUACGCUUAACUAAAGUCAUAUGAAUAUCAGUAGGAGCAGUCAUAAACUGGCAUACGGUGUUCACAGCAUAUGCCAGAUCUGGGCGUGUGAAUGUGAGGUAUUGAAGAGCUCCAACCAAGCUGCGAAACAUUGUAGGAUCAGGAAGUAAUGUACCAUCAGUUGUCAGAACAUGACAAUGAGGUUUACAAGGUGUAAUUGAUGGUUUACAAGUUUCCAUGCCAGCUCUCCUAAGUAAAUCACGAGCAUAUUUAGCUUGGUUGACAAACAAAUCACCAUUGGACUGAUAAGAAACCUCCAAGCCCAAGAAAUAAGUAAGCUGGCCAAUAUCUUUCAUAUCAAACACUUGUCCCAAAUCAUCAAUCACAGAUUGCGCUAGGGUAGAACUUGACCCCGUGAUGAUAAUGUCAUCCACAUACAGCAAAAGAAUAACCACAUUAAGACCAUCAUGCUUCACAAAGAGACUAGGAUCGGAGUGUGAAGAAACAAAGCCCAAAGCUGGAAGAUAUCCAGUGAACUUGGCAUUCCAAGCACGUGGUGCCUGUUUAAGACCGUAAAGAGACUUUCGUAGCCGACAUACAUAAUCUGGAUAAUGAUCAUCAAUGAAUCCCAAAGGCUGUUUCAUGUACACUUCCUCCUGUAGGUCACCAUGAAGAAAGGCGUUUUUAACGUCCAAUUGGCGCAAACACCAUCUAUGAGAUGCAACCAAACUUAAAAUCAAUCGAACUGUGGUAUGACGAACUACAAGACUAAAGGUUUCGUCAAAAUCUAUACCUUGUUCUUGACUAAAACCUUGUGCAACUAAACGAGCUUUAUAUCGAGCAAUACGUCCAUCAGCAUGUCUUUUAAUUUUGUAAAUCCAACGACAACCAACAAUAUUCUUAUCAGAGGGUGAAGGAACUAAAUUCCAUGUACCUUGAGUUUGUAAUGCUUUAAUUUCCUCUGUCAUAGCCUGCUGCCACUCAGACUUUGUACUAGCUUCUCGAAAAGUAUGAGGCUUAUCAAGAGCAGUAAUUGUAGAUAAACAAGUGGAAAAACAUUGAAAAUCACCAAAAUCUUUCUUCUUGCUAAUACCACUUUUAAGACGAGUUUGCAUAGAAUGACCAUGCUGUGGAAUGGAAAUAUGAGAAGAAGAACUAGAGGCAUCUGUGACAGAGAGAGGAAGCAAAACCUGUAAUUGAGCAGGAUCCAAAAUAGGUUGCAUAGUCUGAGCAGAACCUAAGACCUCUUGAGCCUCAUAUGUAGAUACUGAAGAAGAUGAAUUCUCAUUUGAACAUGGGAGAGGAGAGUGAUCAGACUCUGUGGUAGUAACAUAUCUAUAAGGCAAUGAAACUGCUAUAGCUGAGGGAGACAAUUGUGUCAUGACAGAAGAAGAUUAGGUUGAGGAUACUGAAUAAUUCUUCAUUGGAAACUGAGUUUCAUCAUAAAUCACAUGUCUUGAAAUAACCACUUUAUGAGUGUCAGGAUGAAAACAAAUAACACCCUUAUAACCAAGAGAAUAUCCAAGGAACACAUGCUCUGCUGAUCGUGGCUCUAACUUGUGAGAAUUAUAGGGUCGAAGAAGUGGAUAUACUGCAGAUCCAAAAACCUUUAAUGAUUGAAGCUCAGGAUUAUGACCAAACAAUUUGAAGUAUGGAGAUGUCAUUUGAAGAAGCUGACAAGGCAUACGAUUUAUGAGAAAGGUAGCAUGAGCUGCAGCAUAGUACCAAAACUUGUCAUUCAAGGCAGCAGUAGCAAGUAAUGUAAUUGUGGUUUCAAUAAUUUGCCUAUUCUUCCUCUCAGCAACCCCAUUUUGCUGAGGGGUAUAAGGACAUGAAAUCUGAUAGAAGCCAAGAAAUCUUUAAAUGCUUUACUAUUAUACUCCCCACCACCAUCAGAUUGAAAAUAUUGCACAGAAGCUUGAAAGUUCUUAGUAAUAUACGCAUGAAAUUUCACAAGUGUGGGAAAAACCUCAGAUUUAUUGAUUAAUGGAAAAAUCCAGAGAAAUCGAGUACAGUCAUCGAUGAUUGACACAUAAUGUCUUUUCCCAUGUUUUCCUCUGUUUUCCUCCUAUUUUCCCAUGCAAACUCUUUUCUUAUAUGGAAGUGAUUAAAGUGUGAUUCAUUGAAUAUUUGCGGGGUUUUGUUCAGACCUAACAAAGUUCUAAGUGAGCACAUCAAAUUUCUUUUACACCAUCAAAUUCAACUAGGUUUAUUCUACAACCUUAUGCUCGAUCAUUUUCCACAAGCAACCGUCCACGUACCAAGUAUUUAUUUUAUAUCAACGAGUACGAUGGUCCAUUCUAAUAAUUCACUCCAGUUGCAGGCCCCAAUAAUUUAGAAGGGCCGAUGGUCUUUCAUUUGAUGAAAGCUGCUAUCUACCAACCCUGCAAUAUGAGCUAUGCAAUGGUGAUGGUGUUACAUGACGUCAGAAUGUCGUAGGGAAAAUAAAAAAUAAAAAGUCAAGGUUUCUUAUUAAUGUUAAUAAAGGCAUAGCAAAAAAUUUGUAGCUCCAAUUGUUCAAAGCAAUUACCCAUGCACUUGAGAUUCUGUGUUUGAAUCUCCAAUUUUCUCUAAUAUUGUUUGUAUAAAAAUAAAAACUUUUGAAAAGACAUUAAUAUUGUAUUCUAUAUUCUAUAAAGUGUUGGACAUGUUUUAUAUUGUUGACAACCCCCUAAUACUUUGGUGGUGCCUAGUUAUAUUCAAUUCGUAUUUAUUUAAUUUGCCACUUACAUUCUUGCCUUAAUACAUCUAGGCUUAUUUUUAUACUAAUUUCUCUAACAUAACUUUUGCACAUUCUUUUAGUCUCUAAUAUAUAUAUUCUAAUAAAUGAUCUUACCCACUUGAGUUAUAAAUCUUUUUUUUUUAAUCAUGAAAAAUCGACAUUUUGACAGUGAGUUGAAAAGCACUCCCCAAUUUUAAUGUCAACCACUUGAAAAAAAAAACAUAAAUUUAAUGACAACAAUUACAUUUAGCAAUGCAACCUAAAUACUCAAAACCUUUGCGCCCCUUUUGCAACGCAUAUAGCAGGGUGAGGAUAUUGCCAAAGGAACUGCGAUAGCCAAUUAAAAAAAAAAGUAAUGAAGGCUUAUAACUCUGGGUUAAGAGAUUGGUCGUGGAGAAUUUACAUAAUUGGAGAAUGUACCAUCCCACAUCGACCAACGGAGAGAUGGUGAUGUGCCUCAUAUGUACAUGCCCACCUCCAUCUAGCACGAGGCCUUUUAGGAGCUCACUGCAUUCAGAGUCAUUGGAACUCCGAAGUUAAGCAAGUUUAAACUAGAGCAAUCCCAGGAGUGGUAAUCCACUGGGAAGUUACUCGUGAGUUCCUAGAAACAAAACCGUGAGGGCAAGGGGCCGAAAGCAGACAAUAUCGUGCUAUGCCCACCUCUAUCUAGCACGAGGCCUUUUGGAAGCUCACUGGCUUCGGAGUCAUGGGAACUCUGAAGUUAAGCGAGUUUGGGCUAGACCAAUCCCAGGAUUGGUGACCCAUUGGGAAGUUGCUCGUGAGUUCCCAGAAACAAAAUCGUGAGUGCAGGGAGCCCAAAGCCUACAAUAACGUGCUAUGGCGAAGCCGAUUCGGGGUAUGACAGAGAAUAUUCAAAUAUUCAAAAUAUUUAUUUCUUUGGAGUGGAGAUUUCAGCUUGAAGACCAACAAUCAAUGAUCAUGAUUUUAAUCCAAGAAGGCAUAAAUUCAACGACAAAUUUUUGUCAACCCGGGGAGAAUGAUGCAGAUAAAAAGCCAUUAAAGUUUAUGGGGCAUUUGAAUCAAAAGCAUUAAUAAGUUCAAUGCAUGAACGUUUUGUUUUGGCUUCUAAUAAAUUCUAUGUAUUUGGAAUGGAAUAGCUAGAGUCGUAAUUAUUUGGAUGGGGCUUAAUGUAUUUGGAUUAAUAGGUUAAUUAAUUUAGGUGCUAGUUCAAUGUGUGCGGUGAGAGAUUAAGUCUUUAAAUACUUGUAUGCUCAUAUUUCUCAAAGGAGUGGUUGUUGAUAAUUGAAAUUGAAAACAAAGAGAAUGUUCUCUCAUCUUUGCUCAUAAUCUGGAUAUUCUUAGAAUUAACGGGUUUGAGUAUUUUAUUCUAUCUUUUAUGCCAAGUUUCGGGUAUUCUUAGACUAAACGGGGCUUGGUGGUUCGUGGUUCGUGUUUUCCAAUAUCCUUGCUCUUUCCAACAUCCUUGCUCGAGUGCCGCUGCACUAGUUGGUAUCAGAGCGGGAUUCAAUUGCAAAACUGAAAUCCUGUGGAGGAACUGCACCCUAGUUGUGUAGUUAGUCAAAUCUACAUCAGCUGUUAUUAGAAAUGGUUAGUGGUGAUCAUACAUUUGAUCAUUUAUUAGAUUUGGAUCUCCCUCCAGUAUUUGAUCAAUGUUCAGAUGGUUCUUGCGAGAUUUGUUGUGAUUAACAUUUUAUAGUGGAAUGCAUUGAAGAAGUCGUGGAAAAUUAUGUCAACCUUCAUAUUGCAAAUGUCGAUGAUUCCAUCGCUUUAUUCAACUCUCAUGAUACUUUCGAAGUUGUUGAAUAUAUUGAUUUCACGGGGGUUGAAAAUUUCAGUCAUCGUAGUGCAACCACUUUGGUUGAUACCAUAAUUCAUAAUAUCUGGGUUAAGAGAUUGGCAGUGGAGAAUUUACACAAAUGGAGAAUAUUCAAAUAUUCAAAAUAUUUAUUUCUUUGGAGUGGGAGAUUUCAGUUUGAAGACCAACAAUCAAUGAUCAUGAUUUUAAUACAAGAAGGCAUAAAUUCAAGGACAAAUUUUUGUCAACAUGGGGAGAAUGAUGCAAAUAAAGAGCCAUUAAAGUUUAUAGGGCAUCUGAAUCAAAAGCAUUAAUAAGUUCAAUGCAUGACCGUUUUGUUUUGGCUUCUAAUAAAUUCCAUGCAUUUGGAAUGGAAUAGCUAGAGUCAUAAUUUUUUGAAUGGGCUUAAUGUAUAUGGAUUAAUGGGUUAAUUAAUUUAGGUGUGUUUAUAUCGGAAAUAAACGGCCUAUGAUCACCGAACACGUGGACAGGAUUGAUAUUGAUCACAGAACCCCUUCGGCAUGCUUCCUACCGAAGCCAUCUAUCUUGGCCCUUUUUACCAUCGGACACGUGUCAUGCUCACAAUCCAUGUCCACAGUCCCACAUCGGAAAUAUGAGCACAGUGCACACCUCCCAAGGCCUAUUUAAGAAGACCCCUAUCCUCAAAAGGAGGAGAUCAGAACGAACGGUACGCUACCGAUUGAUCUAUCAGUUAACAUUACUAAAACUGUACUUACUAAAGCAUCGGAGAGCCUUCGGCCGGUACCACACCGGUACCCCAAGGAAUUACCGAACGUGUCCUUUUGCAGGUACUUACCCUUCUGAAGUAGAACAUCUUCCGAAGACAGUCACCUGCCGAAGGCAUAAUAUCACUAAGUUGGCGAAAUACGUGCCGAACCACUUUUUCGCAUCAACAGUUUGGCGCCGUCUGUGGGAAUCCAGAAAAAUCAUCAACCCACUAUCUCCAAAACACAUGGGGACCACUUCAGUACCCACGUUCUUAUCGGAAGAAGGGGUACCGUUCGGAAGGUAGACCGGAGCUAGCCCAGCGCUACCCCCAUCCACUCCCUUCGGAAACGCCCCCGCAACCCAAACAACCGCCGAAGCCGAGCUGUUAGUCCAAAUCGCGUCCCUACGGAAGGACAUAGCGAGACUUCAGGAACACAACAACCUUCUUUCGUCCAAAGUGGACGAAACCCAGCAGCUGCUCCACCAGCAGCACACGCAGAACAUCCAAGCAACUCACUCUUCCCAGAGCUUGCAGACCCCCCAUAGGAAGAAGAAACACGAGAAGGUAGCGAGGGCAACGCCCGCACCUUCCAAACAGUUGGUAGUUCCGGCACCCAGGGAUCAGCCGCACAUCCCCAAGAAAGUCUACUCCGAUUGCCGACAUCGGAUUAACGAUCGGGAGGCAGAGAGACAGAGGUCUCCGAUCAGGAUUAGCGCUCGACUAAGGGACUCACGGAUGAAAAUCCUAGGAAGCAAGUCGCCUAUUCGGAAGGUCAGAGGGCUGGACUCCGCAGAGGAGUCAGAAUCCGAAUAUAUCCCUUCCAGGACGCAAGCUUCCACCUACCGUUCGACAACGCCUUCACGGUACUCGGGGGUUAAUUCAUUAAGUCUAGAAAGACGAUCGGAAGAUUAUGGUUCCAAGGAAAUCUCUAGUCGAGACCCUGUUGUCCGACUCCUUUUUCAGAAAGUCCAAAAAAUGGAAAACGACAAAGCUCGCUCCCAAGAACCGGAAUGAGGAAGCUUCGGCCCGGACCAUUCACCAGGCGCAUCCGAGACUCUCGGUAGGAUAAGAAAGUGCAGCAACUGCGUAUACCGUUCUAUAUGGGAACGGAGGACCCCUUAACACACCUCCACUCAUUUCAGUCCGCCAUUGGAUGCAAGGGCCUGAGCGAUGAAAGGCAGUGCCUGCUAUUCCCGUCUUCCCUUACCGAAGCAGCCCUGAACUGGUUCUACCGGUUGGAGCCGGAAACGGUAAAUUCCUUCGACGAGCUGAAACAAAUUUUCCUCAAUCACUUCAUGAUCCAAACGGAUCGUCUUUACUCUGCCGAUGAUCUGUACACGAUUCGGCAAAGAGAGGAUGAACCGUUGAGAGAAUACGCGGUGCGCUUCAGUCACGAAUACUCAAGGUGUCCGAAAACAGACGAUAGGGCAACCUACGGCGCCUUCAAGAGUGGCCUUCGGUCCUCGCAUUUCCGAUACCUAGUACACAGCAGCAACUGGCGCACGUACGAUGAACUGAUGCAGGCAGCAAUCCAUGCCAAAGCCGAAUACUUCAACUCGAAACCCGCGGUUUCGGCACGGCGAGGAGAUGCCGAACCAAGUGCUUAUCCGGUAAAGGCGCCACCCUACGAGAGAGUCGACCCAUAUUUGGCAGGUCAUAAGAGGAAAGACGACCGUGCCGAUCGAAGAGAACACCCGAAGAAGGGAAAAGGGAGGUAUGGUCGCAACGACCACCGAGCGCCCCUGCCGAAUCGUGACCACGGCAAUGAAGUCUUCACCCUAUUGAACACUACCUACGAGGCCGUCCUAAUGAACGAACAAGAAAUAAUACCAAAGCCGAACCUGCGAAGAUCCAAUCGGCAAGACAACCGGGAUACCGGUAAAUUCUGCCGAUACCAUCAGCAUAACAGCCAUAAUACGGAAGACUGUAUAAGCCUAAGAAAAAUUGUCGAACGGUUGAUCAGAGAGGGGAAGCUAGAUCAGUAUAUCGCCCGGCAGCCACCGGCGCCGGUACCGAAUCCAAUUCGGCAGAUAAACAUGAUAAGCACUAUCAGCGGUGGCCCCACCAUCGCAGGAAUGAGCAACCGUUCAAUGAAGCAAUACGUGCGCGCCGCACAAUUUCCGCAGGUAUUCGGCAUAGAGGUGAAUCGGUAUCAUGAAAUACCGAAAGUUCAUUGGGAACCAAUCACAUUUUGCGAAGAGGAGGAAGAGGGCAUCCUCUAUCCCCACGACGACCCAAUGAUCAUUCGAGCAGAAAUUACCGACUACGAUGUAGGACGGGUACUGAUCGAUACCGGGAGCUCGGUGAACAUGAUUUUUGCCGAAGCUUUCCGAGAGAUGGGAAUAAAGGACAGCCAGGUCAACCGGCAGUUGACACCUUUGUUAAGUUUCUCUGGGGACCUGGUCCAACCGGUCGGUAGUGUAAAACUGCCAAUUACCUUCGGCACCGCGCCAAGGAAAACGACGGUAUACAAUCAGUUCCUCAUCAUUGACUGCCCGACAGCGUACAACGUCAUAGUUGGAUGAACGGCACUCACCAGGGUCAAGGCACAUCUUUUCCCCCACAUGCUAUUGAUGAAGUUCCCGACCCCCAACGGCAUAGGAGCUGUCAAGGGAAAUCAGCUAAGCGCGCGGACUUGCUACGCCACGGCCCUCAAGUCAACCUCUUUCAAAAUCCCCAACGAGACCAUGUCUGUACAGGGGAUACCGAACGGUACGGGACCCGUUGACGACCCAAGAGAUGAGCCCCCGACUCCUCACACACAACCCGCCGAGGAACUGGAGACGAUAACCCUGAGCGAAGAGCAGCCCGAUCGUUGGGUUAGAAUCAGCACCAGACUCACCCCUGCCCUCCGAACGCAGUUCAUAGACUUCUUGCGGCGCCAUUCGGAAGUAUUCGCAUGGUCCUACGAAGAAAUGCCCGGCAUCGCCCCAGGGGUCAUCAGCCAUAAACUCAGCAUCUCUCCCGCUUAUAAGCCUGUAAGACAGAAGCGCCGUUCGUACGAUACCGAGCGAUACGAAGCCAUGCGUAAGGAGGUUGACAAACUUCAAACCAUCGGCUUCAUCAGGGAGGCUACGUAUCCGGUAUGGCUGGCAAAUUCGGUGAUGGUCCGGAAGGCUACAUGCGGGUGGUGAAUGUGCCAAGACUAUACCGAUAUGAACAAGGCCUGCCCAAAGGACAGCUUUCUGUUGCCACGGAUAGACCAGCUCGUGGACGCCACCGCCGGCCACGAGCUGCUCAGUUUCAUGGACGCCUAUUCCGGAUACAACCAAAUUUUCGUGCACCCUUCCGACAGCGAACACACCGCCUUCAUAACGGACAGAGGGUUGUACUGUUACAAUGUCAUGCCGUUCGGCCUGAAGAACGCGGGGGCAACAUAUCAAAGGCUCGUCAACAGAAUUUUCGCCAAAUACAUCGGCAGCAUCAUGGAGGUUUACGUUGACGACAUGUUAGUAAAAAGUAGAACUGCCGAAGAACACCUGCACAAUUUUUCAAUCAUGUUCGACACACUGAAAGACUACCGGAUGAGGCUGAACCCGAUGAAAUGCGCCUUCGGUGUAUCUUCCGGGAAAUUCCUCGGAUUCAUGAUUAGUCACAAGGGUAUCGAAGCGAAUCCCGAAAAAAUAAAGGCAAUCAUCGAUAUGAAAGGUCGAAGACGACGAAGGACAUUCAAAGCCUUACCGGACGCGUGGCGGCCUUAACUCGCUUCAUAUCCAAGGCUACCGACAAAUGUGUACCGUUCUUUAAAGCCUUGAAAGGGGAUAAACAGAAUAUCAUAUGGACUGCCGAGUGUGAUAAAGCGUUUCAAGACUUAAAGGACUACAUGGGCAAAGCACCCCUUUUAUCAAAACCACUACCUGGGGAGAUUCUCUCCCUAUACCUUUCGGUAUCUAGCACUGCCGUCAGUUCGGUAUUGAUUCGAAAACCAGAGAAAGCAGAGUUACCGAUUUUCUAUGUCAGUAAGGCACUCCAGAGUGCUGAACUUCGGUAUCCCCCAUUAGAGCAGCUUACACUAGCCCUUGUGGUCUCGGCACGAAGACUUCGGCCAUACUUUCAAGCACACAGAAUCAAAGUUCUGACUAACCAACCGCUCCAGCAAGUGCUCCAAAAACCAGAGACUUCUAGCCGAUUGAUCAAGUGGGCGAUCGAACUCGGAGAGUUCGAUAUACAAUUCAUGCCAAGGCCCGCCGAAAAGGGUCAAGCCAUUGCCGAUUUCAUCUCCGAGCUCACCCCAUCAACAGCACAGGAGAUACCCGAGACCGGGUUGCUAGAGGAACUUGACACCGAGCGCUUUGGUGCCUCAACUCCCGUAUGGAGUCUGCACGUUGAUGGUUCGGCAAACCAACAAGGAUGCGGAGCGGGCUUGGUACUGACAACACCGGACGGACUCAAGAUCGAGUACGCCCUCCGAUUCGACUUCCGAACCUCCAACAAUGAAGCGGAAUAUGAAGCUCUCCUGGCCGGCCUUCGGCUAGCCAAUAGCAUGAAUGCAAAACAAAUCAGAAUUCAUAGCGACCCCCAGCUCAUUGUGAACCAGGUAACGGCGGACUUCGCUGCCAAAGACGCCUCCAUGUAUGCCUACCUUUCGACUACCCAUCAACUGCUCUGAAGCUUUCGAGCCUACGAGAUCAAGCAGAUCCCCAUAAGCGAAAACAGCCAUGCCGAUGCAUUGGCACAUCUGGCUUCGGCAAUUAACGACAAAAUCGGAAGAAAUGUGCCAGUAGAGAUUCUUGCCCAACCGAGCACGGUAGCCUCCGAAACAUGUACCGUACGGUACGAAGAUACAUGGAUGUCUCCUAUCUACUCGUACCUGACCAACGGCACCCUUCCAGAAGACAAGGCCCAGGCCCGAAAGCUUAGGCACCGAUCAGCAAAGUACACCGUCAUCAACGAUGUCCUUUACAAACGUGGCUACACAACUCCAUAUCUCAAAUGCCUUACGGCAGAACAGGGGGACUACGUCCUUCGGGAGAUCCAUAAUGGUGUGUGCGGCGACCAUUCUGGGUCCCGGUCACUCGCCCACAAAGCCUUUCGGCAAGGAUACUUUUGGCCGACCAUGCACCAGGACGCUAAUUCGCUAGUGAAAAAGUGUGAUAAAUGCCAGCGCUUCGGUAACAUACAGCAUAUCCCUGCCGAACCCCUGACACCGAUCGUGAGUCCUUGGCCUUUCGCACAAUGGGGACUAGACCUGAUCGGUCCGAUGCCACAAGGUAAAGGCCAGGUAAAAUAUGCAGUGGUUGCCGUCGACUACUUCACCAAAUGGGUAGAAGCCAAACCUUUAGCAACCAUAACGGCAGCAAAGAUGGAGGAUUUUGUCUGGACUCACAUUUCGUCUGGAUUUCGGUAUCCCAUAUGCUAUCAUUAUCGAUAACGACAGGCAGUUCGAUUCGGAACUCUUCAGGCAAUUCUGCACCGGCCUGAAAAUCAACUUGUUUUUCGCAUCACCAGCUCAUCCCCAAUCGAACGGUCGGGUCGAAGCAAUAAACAAAAUCAUCAUGAAACUACUGAAACGGCAGCUGGACAAAGCCAAAGGAGCUUGGUUGGAGAAGCUUCCUGAAGCACUAUGGGCCAUUCGGACAUCUUACCGAACGUCCACUGGAGAAAUCCCUUUUUCCCUGACUUUCGGUUCGGAGGCUGUGGUGCCUGUGGAAAUUGGCGAACCUUCCUACCGAACGAAAACCUUCGCACCAAAGCCGAAUGAAGAAGCACUUUCUCUAAGCCUUGAUCUUCUUAAAGAGCACCGGGCACAUGCCAACCUUCGGAAUGAAGCCUACAAGCAACGUGUCUCUCGGUACUACGACUCUAGUGUCAGGCACCGCUCCUUCCGAAUCGGAGACUGGGUCAUGCGCAAGGUAUCCCUAGCAACCAAGGAUGCCACGGAAGGAACCCUCGGACCUUAAUGGGAAGGACCCUAUGAGAUCAUCGGGAACCUACCGACUGAGAGACUCCAACGGCAAGACCCUCGGUCAUCCUUGGAACGUGGAACAUCUCAAAUACUACUACAAGUGACCUAGCCUACGGCAGGCCCGAACUGUAACCGCUCAGAAUGUAUUUGUCCUUCAACUGAAAAUAAUAAAAGUCUUCAGCACUAUUACUUCAGAACCUCUUUUUAAUUAGUCUACUAGCCCACGACUGCCAAUAAUGUCGAGUUAACGUUCUACGGCAUCUUUAUUAGCCUACGGCAAUAAAUGACUUUCGGCGACAAUACGUUCGACAAUUUAAACACAUGUUCAGAUUGUUCAAACAACAGUAGAUAAAAACAUGCAUUUGAAUUAGAGAUGCCCUCGGCAUCAAUGUGUUCGGUACACAAAAUAAAAAUAGAAAAAAACUAAUUCUACUAUUAUAAAUAAACGGCAAGGAGCCUCAAGUUUCAUCGGCGGCGACAGCCUCGGCAGAUCCGGAGCCCUCGGCGGCAUCUUCCCCUCGUAUUCUUCAAUCAUGUCCUCCGUCAGCCCUUCCGGUAGAGGAGUAGGAUCAGCGAUGAAGUUCAGAUUCAGCUUCUUCCCGAGGUUGUACCGUUUGAACCGGUACAACAGGUCCGCCAUCUCCGAGCCCACUUCCUUAUCCAGGAGAACAGUGAACUCUUCAGACGAGCGGUACCCCCGGAUAGUUGACCGAAUGGCAGCCUCAAUCUCCGCAGCCUUGGCCCGCUCCGACUCCUCCAAGGCCACCUGCACCGCCUCUUUGGCAGCCUCGGCAUCCCUCGCUGUCGCCAGCGCUGCCUCCAGGAGACCCUUCAUCUCCUCCACCUUCGCCUCCGAAGCGAGACCCUUUUCAGCAGAUGGGCGUGGUCCUGGAGCGCUUUGCCAGCCUCGGCAACCUUGGCCCUGCCGUCCUCGUACGCCUUCUUGGCACGCUCGGCAGCAGCAAUGGCCCGCUUGACGCAGAGCCACAUGUCCAUGGACGCCUACACAAAACAAACAAAGUUAGAAGCAUGCCCCACUUACCAAAAAAAAAAGGACGAAGGAAGAAAGAAAAUCUUAUCGAGGCUUGAAGCCGGAAGGCGCGUCCGGCCUCCUCCCGAAGAAGCUUCUUCGGUAGUUCGUCGAUCUCCAGCAGCUCCAUCUGAGAACCGAGGAUCAUAUGGUUGACGAACUGGACCGUCUUCGCGGGGCAGGCGAUGGUGACGGCUUCGGAAGGACCGUCCACGUCCUCCACCGCAAGGAAAGCCCUUGGGACCUCCGAUUGGCGAGGGCGUUUGGGGACUGGCUCGGCUUCCAGAUCGACUGUCUCCGGCCGCUUGCCGGCAGCCUUGGAAGCUGCGGCCUCGGUAUCCCGAUGCCUCGGUGCAGAGACCUCACCGGCAGUGCGCCCCAGAACAGGCUCGGUGCCCAGCUGUCGCAGGCGCUCCGCGAGGGUCUGAUCCUCCGGAUCCACCACCGCCUGCCGGACGGAAGCUGCCUCGGGCUGCUUUUUCUUUUUCUUGCCCUCCAGGCCCAUCAUUAGGCGCCUCCUGGAGGACUCGUUCAUCUUCUUCGCCUCGGCAGCCUUCUUGCGUCCGUCACUGGUCAAAAGUGUUUGGUCAGUUGGCAAACAAAAGCAACACACAAAAACAAAAAAAAAAAACAAAAAGAGAGAAGGAAAGAUAUACUUACUCUCGGCAGGGUGGACGAGGCCGGCUCUGACAAGGUUGUCGGUGGAGAAGAAGCGUGGGUAAACUCGCUCGGCAGCAGGUACUCUCAGCCUCACUCUGUCGAGCUGCCGGAUCUCACUCUGCUUGGGGCUCGGCUGUUUGAGUUUACCUGUCGGAAGAAGGAAAAUUAGUAAAAUAAAGCAAGAAAAAAGAAGAGAGAAGAGAAGCCAGCCUAUCAAUCGGUAUUUCGGAAACCUACCGGCAAUCUGAAAUGUCGUGGGGACCGGGAAGCGAGGAGGUGUUCCCGAUGGCGAUUCCCAAUCGCCGGAGAGUAGCACCCGCCGAUUCCUCCACGACUUUUGAGAAGUCGGCACCGAGCUGAUGAAGUGCCCCUGCUCGGAAGUCUUCAGGCAGUUCGCCUGAACCCAGCCGCCGUGAUCGGCGCUCUUGGACUUAGUAAUGCUGUAUAAGUACAAGAACUGCUCGUAGGAAGGCUCCCCCUCCUCGGCAAUCCCGAACGCAGCAAUUACCCCGAUCAAGGCCACCCAGAAGUUGGGGUUGUACUGGCCGGGAGCGUACCCGAUCUGGGCAAGGAACUUCUGCACGGCAGGUUUCAACGGCAACCGAACCCCUUGUAGAAGAACGUCGGUGAAGAAGGUCACUUCACCGUUCACUGGGUCGCUGAGGGACUCGACAGGGCUCGGUAUCCUCAUCUUCACCGAGUCCGGAAUGAGGUACUCGGCCCUAAUCCUCUCCAGCUCUCGUUCGGUGAUCUUGUUGGGCUCCAAUUAGUCGACCCCGAACAGAGUCUUCCUAGGCACACCCACCGGUAUCCUAGGCUGCUCUCGAUGGACGAUCGUCACCCUCGGCCGGGAGGGACCGGCAAUGCCCUCACCACGACCGGAGGUGGAGGCCUCAGGCUGAUGCUUAAACGGGCCGACGCGGGUACCGUCCUUGUACACCACGGUCAAGGGUAGCGGUUGCCCCGUCAUAAGCCCCUUGCCGAUGCCAUGGGUGGGAAUGGAGUUCACCUCCUCACCGAAUAACUCAACAUCGGUGUCUUCUCCACCCUCAGCGUCGAGGCUCACAGCCCCGCUGGACGUAUCCCAGCCCGAUGACAACUCCCCAUCGAACGCGUUGGGCUCACUUCCGAACGGCGACUCGCUAUCAGACAUCUACAAAACAAAGAAAGGGAAGCUAAGGCCCGUGCCACAAACUACUCUACCGAUGCCUACAUCGCUACCUAUGGCCACUAGACUACCGAAGAAAAAUUCUAUUUUACGUUCGGCUAGCCUACGCCAUGAAAAGACGUACAAUUAAAUAAAUUGAGAGUAUUUUGAGGGGUACCGAACGGUAUCUUACCUUGAGUAGUGUGGGAUGAGUUGAUCACCGAUCAGAGACUUCGAAAAUUGCCCUGUAUGCCGAGAACCGCUGUAAAAAUCGCCUUGAUUGCCGUUCACUCUCUUCGGAAAUCGCCCGCACAGAGCUCUCGCGUCAACUCACAAUUGCAAAGUGAGCCUUACAUCCGGAGCAACCUCUAUUUAUAGGGAGAAAGCUGUAACGGUACACCUCGGAAGACUAAACGGCUCUUUAAUGCGUCGUCAGACGUGCUGUUGCUGGCCACGUGUCACCCGACGAAUGGCGCCGCUGACUGCACGCCAGGCACGGAAGACGAAGCGUCUCUCUGCCCUUUUGCUCUCAGCAUCGACGACCCCUCAAGUCCCAGGUCAAUCUCCCCCGAACGAUCCUACCGAACGGCAGGUCAACCUCCGAACCGCUAUAGAGAACUAAAUUCCCUUCCGAAGGACCUUCGGAAGAGAACUUGGGGGACUACUGUUUAUACCGGAAAUAAACGGCCUAUGACCACCGAACAAGUGGACAGGAUCGAUAUUGAUCACAGAACCCCUUCGGCAUGCUUCCUACCGAAGCCAUCUAUCUUGGCCCUUUUUACCAUCGGACACGUGUCAUGCUCACAAUCCAUGUCCACAGUCCCACAUCGGAAAUAUGAGCACAGUGCACACCUCCCAAGGCCUAUUUAAGAAGAUCCCUAUCCCCAAAAGGAGGAGAUCAGAACGAACGGUACGCUACCGAUUGAUCUGUCAGUUAACAUUACUAAAACCGUACUUACUAAAACAUCGGAGAGCCUUCGGCCGGUACCACACCGGUACCCCAAGGAAUUACCGAACGUGUCCUUUUGCAGGUACUUACCCUUCCGAAGUAGAACAUCUUCCGAAGACAGUCACUUGCCGAAGGCAUAAUAUCACUAAGUUGGCGAAAUACGUGCCGAACCACUUUUUCGCAUCAACAAGGUGCUAGUUCAAUGUAUGCAAUGAGAGAUUAAGUCUUUAAAUACUUGUAUGCUCAUAAUUCUCAAAGGAGUGGUUGUUGAUAAUUGAAAUUGAAAACAAAGAGAGUGUUCUCUCAUCUUUGCUCAUAAUCUGGGUAUUCUUAUAAUUAACGGGUUUGAAUUUUUCAUUCUAUCUUUUAUGCCAAGUUUCGGGUAAUCUUAGACUAAACGGGGCUUGGUGGGUCGUGGUUCGUGGUUCGUGUUUUCCAACAUCCUUGCUCGAAUGUUGCUGCAUCAAAGGCAGACCAAUAAAAAAAAGAGUAGCAAAGGCUUAUAACUCUCGUAAAACAAGAGUGACGUGGACAUAAUAUGUUACGUCGUACUGAAGAUUUUUGGGUUUCUUUAAUUGGUUAAGUUUAUAUACAUUCAUUUGAAGAUUCUUUAUUUGGGUUUCUUUCAAGAUGAAAACCAUAUCCACAACCAUAACCACAACUUGCCAGGGGCGGAUCCACAGAGGAGCAAGGGUGGUCAAUUGACCCCUACAACCUCUGAAAUCUGCCAUUAGAGGAGCAAAAAUUGACCCUCGCAAGAUGUUCGAUGAAAUGCCCCAAAGGGGCAACUUGUCUGUCCAUGCGCUCCAGCGCUGCUUGCGCGCAGCGCGCGAGCCUUUUUUUUUUUUUUUUUUUGUUUCUCUCGACUUCAAAGGUCGGGUGAGGUUGUUGAGUUCCAACUCGUCUCCCAUCUUGAUUGGAAGUGUAGCUUGCUUACUUUUAUCUUGACGGAGAUAACGAAGUGUGUUCUCUAGUUUAGGGUCAUAUGGUAUAAGCUCGUGACUCUGCGAACGACGACCCAGCAUAUACCUGAAAUUGAAAACAAAACUCAAUUAGAUUGACAAUCCCCGGCAACGGCGCCAAAAACUUGUUGGUAAUUUUUAACAACAAUAUUAAAACCUUGAAGUGCACAAAUCAAAUGAUAGUAUAGUAACCAAGCAAGGGUCGAUCCCACAGAGAUUGUGAUCUAAAGAGAUGUUUAUCAAUGUCACACAAUGAGAACUAAAACACAAUUAAACACGAAAACAAAAUAAAGAUUGAAACCACAAGGACUUCCACACACACGCCAACACCAAGGGGGGUUUUGAUUUGAUUUUGUGAAUAAAACAAAACAAGGAAAAGAAAAGAAAACAGAAUUUAAAUUAGAGUUUAAGAGAAAUUGGUUUAAAAUCAAUCAAGAACAAUAGCUAGGACUUACUAUCCACCUCCAAACAAUCAAUCAAUCAAUCAAUCCAUAAACAACAAUAGAUAAUCAAUUUCUAGCAAGCACAUGAUGAUGACACUCACAACAAGAUCAUGGCAUUUGACUCGAGUUGUGUGAUUCCCUCUGAAGUGUAUGGCAUUUACAUCAAUACGUGUAUUCUUAAUUAAAAUCUAGUAUGAUAUUUACUCAAAUUAACAAUCAAGAAUCCAUUAAGAUCAAAGAGAAUAUGUGUGUCACAAAAACCCUAAAACAUGGCAUUUGUUAUUAGGAAUUCAAGAAUCAAUUUCUCAUAACUAGUUCUGAACUCAAUUAUUCGUUGCAAACAAGAACACAUUCAAUAUGGCAAUUGACCUAUGUUCUACAACAAUUUAAUUCCAAACAUGCUUCCAAGUUAGCUACUCAAAGAAACAAAAUAUCAGAAUUCACAUAACAUAGAGAAACCAAAAUCAUCACGCUUGUAGAAACUGAAAAUCCAUUCAAACUUGUUUAUAAAAUUGAAAUUAUGUUUAGGGCUUCAAGAUUAAGCCCUAACUAACAAGAAAUUAGUUACUCAUAUUCUUGGAUGAACUCAAAAAUAAAUACAUAAGAACUGAAAAUUAAAAGAAGGAAGGAAAAGAAAGAACUCGUUGGCAGCUUUCUCCUUUUGCGCUGUUGAUCUCUUUAGGACGUGAAUUCCCUGUAUGAGGGCCUUGGCUGGCUUUUAUAUCACUUAUAUCAGAGUUCUAAACCCUAAUAUUGACUGAAAAAGUCAUCCAAGAAGUCUUGGUAAAUAAGGAAUCCAAAUAGGGAAGUAAAGAUCACAAUUCCUAACUCUAUAGGGAAAUACAGCUCAGCCCAAUUGUUACACGAUUUGGGGAUCUUCGGCCUUGUAGAAAAAUCAUUAAAAAUAUAUUUUAGAAAGAUAAAUGUCUUAUCUUUCCAACCAUAUAUAGCACGUAACUUGAACAAUUCGGGAAGGCUUCCGUUUCUUCGUAUUCACGUAAUAUGUACGAAACUGUCCUGUCUGCACGUGGGCUAACUUUACUUGUAAUACUCUACCAAUUGGCUUGGUAUAAAAUUCUACAAAAUCACAGAUUGAACUUCAAGAUGUUAGCUUUCAUCUCCAAUUGGCCUUGCACUAAAAUUCCUCUGAAAAGUUAAUUUUCCCUUAAAAACCUUCUAAGAGCGCAGAAAAGCUGAAAAUCAGAAAAGUAAAGUCAUAAGCCCUUUUUAAAUCCAAUUAUCCUACAAAACCUAAGUAAAAAGAGUACAUAAAUGAGUAUAUUUAUGGACUUAUCAAAUUUCUGGCGUGUAAGGCACUUCCCAUACAUGGCGUUGGAAUUUCCGGCUUAUGGGAAGAUUAUGUGAUUAUUAGGUCUCACACGUGGCGUUAGAAUUUCCGGUGUGUGAGACACUUCCUAUAGGUGGCGUUGGAAUUUUCGGCAUAUGGGAAGAUUAUGUGAUUAUUAUGUCUCACACGUGGAGUUGGAAUUUUCGGCGUGUGAGACACUUCCCAUACGUGGUGUUGGAAUUUCCGGCGUAUGGGAAGAGAAUAAGGAGAGGAAAAAAUAAUUAUUUUACUAUAUCGGGGAAAGAUUGAUGCUUAAAAGAAUAAUGUCUUGUGUGUUGUGAUUUAAGGAAAAGGAAUAAUUCUAUAAUUUACUAUUUUAUUUUGCUGUAAUGGAUUGUAUGUUAUUGGAAUCGAGAUUCUUGUAGAAAGAACUACAUGUGGCUUGAUCCCUCAGUAAGGAUACGUAGGUAGCUUAGGGUCUCACCCAGGUGCAGCCGCGAAAUAACUAUAUAUAUAAAAGGUUUAACCGGUUUUGAAUGUGUGAAUGAAUUUUGAGGUGGUUGCGGGAUUUGAAUCCUAAUUAUUACUACUACUAGGUUCAGUUUUGAUUAUGAUGGAACGCCUGAAGCUCGACUCAAACUUGAGCGAGAUUAAAUGCUUGUUUAUUUCUCGAUUAACUUGAUUGGACUUUAUUAAAUAGAAUAUGUGGUUCUGAUAUGUCUGAGAUCCAUUUCGAAAUAAAUGACUGAUAUUAGGUUGAUUAUAUUGAGUAAUGGGCUUGAGGCCCCUAGAACCGAAAAUCGCGUGCCCUUAUUCCUUUUUGGGAAAGGAGGCUAUAGUUUUAGUGACUGGGCCCGACAUCGUGGUGAUGUCAAAUUUUCCACAGGAUAUGUUCUGGGUUCCGAGGAAUUCGAGGCAGGUCUUGUCAACUAAUCAAUCGUCACAUCCCAGGAUCGGCUCCGCUGUAGCACGAUAUUGUCUGUCCGCUUUGGGCCUCUCUCUCUACCUUCACAAUUUUAUUUCUGGGAACUCACAAGCAACUUUCUAGUAGGUCAUCAAUCUUGGAAUUACUCUAGCCCCAACUCACUUAAUUUCGGAGUUCCCAUGACUCCAAAACUAGUCAGUUCCCAAAAGGCCUCGUGUUAGAUAGAGGCGGGCAUGUACAUAUAAGACACAGCACCCCCUCUUCGUUAAUCAAUGUGGGAUGUUACACCUCCCUUCUAAUCUUGUACUAAAAAAAAACUUACACUGAGAAGAGCAAAGAUGAGUGGUAGAUGGAAACCCAUUAAGAUUGAAAUACUUAUGCAACAGGAAGGUGAUGAAUAUGAAGGAAAAAUAAAACUUAAUAUAUAUAAGAUCAAGUGAAAAACAAAAUUAAGUCAUCAAACACUGACAGAGAAAGUAAAACCACUUUAGUUGAUCAAAUCCAAAUUUUAUAUAAUCUGUAUUAAUGAGUGGAGGAGAGACUUGAAGAAAAAAAUGAUAAAAACUUUCAAUCUCUAACAAUUUCUACGUUUGUCCUUCAAAUUUGCUUUUUGGCAACUCUUUUUUCUUUUUGUGAAGUUGGGUCUCAACUUCCAAGGCCCAAAAUGCAAAAACUACCUCAAACUCAAAGCAUUCCCUGGGCCUAUACAAUCCUCAAGAAGAAGACAAGCCCAAUGUGAGGAAGAAGAAAAGAAAAAGGCAAGGAAUCUAUGAGUUGACCUGAUCAUUAUGCAAUUAUUCAGAGAGAAUUUAUGUCACAUCUACAGCCGGAGAAAGCAAUCUGCAACUGCAAGUGAGCUUUUCUAGUCAUUAGCCAAAGGCAAAACAAACUUGGUCCUUGCAUACAUAGCUUAGCAGGUGCGAAUUCCUUCACUUCUCUCUUUCUACUUUUUUUUCUUUUCAUUUUCAUAAUAUUUCUUCUAGAUUAAUGUAUUGUUCUAUAAAUUGAUAUAUAUGUUUCCACAUGUCCAUUUGCCUGAAGGUUUAAGUCGCUUGUGUUUCAUGGUAUGUUUUGAUCGAGGAGUAGGUUGACACACUGGUCAAAGUUGAGGGGGUUCUUUGUAUCUUAUACCCUAUCGAUUUUCUUAGGGGUGUCCUUUCGUGCCGUCACUAUGGUUUUGCUCAGCAUAGCACAUCAACAGGAAAAUGGAAGAAUGCAAUCAUGCUGGUCCAAAUGACACAAUUAACAUGCCAUACGUUCCAUUAGAAACUUCAUUGAGGGAGGAGUUAGAUAGCUUGCCUGCCUUGUCCUCUUCGUGUUGUAUCUACAGAGUUCCCAAUGACAUACGACGUCUGGAGGAAAAGGACUACACACCUCAAGUCAUCUCCAUAGGUCCACCUCAUCAUGGCAAGGAAGGUUUAGAAGCCAUGGAAGAGCUGAAAAGAGGUACCUACGAGAUUUUAUGUGUCGGACUAAGAUAAGCUUGAAAGACUAUAUCAAGAAAAUAAGGGACCAAGAAGCAAGACUGAGAAGUUGUUAUGCAGAACCCAUCAAAUUUAGCAUUGAUGAAUUUGUAAAAAUCAUUCUAGUGGAUGCUGCCUUCACUACUGAGUUCUUAUUGAGGUUCUAUCUGAAAGAAUCUGGACAUGAAGGAGACCGUUUGUUAAACAAUCCGUGGAUGUUCAGGUAUGUACAGCCUGACAUGUGGUUGCUUGAAAAUCAGCUCCCAUUCUUUGUUCUUGAGGAUCUUUAUCACACAUACAUAAUAACCGACUCUUUUAGGAAUUAUUACAGUACUCAUGAUCAUGAGAGGCUUUCAAUAAUUAAUAUUUCAAAGAAUUUCUUCACAGCUGGAAUAUUGAAUUUGGAGGGUAAAGGAGACAAAUGGAACAGAAUAUCAUCUUCUUCUAGUUCUAUUAAUGUGCAACACUUUGUUGAUCUUAUAAGAAUUUUCUAUCUACCAUUGGAAUCAGAAUUAAGAGAUGCAGGGGAGCUCAAAACCUUGAACAUACCUAGCAUCAAAGAGAUGCACCAGGCUGGAGUCAAAAUUAAGGUAGGAUCAAGCAAAAACUUAGUCGACAUACAAUUUGCAAGUGGAACUCUCAUAAUUCCUAAAAUAAUGAUAACUGGUGACAAACUGCGGACCCUGGGAAAUGUCCUUGCCUUUGAACAAAGCCAUUGCAUGGAAGACAACUACUUAAACGAUUAUGUUAGCAUCAUGGGUCGUUUUGCGAACACUCCAAAGGGUGUGGAGUUGCUUGUUGAGUUUGGAAUUUUUCAAACUGCGGGUACCACCAGCGUGGUGUCAUCUAUGAUUACCAAACUUGCCUCUGAGGCUCUUUUCUUUGUCGAUAGAUUCUGUUACGCGACUCUUUGUGAAGAGCGGAACAACUUCUGCAGAUCGUCCUGGAACAAAUGGAAGGCAAAUUUGAGACAAAAUUAUUUCAACACACCUUGGGCAUCUAUUUCUGUCAUUGCCGCUGUUGUUCUCCUCACACACACUCUCAGACAAACGGUGUGCUCUGUUAUCUCUGCUACUUAACCAUUAAAGGGUAAGUCCCUGCUUUGCCGCUUUCUCUUCUGACAAUAAUAUGUAGACUCAUCUCUGUUUUUAUUAUUUAUUUAUUCACUCACAUGGUUCUAGCAGGAACACUUUCGGGAAACUAGUAGUAUUUCAGGUCCUCAUCAAGUAAAGGGAUCCGAGGAAAGCCUGUGAACUCAAGUCCAGAUGAUGAAUGUAAUAUUUCUAUUGUUUGUCCAAAUUUUCACAGUGAAUGAAUUCAAACUGCAGGUUCUUCCUAUCCAGAUUGUUUCUGAUGAAAUAUUAUUUAUUUCUGUGCUAUAAAUUUUUUAGUAAUGAAAAAAGAGAGAAAAAAAAACUUCCAAUGUCCACCAAUCUCUGUAAAAAUUAAUUUGUUUUAUGAUUAAUUUCUCCAUGGUGGUGAUCAAAUCUUUAUUCUUUUUGUGGUUAAGUUGGAUCCCAAGGCCCAUAAACACAAAAACUAACUCAAAGCAUUCCUGGGCCUAGAAACCGCUUGGCAUCCUCAAGAAGAAGACAAGCCCAACAUGAUGUGGGAAGAGUCCAAGACUAAACGGCUCAAGUCGAAGGAAAAAGCAUAUAAAGAGAGUUUGAUAUUUUUCAUCAUCAAAUCCGUUAAGAAUUUUAUGUAUUUAUUAUUAGUAAAUUUAGGUUUUACCCAUAAAAAAAUUUUCAUUUUUGGAAAAAGCCAAAGCUUUUUGAAAAAAGACAGAAUAACCUCUUAACUUUCAAACCAAAGACAUGCAAAUGUAAAGGAUUUCUUAGGAAAUCAAAAAAUAAAUAAGGGCAAUUUUGUCCAUUUUUGCUUGUUUUAAAAAUUUUCUCUCUCCUUUGGGCUUUUCCAAAGUCUCCCUUUAUUAUUUUAUAUUUUUUUAGUACAAGCGAUAGGGAGGGGUUUCUCACACACACAACUAAUGUCAUGGGGGUUUGAACCUGAUACCUCUCUGGUCUACAAAUCAAAACCCUUUUUCACUCCACUAGACCCUGUUGGCUUUUUUUUUUCUUCUUAAGAGCAUUUUAAAUCUAGUAAGAAACAACCUAAUUUUUUCCGGAACAUUUUCAUGGAAUAAGCAUUGCACACUCCGCACAAAGGACACAGAAACUUCACCGAAACACAAAAGCAGAUUUUACUUAUAGUCGACAAACCCUUGUACAAAAUGUUGAUUUUUAGUUGUCGUGGGACCUGCAAUGGAUUAUUCAAACUUCCCCAGGACGCGCAUAGACAUGUCAAAGCAAAGGCAAGGAAGCUACAUGAGGAGUUGACCUGACUUCCAAACCAGAUUCACUAGUUCUUAUACUGAAAUCUAGCAGAAGAGCAAGCUAUCUGCAUUGAGCUUUUCUAGCUACUCAUCUACCAACUGCCAAAAAAAAAAAAAAAAACUUGGGUUUCAAUCCAUAGCAGGUAUGUUUUCAAUGCCCAAACUCCUUUCUCUGUCUUUCUUUAUUUUUCUAUGUUUGCUUGCACAUCCAAUUUCUUGAAGCUUUUUAAGUGUCUUGUGUUUCAUUUUAGUUGGAAAUUGGAAUUGAGCAAAAGGUUAUGUAAAUGUCGUAUAUAAUUUUCUUCUCUUGUAAUGGGAUUUUGGUUUGUCUAUGUUUUGACUGGAAGCAUAAUCUACUAUCUGAUAUCAUUACACAAAGAAUUUGUUUUAUUAGAAUCUCCAAUAAUGCAGAACACGAAAAAGAUUUUUUUUUUAUUUUUUAUUUUUUAUUUUUAUAAAUGUAAUAAUUCAUUCAAGACUUUCAAUUCUUUUCCUUUCGAACAAAUAAAAAAAAUGGUGUCUCUAUGUUAAUGUGAAUUAAACUUUCGUACUGAUUCACAUGAUUAGUAGGAAUUUUUCAAUCAAAACUGCAUUAGAAUCUUCCAAGAAUAAUUACAAGAAACAGAGUUGACCAGAAGAGUUUUGAAUGAAUUUGGUGCAUUCAAAUCAAAUUCUUAAGGCACUAGUGUGGUAUGUAAGAGUUACAAGGAUCAAAAGUCUUUGUGUGUUUGGUCUUAUAGUUGCAAUGUUUGUAUUAAUUUUCUCAACCAUCUUGAAAAUUUGUUUAUUGUUGUGUCAGUGACUAUCAUUUCAUUAUCAUCCAUUACGAUUGACAACAACAAACACAUCAGCGGAAAAUGGAAGGAAGCGAUCAAGCUCCACAUGAUAUUGAAAACCCCUGCAUUCCAUUAGUAACUUCAAUGGGCGAGGAAUUGGAUGGCUUGUCUCCCCUCUCCUCUCUGUGUUGCAUUUAUAGAGUUCCUGAACGACUACGGCGUGUGAGUGAAAAGGCCUACACACCUCAGGUAGUCUCUAUAGGCCCACUUCAUCAUGGCAAGGAAGGCCUAAAAGCCAUGGAAGAUCACAAAAAGAGGUACUUACAAGAUUAUAUACGUCGGACCAGGGUAAGCCUAGCGGAUUAUGUACAGAAAGUAAAAGACCAAGAAGCAAAACUGCGCAGUUGUUAUGCAGAAACCAUUCAGGUUAGCAGUGAUGAAUUUGUGAGAAUCAUUCUGGUGGAUGCCGCCUUCAUCAUUGAGGUCUUGUUGAGGUAUCGUUUCGAUGAAUUGCAGGAUGAAAAUGACUGCAUAUUUAACAAACCAUAUAUGUUGCAGGAUGUAUGGCCUGACAUGCGGUUGCUUGAAAAUCAGCUGCCCUUCUUCAUUCUUGAGGAACUUUUUGACCCCGACAAAAUCGAAGUCUCUUCUAACAAUAACAAUAUUGAAAGGCUUUCGAUACUCAACCUUUGCCACAAUUUCUUCAAAAAUCUAAUGCAUAUAGAGGGAACAGAUGGCAAUAUGGAGAAAUUAUGUGCUUCUAAAGUUGAACACUUUGUAGAUUUUUGUAGAAAUUUGCAUCUACCUCUACCAUUGAAACCACAUGCUAAAGGGCGACUUGAAACUCUAAACACACCCAGCAUCACAGAGUUACACAGAGCAGGAGUCAAGUUUAGGGUGGGAUCACCCAAAAACUUAUUCAACAUAAAAUUCGCUAAUGGGAUUCUAAAAAUUCCAAAAUUAGCAAUAAGUGAUGAGACAGAGCUUACAAUCAGAAACCUCCUCGCUUUUGAACAAUGCCAUUGCAUGGAGAAUUACAUAAACGAUUAUGUUGUCAUCAUGGAUCGCUUUGUGAACACCGCAAAGGAUGUGGAGUUGCUUGUUAAGCAUGGAAUCGUCGAAAAUAGUCUCGGUGACAGUAGUGAAGGGUCUACUCUGAUUAACAACCUUGCGGAUGGGGUCAUAGUGGACCCUAAUGACUUCUAUUUUGCUAUUCUUUGUGCAGACCUCAACAAGUACUGCAGAACGUCUUGGCACAAAUGGCAGGCGAACUUGAGACAAAACUAUUGCAACACACCUUGGGCAACUAUUUCAAUUGCUGCGGCUAUUUUUCUCCUCAUACUCACUUUUAUACAAACAGUGUGCUCUGUUAUCUCUGCUCUGCCUUCUAAGCGUUGAGAGUAAGUCUCCUCUUAGCCGUUUUCCCCUUGUCAUUUCCUUUUGGUCCUCCGCAUGACACGAGCUGGGUUUGUCACCAGCCUAGAGGUGCAAGAGAGCUGGAGAAAGAAAAAGUUAGUGUAUAUGUAGAAAAUAUAGCCUCUGUUAGUGAAAGUGAGCUGUGCAUGUAGAGUGAUGGAAGCAAUGUGGUUGUUUUAUUUGUUUCUCCAUGCUUGUUCGGUAUGAAACUGUUCAAAUUUUAUAACUUUAUUGUUAAUCCGAGAGCUGUUAUGUUGGGUACUCCAAUGUAACAAAUCAUUGAAAAUCUCAUGUCGGUAGAUACUAGUCUUUAAUCUAAGACAUCCUUUGUCAAUGGAGGUUUUGUGCAAAAACUAUUUUAUACACAUAUUUUAUACCCUAAGUGAAGCCCCUAUUUUAUACCCUAAGUGAAGCCCCUAUUUUAUACACAUGAAAAACAAUUUUUGAUCUUCAAAAAAAGCAAUGCAUAUUCGAAAUAUAACUGAAAAAAAGUGUAUUGUCUAUGAUUUUAUUUUUGUAUUUUAGGUGCAUACAAUUGGAUCUAAAAUUGCCACAUAACUAUCAUAAACUUAGAAGCCAUAUAAUUACGCUUACGAAAUAUGCUAGCGUGCGUCGCAUGUGGGCAUGUGUCACCCUAUUACCAUACUGUAUGUCCUGGACGGUAGAUGACUGGACCUUUGCCUCCGACCAAAAUAUACAUAUAUUUUCCUCCUUUUCUUGAGCUUUAUAAGCGUCCAACUCCAUUCAUAGUUGAUUUCGAACCAAAACAAAGAAUUCAUAAUUGAUUUAUUAUUUUUCCAACUAUAUGCACAAGGACCUAUAGCCUUUUCGAGUGUAUAAUUAAUUAGCAUGAAGAAAAGGAUAGAAUUCUUUUCUUGCAGACCCAUACAUAAAUGUAGAUUCGAUACAUUUACGCAGUCCACCCGCACCAAAAGAUUGCAAAAAGUUCACAAUAUUUUUAAAUGUAGAUUCGAUACUUUAAUUGAUUGCUAUGAAAACCUUCUCUGGUGAGGCAUUAGUGGUCUUCAGCUCUUCACCUUGGCAUUGGUGGGUGAAGUCACACCACAUCCCCUACCCUCGGGUUUAGUAGAGUCUCCCGACCACAAAGGUUGGGCAGCGCAAGCAAACCAGAAAAAUUAUAGUUUUGGGAGCUUCUAAUUUAUUUUAUUUUUUUACACUAAACAAACACAGUUGAUUUAAGUAGAAAUCAAUUUAGUCCUUUAGCCAAGCUUGAUGGUAAAGUGGGGCCAAUCACACAGUCCAUAUCCACCCCUUGGAAUCUCCAUAACCCCCAAAAAAGUUUCAAAAAAAAAUUUUUACAAAUAAUUUGAAAUGUUUGAUAAUGAAUGUACACAAAUUAUAGCUCUGGGAGCUUCUAAUUUUUACACUCUAUAGCAACCAAAAAAAAAAAAACCCAGUUAAUUUAAGUAGAACUCAAUGAAGUGCUUUAUUUCACUAAGCCAAGCUUGACGGUGAAGAACUGAUCAACUAACAUUUCUUUUGCAGGUUCUGAAAGAAAAAGUAGAGAGGAAAAAGAAAACGUUGCUUUUCUGCUUUUAUUAUUAUUUGAACCAAUUAAACCGGGGUUGCAUAAGCGCUUCUAUUAUAAAAAUGUUGAAAUCUUCAUAAGAAAUCCAAGUGCCUCCUGGUAAAACAAUUGGGAGUGCUAGCUUAUUUAGAAAGCGCUUCUAAAGGUUUAAGCCAAAUACUGUCAUAAGCGCUUUUGGUUGUUAAAAAAGCACUUUGAGCUAUUCUAGAAGCAUUCACAAACAUGCCCUGGCUAUCUAUGGACUUCUCCUUUUUAUACCCUUGGGAGAGCUACGAACCCACUAAUUUAUAAUAAGUAAAUUUAGGUUUUACCCAUAAAAAAACUUUCACUUUUGGAAAAAGCCAAAGCUUUUUCAAAAAAGACAGAAAAACCUCUCAACUUUCAAACCAAAGACAUGCAAAUGUAAAGGAUUCCUUAGGAAAUCAAAAAAAAAAAUAAGGGCAAUUUUGUCUAUUUUGGCUUCUUUUAAAAAUUUUCUCUCUCCUUUGGGCUUUUCCAAAGUCUCCCCUAAUUAAUACAACAUGCCAAGCCUUAGAAAGGUAAAGCCAGGUUAAGCAUAACAUGAACAGUGAAAACCAGGUUUCACUACAUAUGGAUGUCAUUGCAGCUGUUGUUCUUCUCAUACUCACUAUCAUGCUGUCUGCCUGCUCUGUUGUCUCUGUUACUUAACUUAAUGUUAAAGUAUUUUAGAGAUCGAUUCAACCAAUGUUGUGCCUAUUGUUUUCUUAUAGUUCGUUUGUGUGAGUGGUGGUGGUAUUCAAAUUAUUUGUUUGAUGUAAGACUAAAUAUAUAAUUUUUAACAAAUGUAUCAGGGGUAAUUCCCUUCGCACUGAGAGUUUGAAUAGCUUAUUUAUAUACAAACAGAAGAACCUCCACUUCCCUAGUUUAUUUCUUUUGACUCUGUGGACCAUUCCUCGAAAGAUGAUUCUCGAUCCUGUUCGUAAAAAAAUUUCUAUUUUUAGUUUAAAUUUUUUUUAUAGGUUUACCAUAAUCUUUUUUAAAUUUAUUACUUAAAUAGUGGUAGUGGACAUUGAACAACCGGGAGCAAUUUACUUAUGAUACUUAGUUGACAUUCAUAAAAAGUAUCUAAUGAAUUAUGAGUUCAAUACAUCUAAAUUUUAAAUCAGUAAAAUAUUUAAAUAUUCACUAAAGAAAUAAUAAUUAAAACAUAAUUACUAAUUAAAGUAAUUAAAAACGGCUAAGGUAUUACUUAUUAAAUUAAAGAAGUUGGCCAAAAAACAAAAGUAAAGGAACAUAUUUUAUAUUUUUAAAAUUUAAAGAUAAAAAUAAAAUAAAAUAAACCAAAACAACCUCUCUCGACAAAAUUUCGUCGGCACAAGUUUAUACCGGCAAUAUUUGCCGAAUUAGACCUCUCUCGACGAAACUCACCUCUGCUGACGAAAUUGCGUUGGGAGAAAUCUAAUUAGGUAAAAAGUUGCAUGCAUAUACCCGUGCCAACUAAGUGUAACAUCCCACAUCGACCAACGGAAAGGGGGUGAUGUGCCUUAUAUGUACAUGCCCGUCUCUAUCUAGCACGAGGCCUUUUGGGAGCUCACUGGGUUCGAAGUCAUGGGAACUCCGAAGUUAAGCGAGUUGGGGCUAGAGCAAUCCCAAGAUGGGUGACCCACUUGGAAGUUGCUCGUGAGUUCCCAGAAACAAAACCGUGAGGGCGGAGGCCUAAAGCUGACAAUAUCGUGCUACGGCGGAGCCGAUCCCAGAAUGUGACAAUAUCGUGCUUAUCACUGGUGGAAGACAGUCCGCAGACGGUAUGCUAACCCUGUUCCCUUACUUGGGAAGAGUUUCAGAGGGUAUUCUUCGAUCAGUUCUACCCGCAUUCUUACAAGAAUGUGAAGAAGUCUGAGUUCUUGCAUUUGAAACAGGGACAGAUGUUAGCACUGGAAUAUAAGCAUAAAUUAGGAUUUCUCUAGCCCAAACUCGCUUAACUUUAGAGUUUCCAUGACUCUGAAGCUAGUGAGCUUCCAAAAGGUCUCAUGCUAGAUGGAGGCGGCAUGUACGUAUAAAGCAUAUCACUCUAUCUCCGUUGGUUGAUGUGGGAUGUUACACUUCACCCCCGUUAGUGGCUCGACGUCCUCUUCAGCACACUCGCACCACACAGCAGAGCAGCUCUAAUACCAAAUUGUCACAUCCCGGGAUCGGCUAUGCCGUAGCACGAUAUUAUCCGUUUUGGGCCCCUCCUCUCUGCCCUCACGGCUUUAUUUCUGGGAACUCACGAGCAACUUCCUAGUGGGUCACCCAUCCUAGGAUUGCUCUAGCCCCAACUCGCUUAACUUCGGAGUUCCCAUGACUCCGAAUCCAGUGAGCUCUCAAAAGGCCUUGUGCAAGAUGGGGCCGGGCAUAUACAUAUAAAGCACAUCACCCCCUCUCUAUUGAUCGAUGUGGGAUGUUACAAUAUGUCACAAUUAUAAAUAGGAACCCAAGAAGAACAUAUAUCAUAUAAACUAUUCAACCAGUCAUCAUUAGCCAAUUCACAUUCUUUCAUCAAUUCCUUCCACUUUUCUUCAAAUUCCUCUAUCUUGUAUGUUGACAGAAUACAUUUCUUCAUCUGAAUUUUGAAUUUGGACUUCGUGAAGUACACAUGUGACAAUUUUUCUACAAACUUCUUCUUAAUAUGCCAGAGGCAUAACCGAUGGCGAGUGUUAGGAAAAAUCUUGACAAUUGCUCCUUUCGUUGCCAAGUCUUGGUCAGUAAUAAUGGAAACUAGAUGACGUCCUCCCAUUGCUUCAAGCCAUGUCUCAAACAACCACAAAAUGUCACUUCUGUCUCAUCUUGUAAAAGUGCACAUCCAAAUUGUAUUGAUUGCAAAUGGUGGUUUACUCCUGUGAAUGGUGCAAAUGGCAUAUCAUACUUGUUUGUCCUAUAGGUUGUGUCAAAUGUGACUACAUCUCCAAAAAGUGGUACGCCAUGCAUGAUCAAGCAUCCACCCAAAAGAAAUUAGCUGCCCUUCCGUUUUCAUCACAUUGAAUGGCAUAAAAAAAAAAUUGAGGAUUCUUAGCUUGCUUCUUCCUAAAGUAAGUAAGGACUGGUUGUGCAUCACCUCCAUCCAGUUGUCUAUGCCGGACAUUUCUCAAGUGGUUAUAACAAUCUCUAUUGUUAAAACCAAUAUGCAAUUGGCAAAUUUUCUUCAUGAAAUGUUUCAGUCAGAAUUUUAGCUGUUUUCGGCAUAACCCUAUUUGACUUCAUUUUUAUUCUUCUUUCCGGUGUAACUAGCUUGUGAUUGUGAGAGUCUUGGAAACUUGAAACUUUCCAUUUGUUUGACCAUCUAUCAAGCUUAAUUCUCAUACUUGCUUUGCAUCCACAUUUCACCGUAUAACAAUUUUUACCCGUUCUCUUCAUAUUCUCAAUCUCACUUAUGUCUCUCUCAUCAUUCUCUUCUGAAGCCUUCUGUGAUGUAUUUUUGGGCACAUAUUUUCCUUCAUGUGCACAAACAAAUUAUCUACUCGUUACCUCAUCUAAACGCCUUCUUGUCUUGGAGGAAGAUCAAGUUCUAAUCCAGAAUCCCUCUUGCCGGCCAUACUCUUCAUAAUAGUUUCUUGCUUCUUCCAUUCUGUCAAAUACCAUCCCUGUAUAUGGUGCUUUUAAUUGUGUCACUUUCUUUUUUGGAGUACUUGUUUCACCAUUCUCCACUUGAAUUAUCUCCUCUACCUAUUGAACAUAUUUAUCAUUCUUAACGAUGCAACUUAGAAAAAUAUUGUACAUAUGUUAAUAAGAUAUAUAUGAAAAUGAAGAAUAUGAUUAUCUCUGCAUCAAAAUAUUAAUGCAAGAUGAAAUAUAAUUGAAUAAACUUUCAUAUUGAUUUUAAAAUUUAAUUCUUAUGUUAAAAGACAAUCAUUAAUGGCACUACGAAUUAUUUUUUAACAUAAGAAUUCUUAAUGGCCCAAUAAUUCAGCAAUCCUAACAUCGUAUAAACUUUCAUAUAACAUCGUAUUUAUAAAUAUAUAAAAAAAAUUGCAAUCCUAAUUGUCUACAGGAAGAGCUACAACAAAGAUAAAAAAAUCUCAGAUGAAAGUAACAUACCAAAGAUAUGCACUAAGAGUUGGAGGAAAUAUCUUGUGUGCGCUCCAACAUUUUGAUGAGGCAAUAUUGUAUUCAGAUAUGAGAAAUUGCUUUGACAUAAAAGAACUAUACUGAAGAUGAAUUCAUGGUUGCGUAUAUGCUGUGCAUGAAGAAGAAUAAACUGAAAAGAGUCCUUAUUAGACCUUAAUAAAUAUUUGAGAUUAAAGAGGAGAGAGAGAGAGAGAGAGAGGCGUGCGAAUGUGAUUGUGGUUUGGGUAUUUAGUUUUUGGUGAAAUUUUUUAUUUAUUAGAUCCUAAUAAAUAUUUGAGAUUAAAGAAGCAGGAGAGAUCCUAAUAAAUAUAUUUGUUUGAUGUAAGACCAAAUAUAUAAUUUUUAACAAAUGUAUCAGGGGUAACUCCCUUCGCACUGAGAGUUUGAAUCGCUCAUUUAUAUACAAACAAAAGAACCUCCACUUCCCUAGUUUAUUUAUUUUGGCUCUGUGGAGCGUACUUCUAAGUAAUUUUCAUAGGCACAAGCCAUCACUCUUUUUUUUUUUUUUUUUUUAAAUCAGUAAAAUAUUUAAAUAUUCACUAAAGAAAUAAGGACAAGGACACUGUUACUGUGCUGCUGUUACUGUUACUGUGCUGCUGCUGGAAAAAGGACAAGGACUUCACAUGUUGCUUUCGUCUUUUGCGGAGGAGAGAGACCUAGGACUUGCAUGUCUUAGAUAUUUAAGAUAAGGGGCUUUUGUGCCAUUUUGAAAUUACUUUGGGUGUUUUUGAAAGCGGCUUGUUUCUUUUGGGUUUCUCACUAAAUUUCACUUUAGAGGGAAUAAGGGAAAUAAUAAUAAUAAUAGUACAGACCUUAUUAGCAACAGGGUUACAAACUUCUUCUACAACACACACCAACAUGAAUCUAGCCCAGAUCCACUCUUUUACAUACUUGAAAACAAAACAAAAAACAAGAUAGGGAGAAAAUGGCUACAGAGAGACUUACUGCUAAUACUUGAUCAAUAACAGAGAUAAUAGAGCACACUGUUUGUAUGACAGUGAGUAUCAGAAGAAUAACAGCUGCAAAGAGAGAAAUAGCUGCCCAAGGUGUGUUGAAAUACUUUUGUCUCAAAUUUGCCUUCCAUCUGUUCGUGGUCUUCUUGCAGUACUCGUUUAGUUUGCCAGCAAGAUCACCAAAAUAGUAGUUUUCGUGGUUCGGAGCAACUUUACUGCAAAGCUUGUUAAUCAUAAUGGAAACCUUAUUGUUGUCACCUAGCGUGUUUACAACAAUUCUAUUCUCAACAAGCAACUCUACAUCCUUUGGAGUGUUUACAAAUUUAUCCAGGAUGAAAACAUAAUCGCUUAUGUAUUUAUCCACGCAAUGGCAUUGUUCAAAGGCAAUGAGAUUUCUAUGUGUAAGCUCUGUGUAAUCAUGUAUUUCAAUUUUUUGGAAUUUCCAAGGUGUUUUUCUUGAACUGUAUAUCGAAUAAGUUCUUGCUUGAUCCCACGUUAAACUUAACUCCGGCCUGGUGUAGUUUUGUCAUGCUGGGUGUACCUUGGAGCCCUCCAUUUUUCUUUUCUUUUGGCAGAUGUAAAGUUCUAAUAAAAUCAACAAAAUGUAAAGGUUUUUUAGGAUCAGGAGGCAUAAAAGACUUACGGAAGGCUGGUGAGUUCUCCAAGUUUUCUAAACGCAGUGCCUGUUGGAAGAACCUGUAAGAGAGUUCAAUUAUUGAAGGCUCCCCAGUCUGAGCACCUGUGAGAUUGUAAAGAUCCUCGAGAAUGAAAAAUGGCAGCUGAUUUUCGAGCAUAAGCAUGUCAGGCAAUAUAUUUUGUAGCACCAUGGUUUUUUAAAUAUCCAAGCAUUAUCAUCCUGCAAUUUUUCUUCCUGAAAUUUUUCUUCGGAUUUAUUCCUCAACAAUAGCUCAAUGACAAAGGCGGCAUCAACUAGAAUGAUAUUCACAAAAGCAGCAAUGUUAAACUUCUUAGUGUCUUCAUAAUAAUGACGGAGAUCACCUUCUCUCUCCUUUAUUUUCUCUAAAUAAUCCUUCAAUCCUACUACUUUAGUCCGAUCAAGAAAACAUUUUAGGUACCUGAGUUUGUGAUCUUCCAUGGCUUCUAAGUUUUUGCUGCCAUGGUGAAGUGGGCCUAUUUAACUACUUGUGGUGUGUAGGCCUUUAGUUUUACGUUCUGUAGUCGCUCAGGCACCCUGUAGAUACAGCAGGCAGGGGACAGGGCACGCAAGUUUGUCAACUGAUUUUCCAUGGAAGUUGCUUGGUUUUCUAUGUCAAAAGAAGCUUCAUUGCUGCUUUCUUCCACUUUCUUCCUCCCCAUUAUGUGUUGUUCUGAUUGUAAGCGACGAGGAUGGUGAUGAUUCUAGACACCAUAAUCAACAAAUGUUUCAAUCAUAAUUGACAUUUCAAGAUGCUCCGACAAAAAAUUAGAAAACAUUCAUCACAAAAUGCGAACUCAUACAAUAGAUGGGAUGAGAAGAUCCACACAUUGCAAUCAUACAAUCCAAUUGCACAGGGAUUAGUCCCUAUUCUCCUCUCUCUCUCUCUCUCUCUCUCUCUCUCUCUCUCUCUCUCUCUCUCUCUCUCUCUCUCUCUCUCUCAAAAAGAUUUUCAUAUCGAUAACAUCUUAUUGCAAGGGAAUUGUACACCAAGUAGUGAAGAACAGAAAUUCAUAUUCUUUCAAUCAAAAUGUACAAAUUUCGAAAAUGUUUGUUUGUUUUAUUUUUUGGGGAAAAAAAUCUGUGCAUGUUAUAUGUAGACCUAAGGUGAAAACAGACCAGAUUUUUACGCCAUUUUUCAUGAGGUUUAAGUUUGUGAUGUAUAUAUUUAUCUCAAGUGUAACAUCUCACAUCGAUCAAUGGAGAGGAGGUGAUGUGUCUUAUAUGUAUAUGCUCGCCUCCAUCUAGUACUGGGCUUUUGGGAGCUCACUAGCUUCGGAGUCAUGGGAACUCCGAAGUUAAGCGAGUUGGCGCUAAAGCAAUCCUAGGAUAGGUGACUCAUUAGGAAGUUGCUCGUGAGUUCUCAAAAACAAAACUGUGAGGGCAGAGAAGGGGGCUCAAAGCAGCCAAUAUUGUGCUACGGCGGAGCCGAUCCUGGGAUGUGACAAUUUGGUAUCAGAGCCACACUGCCAUGUGGUGCCAGUAUGCCGACAAAGACGUCGGGCCCUUGAGAGGGGUGGAUUGUAACAUCUCACAUCGACCAACAAAGAGGGGGUGAUGUGCCUUAUAUUUAUAUGCCCGCCUCCAUCUAGCACGAGGCCUUUUAGGAGCUCACUGGCUUCAGAGUCAUAGGACCACCAUCCCAAGUUCAAUAUACAACCCAACAACCAUCUUAGCCAUCUUCUCAUUGAUCUUCCACCCAGCAUAUAACACUAUUGUUGGAGCAUGAAAUUUCAGAUCCUCCAACAAGUAAUUUUUUAUUUCCAUGUUGAGAAGCCGAACACCAUCUUCGAUUAUCACCAUUGAGUGAGGAGGGGGGUACCUGCAAGAAAACACUCCGACCCUCAAGUCAGUGUUCGUUCAUGAAUACCGCAAUAGAAUCAAUCGUAACUCCCUCCCCCUAUGCUGGGGGAUUAGUUAGCCUUUUGUAGCCAUUGAACCCUUGGACUCUAAGUCCCAUAUCCUUAUUUAUCUCCAUGCUCAAUGGUAGUGGAUAUCAUGUUAUUUGAUUCACUCCACUCCAUAAAUUUAGGGUUCAUGGGAAGUGGCUUGUUAUGUGGGCCUUAAUUUUUGCUCCCAUGUCUGCCCCCUUUUCUCUCGCUGGACACGUGUCUCGGGUGUAUAGAGAGAAAAUAUUCUUUGUGGGAAUUCAUUAUGUGUAGAAUUUUAUGUGGAGACUUGACUUAUAUUAUCUUUGAUCACGAAUUCGGCCUUUAGCCAUGAGUAUGGUCUUCGACCAUGAAUAUGAGCUUCGAUCACGAGUUCGAGUUUGGGCUUCGGCCGUAUAGUCUUCAACUAUGUAUUUAACUUUCAGUCACGACUAUGGCUUUCAGCCACAUGAGCUUGAAUUUCUUUCACAAUCGUGGUCUUCAACCACUUGAAUUUGACUUUCAGUCACAAGCAUGAGUUGAGUAUUGGCAUGCCCCCCAUUGGUUUAGAAUGCAUGUGUUUACUAACUAGACAUUGUGGCUCUUGUUUAUCCUCUGUUUAUGUUGAUUUUGUCGUUAGUUGGGCUUCAUAAAUUGCCACCAUAUAGAAAUAGGCUUAUGGCUUAUCUUGAGUGGUGCAGUAGCUGCCUCCACCACGCAAAUGUAGUCAAGAGGUUAACAAGCUGCCAAAUUCUAACCACAAGAUAAUAAUGUUAAUUUCGUCAACAAAAAUCAGAAUACGCAGGCUUAGUAGUAUCUAGAUAUUGAGCAGCAUAUGACUACAUUCAAAUUCAGGCAUUUUAGAGAGCCAUACAUGCAACUGUUCUCAUCUCCCAAAUGCAAGAGAAAUAAGUAAAAUACCUUGGCAUGUGUCAGAUGUAUAUAUAAUCAAUUUAAAAGCUUCUGAUCAUACAUCCUUGAGGCAUGAAUAUAUGCAUUGAUAAAAGAUGUAAGGAUGUUCCAUGCUAUAAUUCGUGGAUCCUGAAAGUGACAAUAGAAAACUUAUCUGUUUGCAGUUCGGCUCGUGCCCCCAUAGAAAUUGGUUUUUUGCCCAAUUCCAAAUUCAUAAUUCAGUGUUAUGACUUCUUCAACUACAUAACAUGACUGCGUACUUGAUGCUGCUAGGUCACGAAACUACCAAAAGCAUGGGGUAGAAAUUCUUCUCUAUUUGGGGCAAAAAUUCAUGCCCCCAUUCGUGCCCCUAAUUCAACCGUUUUGUCACAAACGGUUGCAUACAUCCCAAUAAAAAUUGGAUACUAACCUCUGAAAAUUGAAGGCUCUUUUCACGAAAAUUCUUUUGUGAGAUUUUGGAGCCAUGCGUGAUUGGUAUAGUCCAAUUCAUAUUGUUUUUAUGGCAAGAAGAUGCACUGUGAUAAAAAUUUAUAGUCGUGAAAUGAUAAAAGAGAGUAUAGAAUUCUUCUCUGUUGGGGGAUUUAAUUCAUGCCCCCAUUGUAGCUCCUAAGGCAAGAGUGUAUCCAUGGCUUCUAAUUAUGACUUUUUGUACGGUUUCCACAGACGGCGCCAACUGUUGGAGCAUGAAAUUUCAGAUCCUCCAACAAGUAAUUUUUUAUUUCCAUGUUGAGAAGCCGAACACCAUCUUCAAUUAUCACCAUUGAGUGAGGAGGGGGGUACCUGCAAGAAAACACUCUGAUGCUCAAGUCAGUGUUCGUUCAUGAAUACCGCAAUAGAAUCAAUUGUAACUCCCUCCCCCUAUGCUGGGGGAUUAGUUAGCCUUUUAUAGCCGUUGAACCCUUGGACUCCAAGUCCCAUAUCCUUAUUUAUCUCCAUGCUCAAUGGUAGUGGAUAUCAUGUUAUUUGAUUCACUCCACUCCAUAAAUUUAGGGUUCAAGGGAAGUGGCUUGUUAUGUGGGCCUUAAUUUUUGCUCCCACAACUAUCUUCAUAUACUCUUUAGCUUAAUCUCUCUGUUGCUUUUGUCUUUUAUUUUUUUCAAAUUAAAUUUUUUAGUUUAUAUUUUUUUUUAUUGGUGUAGAUUCAAUGACAAAGAACAUCGAACUCGUCGCAACAUCUUGCCCUAGAUCCGAACUCUACCACCAUCACAACCCUCCCUCUCUUGAUCUCCGACCAACCUUAACACCCAACUUCAAAUCUAUGUUGUUUGAAACUCAGCCCCCUUCCCCAACCCCCCCCCCCCCCNNNNNNNNNNNNNNNNNNNNNNNNNNNNNNNNNNNNNNNNNNNNNNNNNNNNNNNNNNNNNNNNNNNNNNNNNNNNNNNNNNNNNNNNNNNNNNNNNNNNUGUCAAUAAGAUAAGAUCUCAUUGCAAGUGACUUGUAGAUGAAGUGGUAAAGAACAAAAAGUCAUAUUCUUCCAAUCAAAAGGUAUCAAGUCAAACAAAAUUUCUAGUUAGUUUGCUUUAUGAUAGUUGUUUUUUGAAGGGGUCCUUAGAUCCAAUCUCAAAAAGUUUGACUUUUAUUAUGUUUAACUCUGGUUUUUGCAAUUUUUUUUUAUCUCUACCCACUAACUUUUAUCUCUCAUUUUUAUUACCCAUUUUACCCUUUAAAAUAAAUAUGGCAAUAAACUAAAAAUUCUGAUUUAAUGCAUGUUUUACUCAUAAGAGAACUAAAACCUAAAAAUUAUGUACUCUAACACAAAAAAUAAAAACUAAAAAUAAAAAUUGAAGUGGUUAUCAAACAGAUCCUUAUAUUACAAAGAAAAUAUCAAAGAUUGAACUCGUCAUAAGAGAACACAGAAAAACCUCACUGCUUGCAACACCACCACUACACGAACAACUGCUAAUUUGACAGGACCCGCCCCAAAUUUUCUGAAAUUCGAGACGAAUCCUGUGGAAUUCCCGACAUAAUCCUGAUGUCGGGCCCACUUCUAAAACUAUAUCCUUUUUCCCAAAAAAGAAUAAGGGCGCGAGACUUUCUACCGAAAUUUCGGCAGAGUCUCUCCUACAAAUUGGACAUUUCCCAAAAUUUUAACCUGCAUAAAACACAAUUUAUAUUUCCAAUUGGCAACAUGCACAAGAUAAUUUCAUGCAAUUCACAUAAACGGCAUUCGGCCGUCCAAUAAUUAUCAACAAACUACCAAGCACGCUAUCAACUCUAUUCAUACCUUAAACAAGGCAAACAAUAAAUUCAAUUAUGAAUACUAAAUACAACAUGCAUCAUCUAACUUUUCCAAUCCCAAUAUACGAGGUUUUAACCUCCUAACACAAUCACAUCUAUGUCCGCGGCUGCACCUAAUAACCUUAGGCUGCCUACGUACCCUCACUGAGGGAUCAAGCCACGCGUAGUUCUUCCUACUAAAACCCGAUUUCAAACACAUACAAUACCUUUAUUCAUCUCUCUGUUAUUCACAUAAUCUCCUCAUACGCCGGUACUACCAACGCCACGUAUGGAGUCUGUCAACACGCCAGAUAACCUACGCCACGUGCGACCUCAACAUACUAUCACAAUAUCUCCACAUACGUCGGUACAACCAACUCCACGUAUGGGGUAUGUCAACACUCCGGAUAACCUACGCCACGUGCGACCUCACUAUAUUAUCACAUAAUCUCCCAUACGCCGGUACAACCAACCCCACGUAUGGGGUCUGUCAAGACGCCGGAUAACCUACUCCACAUGCGACCUCAACAUAUUGUCACAUCAUCUCCCCAUACGCCGGUACUACCAACGCCACGUAUGGGGUGUGUCCGCACGCCGGAUAACCUACGCCACGUGGGACCUAACAAAUACAUGGUGGUACUUAUAAUGUAACCAAAAUUCGGGGAGGUACCUAGGGUAGUGUGUAUAGCACCUCAAACUGACAUUCUAGACUCUUUUUCAUACAUUUAUACCUAUAUUUAAAUAUAUAAGUUACUCUAACAUUGUAUAAACCUCAACAUCAUCCCAAGUACUCCACACAUCACCAAUACUUUACCAAAAAUGCUAACUUAACUAUUAAUUAUUUAUAAAAAAAAAAAGGUUUUCAAAAAAUCAUUAAAUUCAUAUGCCUAACAAUACCAUCACAAAGCCAUGCUAUUCAUUUAAAAAUAAGGACCAAGAGUUUCCUACGAUAAUAAUAAACACUCUAAAAUCUCAGCCCAGUCAACAUGGCUCAACAACGCUCAAGACCUGUCAUUAGGGUCAUUUUAAUCCUUCUAGGAAGGUAAAACUACCUCGGAAGACUCAAGGUCAACCAAGGGUCAAACUACCCACACUUGGUCAAACGGGCCCACGGGGCCCACGACCUCCAAAUUCUGAUCCGAAGGUUCCUAUGGGUUCUACAAGGUAUAGGACACUCGUCCUGCAAGUUUAGUCCAGAUCGGACGGUCAGAUCGCUCACGAUCGCACGAUCUGACGGUUAAUAUAAACAUAAACUUUAAAUUAUUAAAUCGGACAUCCGGGGCUCCAAUUUACGAUCCUUGAAUUCCUACACAAUUCUAGAAAUACCUAGAUUAACAUAUAUUAAAUUCAAGACCAUCCAACGGUCCCAACCUAUCAUACCCAGAUAACGCGCAAUAAGCGAUAUCCGUUCGAGCCUCAAACGGCAUCCAAAUUGACAUAUGAGCACACCUACGCACUCGUGAGAACCAGGAGUGCCCUUUUUCUACAGUGCCCACGUGCCUCCGCACGUGCCGGCAGCGCGUGGGUGCCCAAAGCGAUUACGCAUCGUCGGAAAAUCUCAAAAUCACGGCUCCAAACUCCUACCCUAGGUAUAACACCAUAUUUGGAGCCACUUUUGUUCUUGGACCUACCCCAAAAACUGACCGGAGGUGGCAUGAAUCGCAAUCCUAAAAUCGGCCGAAUUUAAAUUCGUAAAUCAAAUUUCCUACGCUAGGAAUCGAUCGAAUCCUACCCAACAGGCAGCUAGAGCACAUUAAAAAGAUGAGAAAGCAUACCAAGAUCGAGGAAAAUGGUGGCCGGAGGCAUUCUAACGAGCUCCUUGAAUUUUGGGUUAAAACUGGUCGGAUUUUUACAUUUUUCGGCGAUCACAGGUGGUUCCAGCAGCUGAGAUUGGUCAGGAUGGGAAGAGGGAGAUGGCCCAGUUCUUUUGGGACUGAUGCCACCCCACGCAGUGGCCGGAUGCGACAGUGGUGGCCCAAAAACCACCGCGGUGAACAGUAACAAGAGGGGCUGUUUCUGCGCGCAGGGAGAUGAGGAAGAAGAAGAAAAAUAAAAAGAAAAAGGAAAUUUAAAACUGCCCGGUUACUAUAGCACGGCACUGUUUGCUACAGUACAAAAUUUUAAAAUUUCCUCCUUCGUUACAACUCGGAAUUGGGCGUGCCACAUGUCUACAAACUCAUAUCGACGAGCUCUAAUGGUGCUACUUAAUUCUCCAAAAUCUUUCCGAAUCAAAAAAUGACCAAAAUACCCUUACCCAAAGGGUAUAUUCCUAAAUUCAUAUUUAAAUUAAUUUAAUAAUUUAAUUGAGUAAACAAAUUAGGAUCGGGGUGUUACAUAAUUAAAAUGAGUCACAUGUGGUACUUAACUCUAAAAACUUAUUUAGAUUAUAUAUCCAUACUUAUUUAAAUGAGGUAAAUAGUACGUUUACAGAGUUUAAGUGUAAUAAAUGAAUAAAAACAUGCCCAGAGGAUUGAUAAGUGAUAUCAAUUCUUGAAUAUACAGAACGUAAAAUAAAAGAACACGUAGAAAAUUAUUUUAUGUGGUAAAACCCCAUCUCUAGGGAACAUCCACGGGGCUUUUUAGUCCAAAACAAAUCCAUUAUAGAACGAGGAUUAUAAGAAGUACUCACACACUUAUCCUAGACACAUUCUAGAUAAUGUUUAUUGACUUCUUCGUAACUCAACUUCUGUCACGAGAUGAUCUUUCGACACUCCUUAUGUUGAACGCAAUACUGGUCACGAUUUCUUCAAGCUCCUAAUAGAGUUCUUCCAACUCUCCUUGUAUUGAAUCUGACACUAGUCACGAUCGAUUCAAGCUCAUCGUAAAAAAACCGCCACAACGGUCUUGGUGCCCCCAACCGUACGAGUCACUGAACAUGUAAAUGAAUACAAUAUGAAUGAUAAAAGUGUUUGAUAAAUCACCAAGUUAUGGAACACUUGAUGAUUUAUCUUAAAUAAAAACUCAGCUUUCCAAAGUUUAUGAAUUGAAAAUAUGAUCGUUAAAGCUCUCUAAACAAAGAAGAUGAAGGUCUUAUUCUAUAGAAUUUUUCUUUACAAGAAAGAAAACACGUUGAAAACCAAAUCUUCAAUUUCCAAGGCUUGACAGAAAAUCACAAAAGUAUCUUUCCUAUUCUAGAGAUUGGUCACAUGUAGUCCAACCAAUAGGAAAUGAGAUAUUUAAGAAAGCAAGAUUUUGAUCAAUAUCAAUAUCAAAUGAAUUCUUAUACGCCUAGUCAACUAUUAAGGGUAUCUUGACUCCUUGAUAUUGUGAUAUGAUUGAAACAUGAUUUCCAUGUUAGAAAAUUAAGGGGAUGUUAAAACAUGAAAGUAUUAGGAGAAUCAAAUUGAUUUGGACCAAAAUUGCCUAAAAAGAAAACACUCCUAAAUAAACUUCAAUUCACUUUUAAAAACAGUAAAACGUGAUUAAAUCGUUGUUUAAAACAAUUCCCUAAUAGACAUGCAUGAUAAUGACAUCACUUACUCCUAAAUCAAAUUGUCACGUCCUGGACUCGGGGGUUGGUGGAAACCCCGCGCCCGGUGCGUGAGAAAAUAAAAAGUAAAAUAAAAUAAAAAGAAAGCCGAAAUAAGGGUUUAAAAUAAACUUCUCUUAUAAAAAUAACUCCAAAAUCUUACAACUUUACAAGAAAUAAAUAAAGCUCUAUCAUUCUUAUCUAAUUCAGCCUCAACUGGUUUAGUCCUUGUCUUGCCCACUAAUUCAUCUGAAAAAUUAAACAGGGUGAGGGAUGAGCAAGUAAGGACAUGAGACCUUGCCACAGUAGAUUGAUAUAACUAAAUAUUAUCAUAAACAUAUAAAUAUAUAAGUAUUAUUAUAAUAGGAUUCAUAAUAAUUAAUAUAAAAGUAUAACAACAAUAUUGACAUAUACGUACCAAGAUAAUUACAUAUAUAAAUAUAACCAAUAUAUAUUUAUAUAUAUUUUAAAAUACGGGUCUUUACGCAAAUGCCUUUCGCGGGUCAAGCCACAAGUCUAUGUUUUGGAGAUUGCUGAGCUGCAUCAAUCCUGCCAAUGUCAAUUCUGCCCCUAGGCUCUCUCAAAGCAAGUUUAAAACCUAUGCUAACAUAUACUAGAGUUUAUGCUGUAUCUAGAAAAUGCCAACACUAAUUUCGUAACACGUAGAAAUUGUUAGAGAUGGAAGUUUUUAUCAUUUUUUCUUCCAGUCUCUCCACCACUCACUAAUACAGAUUACUCAUGUGAUGAGUUUACAAACCUAUUUCUCUACUCUCGCAAAGACUAUACUUCUUCUCAAAAGACUAGAUCACUUUACCUAUAUCUCUGUGAAAUGUAAAAAGUUGAAACUUUAAUGUCAAACCUCGACAAAGUGUUCUACUUUACAAACUUCUUGUAUCUACCAAUUUCUACUAAAAUUAAUUUCUCUACGGUGCUCAGAUUCAUCAUAUGUGUGUCCUUAAUUUUAGUUGAAAUUGGAAGUUUCCAUCAUUUUUGCUUUAAGUCACUCUUCUGAAGGAAGUUUAGGUUCCACCCCAUAAUUCAAAAUGUCAGGUUGACUUAAACAAUGUAAUUAUGUAGGAGUACUAUGACCUUUUAUAGCAUUUUUAGUUUGAAUUUGGGUUUUAUACAUAGAUUUCGAAAUUAAUAGGUUGAUGUCUAGGAAAUAGAAAUUGUAAGGGCCUAUAUUAGACUAGCCCUCUUAAAAAAAAUAUUGAUUAAUGAAUAUUUGUUCUUCUUAUUGUUUUGAAGUAGUGGUGGGAGGCAGACCAACAAAAAAAAUAUAGUGAAGGCUUAUAAGAGCAUUUACAAUCAUGCUCCCUAUUUUUCAGUUAAAAUUUAGCUGAAAAUAGAAAAAAGUUAUUAUAGGAGCUCUUUAUAAAAUUUGAACUCCAAUCAUACUCCCUAGUUUAGGGAGUCAUAAAUACUAUAGUUAUUUUUUAAUUCAAUUUGAUUUUGGUUAAUCUCUAUAAAUAAAUGAAAAUAUGAUAAAAUAGUUAGCAUUAAUUAAAAGUUUAAACUAUGCAUAAAACAAAGAAACAUUAAAUUAUAGAGAGCCACUAUAAGUCAUUUCUCUCUCCUCAGAUUUAUGAGCUCCUAGAGGUCUCCUUAUUUUAGGAGGUGGAUAAGGAGUGUGAUUGGAGUUGUAUUUCUUCAAUUUCCUCCCUAAAAUUUGUCUAAGGAUGUGGUUUAUGGAGCCCAUUGUGAAUGCUCUAACUCUGGUAAAACAUGAGUGACAUGAACAACAUAUGUUACGUCGUAGUGAAGAUUUUUGGGUUUCUAUAAUUGGUUAAGUAGCAUCCACAAUGAGUUUCCUAAAUCAUCUCCUUAGACCAAUUUUUAGGGGAGGGAAUUGGGAAAAAGUACAACUCCCACCCAUGCUCCCUAUCCACCAACUAAAAUAGGGAGACCUCUAGGAGCUCCUAAAUCUGAUGAGAGAGAAAAGACUCUUAGUGACUCUCUAUAAUUUAAAAUUACUUUAUUUUAUGCAUAUUUUGAACUUUUAAUUAAAUCAAAUUAUUAUUUUUAUAUUAUUUUGUAUACAAAUAGACUAAUUAUAUUAAAUUAAAAAAUAAUUAAAGUAUUUAUGACUCUUUAAAUUAGAGAGCAUAAUUGUAGAUCAUCUUAUAUACCUUAAUUUGAAGAUUCUUUAUUUGGGUUUCUUUCAACACUUAUCACCUUAGCCACACCACCUACACCAAAUUGACGUCUGCAAGCUUUCGUAAUCUAACAAGGAAGGGGAGGCUGCGCAAUACUUAUCACCUUAGCCACACCAACACCACAAGACCAAUAUGUGUAGUCCAGGAGGCUUUCCCAUUUUAAUAUAUAUUAUCAAAUAAAAUAAAAAUCAAUCUAUUAUCAUAUAUAUUAUAAAAUAAAGAUUAUUGCUCCAUCCUCCAUGCACUUGCAUGCCCUCUUACAAAGUGUGAAGUAGAUUUUGUGUGCUCCAAGUCAUUGACUAGAGCUAUAACAUGGUUAGCUGGAUUUAUAAGAUCUUUUUUUUUUUGGGAAUUUUCUGAACCAAGGAAAAUCAAGUAAAAUUAAUAAAGCAUAAAUUAGAAAGGGAAAGUAUCUAGAGGAUGCAUUGUAGGAUUGCACAUGCCAAUAAUUGUACCCUCUAAAUAUAUAGGGAAAUAUUUUUUUUGUUUUCAUGACAUGUGGUCCUAAAAUUAUUGUUCCUAGCGGGCUCUCCAUCCCCUCUCAAUUGAAAACCAAUGGUGUAAAUCUUCAAUCCUGAAUAAUGCACCUAAAACUCAAGUGUCCCAGGCCAAUUAUUGCUCUCAUACUACUUGUUGUAAUAAACAUCCACCCAUUCUCAAGGAAAGAUAACUAUCGAUAUUAUCUCAAAUUUAACCACUUAACUUUAUUAUGAUUAACUAUGUAUCUUAUGGACCAAUCCAGCUGUGAGGUUUUAUACCCAAUUAGAUCGACCAAUACAGAGGUCACACGUGGAUUGAAAAGCGUCAUCGGUAGGGGAGUGUUCGACACCUUUUACUGCCGAGCGCAACACAAGACCCCUUACCAGGAACUUACCUGCUAAGACACGUGGAGACCCCACAUGUAAUAUCAACAGUCCCACAUCGAAAUUUAACACAACAUGCACACACCUCAAGACUUAUAAAAGUGGGCACAAGUCCCAAAAAUAGGGGAACUUGGUCUUUUGGCAAUUCAGCCAUUACUUUAUCCAUAUUAUUAUACACUCCGUACUUAUUCUAAUUUCAGCAUUGGAGAGCCCUCAGCCCAAGGAAUUACCAAGCAUUCUCCAUCUUGCAAAUUAAUUGCUCUACCGAAGCCCAGAAGGAGCCAAAGGCCAAGAUAGCACUAAGUUGAACCCAAAAAUGUUAAACUAUUUUUUAGCAUUAACAAUAUAUAUAGAUUUUUAAAAAAAAAAAAUCAAUCUAUUAUCAUAUAUAUUAUAAAAUAAAUAUUAUUGCUCCAUCCUCCAUACACUUGCAUGCCCUCUUACAAAGUGUGAAGUAGAUUUUGUGUGCUCCAAGUCAUUGACUAGAGCUAUAACAUGGUUAGCUGGAUUUAUAAGAUCUUUUUUUUUUUGGGAAUUUUCUGAACCAAGGAAAAUCAAGUAAAAUUAAUAAAGCAUAAAUUAGAAAGGGAAAGUAUCUAGAGGAUGCAUUGUAGGAUUGCACAUGCCAAUAAUUGUACCCUCUAAAUAUAUAGGGAAAUAUUUUUUUUGUUUUCAUGACAUGUGGUCCUAAAAUUAUUGUUCCUAGCGGGCUCUCCAUCCCCUCUCAAUUGAAAACCAAUGGUGUAAAUCUUCAAUCCUGAAUAAUGCACCUAAAACUCAAGUGUCCCAGGCCAAUUAUUGCUCUCAUACUACUUGUUGUAAUAAACAUCCACCCAUUCUCAAGGAAAGAUAACUAUCGAUAUUAUCUCAAAUUUAACCACUUAACUUUAUUAUGAUUAACUAUGUAUCUUAUGGACCAAUCCAGCUGUGAGGUUUUAUACCCAAUUAGAUCGACCAAUACAGAGGUCACACGUGGAUUGAAAAGCGUCAUCGGUAGGGGAGUGUUCGACACCUUUUACUGCCGAGCGCAACACAAGACCCCUUACCAGGAACUUACCUGCUAAGACACGUGGAGACCCCACAUGUAAUAUCAACAGUCCCACAUCGAAAUUUAACACAACAUGCACACACCUCAAGACUUAUAAAAGUGGGCACAAGUCCCAAAAAUAGGGGAACUUGGUCUUUUGGCAAUUCAGCCAUUACUUUAUCCAUAUUAUUAUACACUCCGUACUUAUUCUAAUUUCAGCAUUGGAGAGCCCUCAGCCCAAGGAAUUACCAAGCAUUCUCCAUCUUGCAAAUUAAUUGCUCUACCGAAGCCCAGAAGGAGCCAAAGGCCAAGAUAGCACUAAGUUGAACCCAAAAAUGUUAAACUAUUUUUUAGCAUUAACAAUAUAUAUAGAUUUUUAAAAAAAAAAAAUCAAUCUAUUAUCAUAUAUAUUAUAAAAUAAAUAUUAUUGCUCCAUCCUCCAUACACUUGCAUGCCCUCUUACAAAGUGUGAAGUAGAUUUUUUGUGCUCCAAGUCAUUGACUAUGGUUGAAACAUGGUUAGUUGGAUUUAUAAGAUCUUUUGUUUUCUGGGAAUCUUCUGAACCGCGGAAAAUCAAGUCAAAUUAAUAAAGCAGAAACUGUACCCUUUAAUUAUAUAUGGACAUAUGUUUUUUUGUUUUCAAGUCUUAGAUGACAUGGGGACCUAAAAUUAUUGCUCCCAGUGGGCUCUCGACCCCUUUCAAAUUUAAGUGGUCCAUUAUUAUUAACCACAUAUUUUAUGGACCAUCCAGCUGUGGGGUUUUAUCUCAAAAACCUUCGGUACAUUUCUCCCACAUGCCACAAUUGUAUAUUCACAAUUACUUCUGGGUACCCCUCAUCAUUCGUCUAUAAAAUGGUGAAGCCAGUUGCUCUGUUACCAUAAGAGCCAGCUCCGACGUUCUUUAAUUUCUUGCUACUUCUGUUGCCAAGUUAAUUUCAGUCCUAAUGGGGUUUCAUCUCCCACUCAUCGUUGCUAUUCUCAGUGUAAGCUCUGCAAUUUGAUUAACUUUUCCAUUCUCUCUCAUUGUACUCUAUAUAAACGAAAGUUUUGUGUUCUUAUAAUUCUCUCCGAUUUAUUUAGUACGUACUUAAGUGUCGUCCACUAAUUAAUUACACUUUGUGAGAUUUGAUUUUAAUUAGAGUUGGAAUUAAUGUUGCAGCUAGCAGCGGUUGCACUGGCAAACAAUGCUGCUCAACCAGCACCUCAACUUUACUGGAACUCCGUCCUGCCAAACACACAGAUGCCAAGAUCUAUCAGUGAACUUCUGCAUCCUGGUUUGUAUUUGAGCACUUUAGAAUCUUAGAUAUCUCUUCUACCUGCCAUUUUACUAAAAUAUGUUCGACCACAUAUUUAUCAGUUAAAUACUGUCAUUACAAGAAUGACACUUAUUUUCCAAUAUAAUUUGCAGACUCCACAAAUGAAGAAAAGAGCAAACCUGAAAAUAUCCCAUUGGCACGUUCAGGUUACAGUCGAAAAAGGUAUGGAGGAGGUCCUCCUCCAUCUGACGAGGGCAAACCUGAAAGUAUCCCAUUGAGAAAUUCAGGUUACCAACGAAAAAAUUAUGGAGGACGUCCUCCUCCAUCUGACGAGGGCAAACCUGAAAGUAUCCCAUUGAGAAAUUCAGGUUACCAACGAAAAAAUUAUGGAGGACGUCCUCCUCCAUCUGACGAGGGCAAACCUGAAAGUAUCCCAUUGAGAAAUUCAGGUUACCAACGAAAAAAUUAUGGAGGACGUCCUCCUCCAUCUGACGAGGGCAAACCUGAAAGUAUCCCAUUGAGAAAUUCAGGUUACCAACGAAAAAAUUAUGGAGGACGUCCUCCUCCAUCUGACGAGGGCAAACCUGAAAGUAUCCCAUUGAGAAAUUCAGGUUACCAACGAAAAAAUUAUGGAGGACGUCCUCCUCCAUCUGACGAGGAAAAACCUGAAAGUAUCCCAUUGAGAAAUUCAGGUUACCAACGAAAAAAUUAUGGAGGACGUCCUCCUCCAUCUGACGAGGGCAAACCUGAAAGUAUCCCAUUGAGAAAUUCAGGUUACCAACGAAAAAAUUAUGGAGGACGUCCUCCUCCAUCUGACGAGGGCAAACCUGAAAGUGUCCCAUUGAGAAAUUCAGGUUACCAACGAAAAAAUUAUGGAGGACGUCCUCCUCCAUCUGACAGUCAACUACUCCAUUAUAGAGACUUAGCUAUUUUCUUCUUCGAGAAGGACAUGCGCCCUGGCUCAACAAUGCAGUUCCAAUUCCCUAGAAAUUCAAACACGGCUACUUUCCUGCCACGCGAAAGUGCUCAAUCAAUCCCCUUCUCCUCUAACAAACUAUCAGAAAUUUUCAACCAUUUUUCAGUGAAGCCGACAUCUGUGGAAGCCAAAACAAUUAAGCAAACAAUCGAAGAGUGUGAAGCUCCAGGCCUUAAGGGAGAGGAAAAAUAUUGCGCCACAUCUUUAGAAUCAAUGGUUGAUUUUAGCACUUCGAAGCUUGGAACAAGAAACGUUGAAGCAAUCUCGACGGAGGUAUUGGAAGAAGGAGCCACCAAGUACAUGCACAACUAUACAACAAUGCCGGGACUGAAGAAGUUGGCAGGUGACAAAGUCGUUGUGUGUCAUAAGGAGAACUAUCCCUAUGCUGUGUUUUUCUGCCAUGCAAUAAAACAAACAGAAGCUUAUGUUCUCACCCUGAAAGCCGAUGAUGGGAUGAAGGUUAAAGCAGUAACCAUCUGCCAUCUAGACACAUCAGAAUGGGAUCCAGAGCAUUUGUCCUUCCAAAUCCUCAACGUUAAGCCCGGAACCACUCCCAUCUGCCAUUUCAUUUCCACUGAUGCUAUUGCCUGGGUUCCGAACCACAAAUCUGCAUGAUCAUCACUUAGCACUGUACGUAUAAUAAGCUUGGUCGGGUUGCACCCUAGGCCUGCAUAAUUAUCUCCCUACUUAUUUCUGCCUCUUCAUCAUGUGGUGUAAGAUAUAUGGUGAGAUGAAGUAACUAUGUAGACUUCAACUUGUACUCAUAAUAAAGCAUGCUGUUGGGGGGUUCUACUUAAUUUCGUUCUCUCCAAUGUUUGAGUGUUGAAUUGUUACGUUGGAAUAGGCUGCUAAUGCAUGUAGUUAGAGAAGCCUUCAUUUAUAUCAUAGUCCUCAAACUAUCAAGAAUUAAUCCAGAAACAAACCAAGACGCAAAACAACAUAUUUUCCAUGCUCUGUCUGUAACACCAAAGCAAACUUCCUUUAUCACAUCAUUUAAAGGAUCAAAUUCCAGUACUAAUCAAAUCCCAAGGGCGAAACCAAGAAUUUUUCAACGAGUGGGCUAGCUAAAGUUAUUAGCUUAAAAUUUAAUGAUUUUUUCUUUUUUUUGGAACUUCCAAUUUCUCUAGUCUUUCUAGAAAUAAAAGUAAACAUUAAAUCAUAUCAACCAAGCUAGUCCAUAGCUCCAUAGACUAAUUUUCAAAAAGUUUUAACAUAAACCAAAUAGGGUUUAACACCAUAAUGGAUUAAACAUCUAAGACUUUUUACCUAGAUUGACCUUAGGUUUCUUCAUGCAUUCAUAUCAUACAUGAAAAGUUGUUUUAUGUAAAAAUAUUGACUAAGUAUGAAAAAUGGGUUUUCGAAAUAAUCAUUUUCUCAAGAUAAUUUUUGAUGGCUUUUAUUCCUCACACGUCAAAUAAGAAAACUUGAUUUUAUGAUAUUUUAGUAUGAAGUACAUAUUGACUUAAUGAGCCAUCAUUUUUAGCCUAAAUUGUAUUUUGCACUAAAACUGAUUUUUCAUAUUUUGAUUUUGUGGCAAUUUGAUUUUCUAGUAUUUUUAUUUGAAUCCAAAUGGGGGGUAUUUCCUUAUUUCCAUUUUCAACGUUUAAGUAAAUGUAGUAAUAUAAAAAUAAAUAAAAGUAAAAUGACAAAGACAUUUACUUAAACGUUGAAAAUGGAAAUAAGGUAAUCUGUACAGUGCCACUGACUGGGCUAAUAUUGAAAAUAAGUUAAAUAUAUAGGUUUUAUUUAUUUAUUUUCUUAAAAAACCAUACUAGGCUACAGCCCACUGUAGCCCUAAAUUUGUCCAUUGGAUAUAUAUGAAAUAAGGUAAUCUGUACAGUGCCACUGAAUGUGCUAAUAUUGAAAAUAAGUUAAAUAUAUAGGUUUUAUUUAUUUAUUUUCUUAAAAAACCAUACUAGUACAGCCCACUGUAGCCCUAAAUUUGUCCAUUGGAUAUAUAUAUAUAUAUAUAUAUAUAUAUAUACAGAGAGCUUCCAUUGAGGGAUCCCUCAAAUAAGCUUAUUUGAGGGACACCCCUUGUAGGGCCCACUGCAGAUUGUAUUUCACUAAUCCAAACCAUCUAUUUUUUAGAUACUCAUUCAAAGAUCAUCUCUAUAAAAAUUCACUUGAAUCCGAUAUCAUUUGAUCAUUCAAUUGAGUUCUUGAAAUUUUAGUACUUUCUUGAAGCACCGUGUUCAUUGAUUUUGUAGGACACAAUUAGAUAUCAAAACUGUUUCCGAUUUGUCUAAUUUUUUGUAAGGAUCAUCUAUGAAUGAAGACCUAAAAAAUAGAUUGUUUGGAUCGUUGAAAAAAAAUUUAUAGGGUACCCUAAAGGGCGUCCCUCAAAUAAAAUUAUUUGAGGGAUCCCUCAAUAGAAGGGGACUGUAUAUAUAUAUAUAUGUCACUUUUUAUUUUUUGAUAGAGAUAUAAAUGUUGAGAAAAUUAGAGUACACAACUCUAAUAUAGACUUGUUGGAGACAAAACAAGUAAACAAAUUACAACAAGACAACUCUCAGAGAAAAGACAAACUCUUACAAUCACUCUCUCACUUCUAGAGACAAACUCUCACACUUCUCACAAGGACUACUUAACUCUAUAGCUUGUUGCAUAUAGCAUAUGCAAACACGAUUAGAAUUUCUACUCACUAGACCUUCUAAACAAACAAACAAAUAAAACAAGCAUAUUAAUUGCUUUAAUCACUCUACUAACAUCAAGACAGCACACUUAGUUUACUAACAGAUGAUACAGAAAGGAAAAAAAAAAGGACCAAUAGGGAGAAAAUGGUGAACUAAGAAGAGACUAAUACUUCUGGUUCUUAGAAGGCAUAACAGAAAUAAUAGAGCACACUGCUUGAAUGCAAGUCAGUAUUAGGGGCAAAACAGCUGCAAUGACAGAAAUAGUUGCCCAAGGUGUAUUGAAAUAAUCUUGCGUCAAAUUUGCCUUCCAUUUGUUCCAGCGAGUUCCGCAGUGGGAGUUCAGCUGUCUAACAACAGUAGCAAACAAAAUAAAAGUCAUUGCUACUGAUCGUAACCCCUUUUCCAAGCUUAUUAAUCAAAGUAGACACCUCACCGUUGUCACCAAGCCAAUUUUCAACAAUGUCAUACUUAACAAGCAACUCCACAUCCUUCGGGUGGUUCACAAAACGAUCCAUGAGACUAACAUAAUCACUUAUGUACGUCUCCUCGUAGUGGCAUUGUUCAAAUGCGAUGAGAUUUCUAAUUAAUACCUCUGUAUGAUCGCUUAUUUUCAAUCUUGGAAUUUCAAGAGUCCGGUCAGCAAAUCUAAUAAGGUAUUCAUUGAUCGCUCAUUCAACUUGACCCCUGCCCUGUGUAGCUCUGUGAUGCUGGGUGUGUUUAUAGUUAUGAGUUUCCUAUCAUCAGUUUUUAGGGUUAUUCGUUUUAGGAGUCCUUAAACUUAGACCCAAUUUGCAUUUUAGUCCGUCAAUUUCCAAAAUCGUUCCAGUAGUCCUUCAACUUCAGUUUCGUUAGGACAAAAGGUCCUGCCAUCAAUUUUGUUAACUUUUCUAUUAGGGUUAUCUAUUGUAGACGUCCCUGAACUUGGACCCCAAUUGCAAUUAGGUCCCCGAACUUUCUUUUUGAGGUAAUUAGGUCAUCCAACUCUUUCAUCCGUUCCAAUUGAGUCCUUCAGUCAAUUUAGCUGUUAAUUUGAGGGCUAAAACCAUCAACUUCAAUUAAAAUAUUUUGAAUUAAAAAAAUUUAAAUAAAAAAAACUGAAAAAAGUGAAAAUAAUAAUAAUAAUAACUCUAAUAUAGUUGUUUUGUCCAUUGGAUAUAUAUAUAUGUCACUUUUUAUUUUUUUGAUAGAGAUAUAAAUGUUGAGAAAAUUAGAGUACACAACUCUAAUAUGAUAGUUGUACAAUACUCUAAUAUCAUAAAGCAAACAAAAUUUCUAAGUUAGUUUGCUUUAUGAUAGUUGUUUUUUGAAGUGGUCCUUAGAUCCAAUCUCAAAAAGUUUGGCUUUUAUUAGUUUUAACUCUGGUUUUUGCAAUUCUUUAUCUCUACCCACUAACUUUUAUCUCUCAUUUUUAUUACCCAUUUUACCCUUUAAAAUAAAUAGGACAAUAAACUAAAAAUUCUGAUUUAAUGCAUGUUUUACUACUAAUUAAAAAUUGAAUUAAGUUUUUUUUUUUGGGUCAAAAAAAUUGAAUUAAGUUUGAACAACCAUAAAUUUAUUCACAACUAAGUAAUAUUUAUGAAAAUAAUAAAAUUCAGAUUAAGGCAUACACAAAAUAAUAUAGAAUACCUAUAUUUUUAAGAAUAAAAUACCUAUAUUUUUAGGAAUAAAAUUCCUAUAUGUUUAAAAAAAAAAAUAAUAAACCUAGAACACAUAAGUUUAAAACAUUCUAAUAAGCUCAAUACAAAUGAUCUGCCUAUAUAUAGGAUGAAACAAAUUACAGAAACAACAUAUAUACCUAUAUGUUUAUUUUAAGAAUAAAAAAAAUACUUAUAUGUUUGAAAAACAAAAUAAUAAACCUACAAUACAUAUGGUCUACCUACUAUAUAGGAUGGAAAAAUUACGUGAACAAUAUACUUACACCAUGGGAACACUCUUAUAUAUUUGAACACAUAAACACGUGUUCAAGGUUAUAUAUUUCAUUACCUUCACAAUACGUACCAAACCGUACCAUGGGAACAUUCAUAUACGCACAACAUACUUAUAACAUACCUACACUAUGGGAACACUCAUGUAUAUAUGAACACAAGAAGACAUGUGCACCGUGCACGAUUCAAAUGAAGUAAGAAGAUGAAGAGAAAAGAAAGAAGAAGAAUACAAAAGAAAAUGGAGAUGAGAAAGAAAAAAAAAACACGAAUAAUGAAAAAUGAAUUGACAAUUAUAUAUGGUUGACAUUAGAUCUAAUAUUAUAUGUAAUAACUAUUGAUCUAAAAUAAACAUUAAAUUAAACAAUAAUUAAAAGAUUUGACAAUAUAAAAAUUUAUUGAGGACAAAAAAAGGCAAAAACUUUUGAAAAAUGGAAACAAUAAAUAUGAACUGAGUCAUCAAGUCACCAAGGUAAGUUUGCUGACGUGUAAAAAUAGUCAAUGGACAUUUAAUAUCCCAACAAGCAACACGCACAAUAUAACUUCAUGCAAUUCACAUAAACGGCCUUCGGCCUUCCAAUAAUUCACAACGAAACCACUAAUAAAUUCUAAAUACAAUUAUAAACGCCAAAUGCGAUUUCCAUCAUCUGAAUUCCCAAAUAUUAAAUAUACAAAAUUUAAACCUCCUAACAAGACUGCAUCUUAUUUUCACCUAAAUUUCAAGACCAACAACAAGGUCCGAACCAAUCUCCACAAAACAACGUGACUAACAUUUAGUCUGCGGCUGCACCUAGUAACCUUAGGCUGCCUACGUACCCUUACUGAGGGAUCAAGCUACACGUAGUUCUUUCCUACUAAAACCCGAUUCUAAACACAUACAAUACCUUUAUUCAUCUCUCUGUUAUUCACAUAAACUCCUUAUACGCCGGUACAACCAAUGCCACGUAUAGGGUCUGUUAACACACCGGAUAACCUACGCCACGUGCGACCUCACCAUAUUAUCACAAUAUCUCUCCAUACGCCGGUACAACUAACGCCACGUAUGGGGUCUGUCUCAAAGCCGGAUAACCUACGCCAUACGAGGCCUGAACAUCAUAUUACAAUAACUCCCCAUACGCCGGUACAACCAACGGCAUGUAUGGGGUCUGUUAACACGCCGGAUAACCUACGCCACGUGCAACCUCACCAUAUUAUCACAAUAUCUCCCCAUACGCCGGUACAACCAAUGUCACGUAUGGGGUCUGUCUCAACUCCGAAUAACCUACGCCACGCGAGCCCUCAAUAUCAUAUUAAAAUAUCUCCCCAUAAGCCGAUACAACCAACGCCAUGUAUGAGGUCUGUCAACACGCCGGAUAACCUACGCUACGUGAGACUUAUCAUUCACAUGGUGGUACUUAUAGUGUAAUCAAAAUCCGAGAAGCACCUAGGGUAAUACGUAUAGCACUUCAAACUGACAUUCUAGACUCUUUUUAUACCUUUACAAACACAUAUAAAUAUAUAUAUUGAUUUCUAAUAUUGUGUAAACCUCAACAACAGUCUAGCAUCCGAUAAUUCCCCAAUUUAAAACAAUAAAUUAAUAUCCUAAUCCCACCUAACCAACAUAAUUCAUCUAACAUUCAAGACAUGUCUCUACAGUCAUUUAAAUCCUCCUAACCAACAUAAUUCCCCAAUUUAAAACAAUAAAUUAAUAUCCUAAUCCCACCUAACCAACAUAAUUCAUCUAACAUUCAAGACCUGUCUCUACAGUCAUUUAAAUCCUCCUGGGAAGGUGAGACUAUUCCAUAAGACUCACGGUCAACCCGGGGUCAAAACUACCCAAACUUGGUCAAACGGGCACACGGGGCCUAUGACCUCCAAAUUCCACUCCGAAGGUUCCUAAAGGUUCUACAAGGUAUAUGACACUCGUUCUGCAAGUUUGGUCCAGAUCGGACGGUCAGAUCGCUCACACUCGCACGAUCUGACGGUUAAUAUAAACAUAAACUUUAAAUUAUUAAAUCGGAACAUCCGGGGCUCCGAUUUAUGAUCCGUGAAUUUCUACACGAUCCUAGAAAUACUUGGAUUAACAUAUAUUACAUUCAAGACCAUCCAACAAUCUCAACCUAUCGAACCCAGAUAACGCGCAAUAGGCCAUAUCCGUUCGAUAGUCAAACGGUAUCCAAAUUGAGAUCCGCGAAAUCCUACGCACUCGUGAAAACCUAAGGAUCUCAUCGAGACAAAGUACAACUUCACUACUCUCACCCACGUGCCGCCACAGGCGCCGGCAACGCUAGGUGCCCAAAGCGAUUGCACAUCAUAGAAAAAUCUCAACACUACGGCUCCAAACUCCUACCCUAGGUAUAACAUCCUAUUUGGAGCCACUUUUGUUCUUGGACCUACCCCAAAACCGGAGGUGGCCGGAAUGGCGAUCCCAAAAUUGGGCGAAUUUCAAUUCGUAAAUUGAAUUACUACGCUAGGAAUCGAUCGAAUCCAACCCAACAGGCAGCUAGAGCAUGAAAAGUAGGUGAGAAACCAUACCUCAUUCAUCGGAAUCUGUGGCCGGAGGAGGGAGAUCGACGGUGGAGAAGUUCGGACGACACCGGCCGCUUCUUCUCCAUUUUUCGACGAAACUGCUGCGGUUGGCGGCGGGACCUGGCUGGGGUUGGAAGAGGACAAUGGCCCGGUCAUUUUGGUACCUGCCCCGUCGUCAUUGAUGGCCGGAGGAGAGAACGGCAGGCCAAAAUGUGGUCGGUUGUCGCUGCGCGCGCGAGAGAGAGAGAGAGAGAGAGAGAGAGAGAGAGAGAGAGAGAGAGAGAGAGAGAGAGAGAGAGAGAGAAGGAAAUCUGAUUUUUAUAUAAUAAGAAAACCCCAUUUUAAAAUAAUUACGAUUGUGCCACUGAGUUUCUUUUGACCAUAUCUCACUAGUUACAACUCUGAUUCGAGCCCACCACGUGUCUACGGACUCAUCUCAGUACGACCUACUCAAAUAUACCAGUCAUUGACCCAAACUCUUUUCGAAUAAGAAAAUAACCAAAAUACCCCUACCACAAGGGUAAAUUUGUAAUUUCACUGAAAUAAUUUAAAUAAGGGAUUAAAUUUGGAGUCGGGGUGUUACAUGGGGUCUGUCUCACGCUGGAAAAUUCAACGCCACGUGAGACCUAAUAAUCACAUAAUCUUCUCAUACGCAGGAAAAUCCAAUGCCACGUAUAGGGUCUAUCUCACGCCAGAAAAUUCAACGCCACGUGAGACCUAAUAAUUGCAUAAUCUCCCCAUACGCCGGAAAAUCCAAUGCCGCUUAUGGGGUCUAUCUCACGCCAGAAAAUUCAACGCCACGUGAGACUUAAUAAUCACAAAAUCUCCUCAUACGCCAGAAAAUCCAACGUCGCACAUGAGGUCUGUCUCACGCCGAAAAAUUCAACGUCACGUAAGACCUAAUAAUCACAUAAUCUCCCCAUACACCGAAAAAUCUAACGCCAGGUAUGGGGUCUGUCUCACGCUGAAAAAUCCAACGCCGCGUAUUGGAAGUAUGUACUUUCACAUAAUGUAAUCCUAUGACUCUCCACCAUAAACCAUAAUAUUCAAUUCCCGAUUUCCCCCAAAAGUCACUCAAUACUUGAUCACAAUUAACUUGACCUUUUAUAUAGCUCAUCAUCAAAUCAAACUUAAUUCCCGUUUAAGUGUUACUAUUAUGACUAUAUGCGAAUUUCUCAAUCCUUGUUUCCAAAACCUCCUUAUACCUUUAUAAAUAUAUAUAUAUUAAUUUCUAAUAUUGCAUAAACCUCAACCACAAUCUAGCAUCCGAUAAUCCCCCCAUCCCACAUAAUCAACUAACGAUAAGACCUGUCACUACGGUCAUUUUAAUCCUCCUGGGAAGGUAAAACUACCUCGGAGGACUCAUGGUCAACCAACAGUCAAACUACCCGAACUUGGUCAAACGGGCCUACGACCUCCAAAUUCUGAUCCGAAAGUUCCUAUGGAUUUUACAAAGUUUAAGAUACACGUCCCGCAAGUUUGGUCCAGAUCGAACGGUCGGAUCGCUCGCGAUCGAACAAUUGGACAGUUAUUAUAAAAUAUCAAAUUUAAGUUAUUAAAUCGGAACAUCCGGGGCUCCGAUUCAAGAUCCGUGAAUUCCUAUACGAUCCUAGAAAUGCCUAGAUUAACAUAUAUUAAAUUUAAGACUAUCCAACGGUUCAAACCUAUCGAACCCGGAUAACGCACAAUAUGCGAAAUCCGUUCGAUAGUCAAACGACAUCCGGAUUAAAAUCCGAGCAUACCUACGUACUUGUGAGGACCAGGAGAUUACAUUGGGACACAAUGCCUUUUUUCUACAGUGCCCAGGCGCUGCCACACGAGCUGGCAGCCCGUGGGUAUCCAAAGCGAUCCGCAUCACCGAAAAAUCUCUAAAUCACGACUCAAGACUCCUAUCCUAGGUGUAAUACCCUAUUUGGAACCACUUUUGUUCUUGGACCUACCCCAAAAAGUGGCCGGAAGUGGCCGAAAUCGAGAUCUCAAAAUCGGUCCAAUUUCAAUUUGAAAAUCGAACCAUCAACACCCAACCAUCAGUUAGAUUAUGAAGAAUGGAUGAAUUUCCAUACCUUAAUUGCCAAAAAUGGAGGCCGGAGGAGAGAGAUCGCUGACGAUGAAGUUUCGAGCGAAACUGGCCUAAAAAUUUCAUUUUUCAAUGACUGGAGCGGCAGCCGAUGUCGAGGAAGGGCCAAGUUGUGACGCCGAGGCAGAGCCCCUUUUUUUGGCACCAAUCCCGUCCACAGCCGUGGCCGGUGGCCGGAGUUUCAAAAAGAGAAAGGGAGAGAGGGUUGUCGUCGUGAAGAGAGAGAGGACGCGAGGAGGGGAGAGAGAGAGAGAGAGAGAGAGAGAGAGAAACCAUAUUUUUAUCAAACCCUUUUCGUCAAAACUAUGGUUAUGCCACUAAGGAUAUUUUGAUCGUAUCUUUUUCGUUACAACUCUGAUUCGAGCGCACUACCUGUCUACGGACUUAUUUUUCCGUGCUUUAUGCAAUGGUACAAUCGAAAUUUUCAAAUUCCUUAUCGGUCAAAAAGUCAACUUUAAACCUAAUAAAAUAUUCUAUGGGCAAAAUGGUCCUUUAUCUUAAUAAAUUAAUAAUUACCAAUUUAUUUAGGACCGGGUCGUUACACUUAAUUAUAUAGCUAAAAAAAAAAAAAAGAACACACAAGUUAUUUUCAUCUUCUUUUGCCUAGGGUUCUUCACGGCUAUCUUCUCCACAGGUUAUUCUCUUCACUCUUCUCCAGGUAUCCAUCUCUAACUCUCACUCUCUCUUUUUUAUACUCUCUCCAAUAUGCUUCUUUCUUCUUCUCUUUUCUUUAUAUUUUUUAUUUUUUAUUAAAUUUUUGUGGAAAUUAGGUUAUGAAUUUUUCCCUUGAGAAGUAAACUAUUUUUGAAAAAAAAAACAACCAAAUUAGAUGCCAUCGCUCACAGCGUCAACCAAAAUAUAUGCUUUAUCGCCACAAGGUUAUUUGACUCCAAUUCAGUUCCCACAAAACAUCCAUAUGAAUCAAUAGUCUCUAUUACAACCUACACAAAGAUACAAUUUUAUCGAAGCAGGAAGAAAACCAACGGGAAAUCAAAGUGACCAGAUAAGGUCAAAAUAAUUAUCUCCACUUCUCUGAACUAUGGCUCGCCUCAAUAGUCGAAUUGCUGCACAAGGCUCCUUACCUUUGGGCCAUGUGACACUAGGGAUGGCAACGGGUCAGGUAGGGGCCGGAUAUGACAAUACCAUCUCCGUCCCCGCUCUCCAUCCCCGCCCCCAUCCUCGAACCCAUCCCCGUUUAAUAGGUUUCGGGGAAUUCUCAUCUCCAUUUUCGUCGGGGGACUAUUCCCCAUACCCGCCCCAAAUCCCCUUUUUUUUUUUGCAUAAAAAAUAUUUGUAAUACAUUUUAACAUUAAGUUUCAAUGCAUCCAAAUUAACUAUAAAGUUCAACUCAACUAUUCAAAAUCACAUCAAUAUGAAAUUCCAAAGAAGAUUAGGAAAAAUUAGGAGAGAGGGAUGUUAACUUAGGAUUAAACAAAAAUAUUAUAAAAUAUAAACAUAUAUAUUUUCGGGUCGGGUUCGGGGAUGGGGACGUUAAUACCAUCCCCUCCUCAUACCCGUAGGGAAUUUUUCAAGUUCGGGGAUCCCCGUACCCGAUACCCGUUUAGCCCCGAAAUCUCCUCCCGUUAGGAUCUUGGAUCCAACGGGGACCCACUCCCGCAGGGAUUUUUGCCAUCCCUAUGUGACACCAUCAAGUGAUGGCAUCUAAUUUGGUUGCUUUUUUUUUUUUUUUUUUUCAGGUGUUUGAUACUUCGGUCAUUCGGUGAUUAUUUUGAAUACAUUAUUUGGUAUUGUUUUUAUUAAUGUAUGCGAAUAUGUUGGAAUUUUUAUGAGAUACUACAAUUAUGAUAAUAGGUUAUAAAUUCUUGGCAAAAACAAUUGAAAAACAAAUAUUGUCAUAUGAAUCUUACCAAAAAAAAUUUCAUGACAUUUGAAUUUCAAUUUCCACUUAAAUUAUCAAAGAAUUUUUUUAUAAAAAAACAGUCUUAUCCGAUGUUAUCCAAAAUAGCAUCAAACACAAUAUAACCUUAGUCAGACUAUUUAUCCGAAACAACACCAAACGCCUUAUAAUAUUAUGGAUAAACAGUCAGUACUCUCCGGAACAAAUUAAUAUUAUCUGACAGAAAUUAGUGAGUACAGUCCGAUGUACCAAACGAGCACUUAUAUUGUUGACAAACCCCUAAUACUUUAGUGGUGCCUAGUUUCAACUUGUGUGCAUUUAAUUUGCCACUUACAUCAGUACUCUCCGGAACAAAUUAAUAUUAUCCGACAAAAAUUAGUCAGUACAGUCCGAUGUACCAAACGAGCACUUAUAUUGUUGACAAGCCCCUAAUACUUUAGUGGUGCCUAGUUUCAAUUUGUGUGCAUUUAAUUUGCCACUUACAUUUUUGCCUUAAUACAUUCAUGCUUAUUUUCAUUACUCCAGGGCUUCAACGCACCAAUGAGCAGUAUAUCUACCAUGUGUUAUAUUCUUAUUUAGAUCGGUAUACUAGAUACUAAGUUAUAUCAAAUUUGAUAAUAGUUUAAAUUAGGUUCCUUGGGGCUUAAAACUUUGUGAAAUAAGGAAAGUUUUGAAGCCAAUUAAAGGGGUCUGAUUUAUUUCCUUUUCUGUGAACCAUUGCUUGAUGGGCUUAGAGUGUAAGUCAAGUCGGCCCUUGGUGAUAAGUAGAGACGACUUGACCUAGCCCUAUAUAAGCAUAAGACCCUGCUCUCAUCAUACAUGUUCUCUAAACCUAAUCUGAUCAUAAAGAGAGAGCUAAAACAAUUUCUGAGAGAGAGUAGAAGUUUUGAAUCGUUCGUGUCUUUUGCUGGAGUUGCUGCGAAUGAGUUCUGAGAUUGUGUACUCAAGAAAGAUGGUGCCAGGUAUGUCUUCUAUAUAUCUCAGGUUGUGUGAAAGAUCAUGAAUACAUAUACAGAAAAUCUAACACCAUGACCAAGCCGCAGCACCUCAAAGAGUAGCCCCACAAGAUGUGGCACAACCAAAGCUAGUCUAAACCUGAGAUAAGAAAACUGCCAAAAGAAAAGUAGAUCAACAUACAUAGGUCCACUAAAAGGCGGAGAACACUGAAGAUCCAACGGAAUCCAUGGGAAACCCCUUCGGAUAUGAAGCUCUCUCUUUUUAUUUAUCUCUCUCUUAGCGGCUAGUAAAUCCACAAUUUAAAAUAAAUAAAUUGGUUUUCUUCAAUUAUUCUAAAGCUGUCACGAGUCUUAAUCCAGUUUGACAUCUCACUUUACACCCUAAACUUUCGAAGAUAAGUUUGUGCUUACCAGCACCACAAUAGGAGACUUUCAACUGUGCUUACCAUUUUGUGCUUACCCUUUGCUCAAUUGACUAUAACUUGCAGAUAUCUGCAGUCGGAACGAUUGGUAGAGCUUACUUUCUCCUCCGGUACAUGAAAAUAUAAGGAUAUUUAUUGCCUCCUUUCUUGGAAAGAGAUACUCUUCCUUCCUACAAAUAACGGUUUGACACAUGUACAAAAAUAUUUCAUCAAAAAUAAAUUUCGACACACAUGUCAUAUUGCCAUUGACAGGAAUGUAGGAAUUCCUACCUACAAAGGAAUGAGGGAAGUAUUUUCCAAAUAUAAUUUUCUUUCAAUAAUUAAUGUAUAGUACAAAGAUGGGCUAUAUAGAACAACUUUUUGUUUUAUAUAAAUAUGUAGGAUGGGUUUUGCCGGAUUGAAUUAAUGUCCCUUAUCUACGAGACCUUAUCUUUUUCCCUUGCUAAAUAUAGGUAGGGCUGAUAAUGGGUCGUGUUGUGUCGGGUAUGUGUCGUGUCAAGAUCAUAUACAUGUUAAGAAUGCUCAACACAAAUCCGACCCGUUUAAUAAACGUGUCGUGUCAUGUUGACCCACUAAUUUCUCGUGCGGGUUUCGUGUCAUGUAUCGAGGUGACCUGCUAAGUGGUAGCAACUAGUAAUAGGUAAAAAUGUAGACCAAAAAGAAAAAGUAGAGAAAGAUAUGACUAUUUGAAGAAUUUUUUCAUGAUCACAAUAAUGUGAUAAUCGAUUAUGAUGCGCGAAGAUAUAUGUGUAAAUAACUAAAGGCAACUAAAAAAGAAUUUAAAAAAUAACAAAGAAUGACAUCUCAAAUUCACAAGGUCAUCAAAAAAUAAAUUUUAAAAACCUGAAAUUUGAUAAUUUAAUCAAGUAAUUGUAUUUUUUAUUUUUUAAUAUAAAAUAGUGAUUACAUUUUGCCUCUAUCUAUGUAUGAAGAUUGAGAAAGAGAAAUACAAAAAUUAGAAAAAUGAAGAAAAUGAAGAAGAAACGGGUUGGCGGGUUAUGUGAGUACUUUAGCGGGUUGGCGGGUUACAUAGAUAUAUUUUAGUGAGUUUGCAGGUUGACCCAUUUAAUAAACGGUUAGAUAGAUAUUUUAGUGGGUUGGCGGGUUGACCCGAAACCCACUCAUUUAUUAAACGGGUCAUGGUAAGUUGACUUGAUUUUUUAUCGUGUGGGUUGAACCCGCAAAUUUCCCGUUCAGGUUUCAAAUCGUAUAACGGGUCAUAUCGAAAAUUGCCACACCUAAGUAUACAAUGCAAGCUCUUUUCCUUUGUUUUCAAAGUAACAAGAGAAAGCAUUAACAGAAGUAUAGGCAUAUUGUGCUAGGUUUUAUAUGUUUAUAGCACAACGAUCAUAAUAUAACUAGUUUUUUUUUUUAAAUCAAAAUAAUUAAUUCUUCCAUUUUACCUUUUAGACUAAAUAAAAAAUAAAAACCUUUCCCUAAUUUUUUUGAGCAAUCGAUAGUCUAAAUUAGAGGAGAGGGAGAUUUCAUACACACACACAACUAUGAUGUCGUGGGGAUUCGAAUUUGAGACAUGUGGUCUGUAAGUCAAGACUCUUUUUCACUGAGCUAGACCUAUUAGCAACCCUUUCCCUAAUUAAGAACAUGUGGUGCAGAACUGGGCUUGGGAGGUCUUGCUCAAUGAUCUCAAUAAUACAGACCAAAAUAGACCUUUCAUAUUCGUAAUGUAGCUGGCAGUUACCAGUGCCAGUUAUUCGAAUUUACCAAAUUUUAAAUAAUUGAAUUUAUAUGUUUUUUUUUAUAUACAAUAUCAUGAAAUAAUGUGUAAAAAGAAAUUCAAAUCCAAAAUUAACCUUAACUUUAUUAGGUUUACUAUCCAAACUCAAACAUCAGCACGAGAUCGUCCAAGAAAAGGCUAUAAAUAUUCAAUACAAAUAUGAAUAUCAUUACCACACACAAGAGAAAAAGUUAAUGUACGACGGGUUUUCUCUCAAUAAUUAAUGUAUAGUACAAAGAUGGGCUAUGUAGAACAACUUUUUGUUUUAUAUAAUUAUGUAGGACGGGUUUUGCUUGAAUUAAUGUCCCUUAUCUACGGGACCUUAUCUUUUUCUCUGGCUAAAUACAGAUAGGGUUGAUAAUGUAUCGUGUCGGGUGCGUGUUGUGUCAGAAUCACAUAUGUGUUAAGAAUGCUCAAUAAAAACCUGACUCGUUUAAUAAACGUGUCGUGUCGAGUUGACCCUCUAAUUUCUCGUGCGAGUUUCGAGUCAUGUAUUAGGGUGACCUGCUAAGUGGUAGCAACUAGUAAUUAGCGAGGUAAAAAUGUAGACCAAAAAGAAAAAGUAGAGAAAGAGAUGACUAUUCAAAGAAUUGUUUCAUGAUCACAAUAAUGUGAGAAUUGGUUAUGAUUCGCAAACAUAUAUGUGUAAAUUACUAAAGAUAAAAAAAACAAAGAAUCGCAUAUUGUCAUCUUUGAAAUUUCCAGAAUCCCAUUACUGAAUCGUAUAUCAAAUCUGUUUUCACUUGAUUUCAGCUUAAGCUUCACUCCCGCAUCUCAUAGGUCUGUAAUGCUGGGUAUGGUUAAAGCAGGUCCAAGUACUUCUGAUCUCGUGAGUGGUUGGCAUACCAAUCUUUUACACCAUGUGAAUUCUUAUUUGAAAAUUUUAAAAACUAAAAACAAAAAUAAAUAAAUCAACAAAACCCAGCAAGCACCCUCCCAUAGCCAUCCUUAAGUAGGAUGGCCCAUUUGAUAAUCAUUCAACUAUUUUGAUUGGUGGCGGCAAAACUUUACAGUUUGACUCUUUGAGCCAUUUUCAUACCAAAAAAGUUCUCUAGCGAAUAGCAUUAAUAUCUAAUAAAUAACGUCUUACUUCAGCCAUAACCAGAAAUGGGGAAUACAAAUCAGCCGUGUAACGCCAGCAAACUUUGGUCAAACCACAACAUAUAAAACAAACUUAAAGAUACAAAACAGUGUGCAAUAAAAAAACUUACCAGAAAAUCAAGACUUAUGCUCUUAUUUUCUGAUUUACGCGCACCGAAGUCAGUCAUUGUUGUUAUAAUAUACACACAUAUGUUGUUAUAUAUAAUUGCGAGAAAGUUAGUAGGCCAUAUUCUUAAACCAGCUUCAAGGCAUGCCGGGGUAUAAUCGGUUAGAAUAAAAAAAAAGCAGAAAGGCGAUGCAAAAGAAAUGUUAAUCUUGAUCAGUUCUUUACCAUCAAGCUUGGCUUAAUGACUUCAUUAAUUUCACUCUUAUAUUAACUUGUGCAGACAUGAGUUUAGUUAAGUUCGCUAGAGUGGAUGUGCUCCUCAUUCUGCACUCAAGUUCGAAUCACCUUUUUCAUAAAUUUAAAAUAAAUAAAAAAUUUGUACCGUGUGAAUACAUUGAAUUUAACUUCAAUAUGUAUUGGAUCCCUUUCGUGUUAAUUAAUUAAAUUAGUAUCACUUGGAAAGGCUACAGUGCAUUUCGUUGGAAUAAAUUAACUAUGAAUUAAUGGAUUUGUUUCUGUUGUAUUCAAGAAGUAGUGGGAGGCAGACCAACCAAAACAAAAGUUGUGGAGGCUGAUAAGCUCAUCAAGAAAGGGAAGAUAUGGACAGAGUAGAGAAACAUAUGGGGGACCUCAGGCCAAUGCAAGCUCUUUUCCCUUAUCUUUCCCCUGUUUUCCUCAACCCUAUAUUUAUCUUUUAAAAAGUUUCCAAUAUAAUGUACUGAAAUUUAUGAGAGAAAUAUCUGAGAAAUAGUUUAGUAUUAUAUACAAUUAUAACAAUAUUUUCAGCCAAAUAAAAGUCUUGGCAAGAAAACGUACAGUUUGAUACAUACAGUUUGAAUUCGUUAAAUAUGAACACUUGAAAGAAUGAAAGACUUUGAUGGAUUUACGUAUUUCAGUUCAUGUCAGGAGCUUGGCAAUGGGCCUAGCUAGCAGGGACACUUCUUCAAAUCAUGCUUUUCAUAUGGAAAUGCAGAGAGAUCAGGGCAAAGCAACUUCUUAAUUGGUAGACCUACACAGCUUUAUUUGUUAGAUACGUAUUCACAGGCUUUCCUAGUAUCCCUUCUUUGAUGAGACCCCAAAUUAGCUUCCAGCUAGAAUCUGGUGAACGAAUAAGAAACCGAUUAUCAGAAGAGAAUGGCUUCUCACUCAAUUAAUUAUCUGAAAUUCCUAAUUUAAAUCAGCUUCCUAUCAUACUAAUUAACCUUGUAAAUUCCAAUUAGUAAAGGAAAUUAAGUGUAAGAGUAUGCCAAUACUCUUCUACAUAAUUUUUUUUUCAAACUUCAAAUCUCUCUUACACUCAGUUGAAGGAAACCUAAGCCUUCUUCUAUACUAUAGACGACUAAUCACAGUUUGCAAAUUAAACCAAACUUACACCUCUCUCAAAGACUAGACGCUACCUCUAAGCCGGUAGAAAACCAGCACAUGUGAUGUGAAUGAACAAAGGGAUAAGGAUAUGGGGUGGAAAAGGCCAAGGAGAAACUUACUAUUGUUGCGCAGCAGAGAUAAUAGAGCACACCGUCUGUACGAAAGUGAGCAUAAGGAAAAUAGCAGCUGCAACAAUUUCCUUAGUUGUCCAAGGUGAGUUGAAGAAAUGUUUUACCAAAUAUUCCUUCCAUCUGUGCCUAAACAUUCUGUAGUACUUGUUCAGGUUUUCACAAAGAGUGGUGAAGUAGAACUCAUCGGCCAUAAUGACGCCGUCAGCAAGGUUCUUGAUCGUAGUACAGGCUUUAGUGCUGUCACCUAGCUUGUUUUCAACAAUUCCAUUCUUAACAAGCAACGCCACGUCCUCCGGGGUGUUCACAAGAAUGUUUAAGAUGACAACAUAAUCAUUUAUGUAAUUUUCUACCUUCUUGCAUAGGGUUUGUUCAAAGACAAGGAGAUUUGUGAGUGUGACCUCUGAUUGAUCACUUAUUGUUAUUUUUGGAAUUUCCAAAAUGCCAUCGUCAAUAUUGAACCGAAUGUCGAAUAUGUUUGUGCUUGACCCCUUCUUAAACUUGACCCCUGCUCGGUAUAACUGUGUCAUGCUCGGUAUGGUUUGGGUUUCAAGUUGCCCUCGAGCUUGUGGUACAUCCAUUACACAUGAUGACAUCAUGCCUAUGGUUAGGGUUUGGAAUGGUUCUUGAACUUGUGGCACUUUCGAUUUUAAUUGUGGAGGCAAUGGAUAUAACUUUCUAACAAAAUCAACAAAAUGCUCUACCUGAUGAGGAGGACGUAUCCGGGUCAAAGUGUCUUCCAUGUCCUUCAUAUGCAUUAGAGUUUUGAAGAAAUGGUAAGAAAGAUCAAUAAUUGUCGUCUGGAUGCCAACUAUAUUUCUUUCAUGAUCGAAAAGAUCCUCAAGAAUGAAGAAAGGCAGCUGAUUUUCAAGCAUCCGCAUGUCAGGCCAUACAUCCUCCAACAUCCUUGGUUGGUUAAAUAUACGAUCAUUCUCAACCCGCAAAUGCUUGUAACAGAACCUCAACAAGACCUCGAUGAUGAAGGCCGCAUCCACCAGAAUGAUUCUUACAAAUUCAUCGCGGCUAAACCCAAUGGUCUCUGCAUAACAACUGCGCAGUUUUGCUUCUUGGGCCCUUAUUUUCUUUAUAAAAUAUUCCAAACUUACAUUGGUCCGACGUAAAAAAUCUUGUAGGUACCUAUUUUUAAGCUCUUCCAUGGCUUUCAGGGCUUCUUUUCCAUGGUGAAGGGGGCCUAUAGACACAACCUGAGGCGUGUAGGCUUGUUCACUUACGCGCCGUAAUCGCUUAGGAACUCUGUAGAUGCAACAUGAAGGGGACAGGGGAGGCAAUCUGUCCAACACCUCACUCAUUGAAGUUACUAAUGGAUCAUGAUUGAUUAAUUCCAUUUUCCUCUAAUAGAUGGCAAUGAUGAUAUGACAAUCCUGGCUACAAUCAACAAAUAUUGCAUUAACUAGGAACAUUCCAAGAUGCUCCGACCAAAUAUUGCACCACAAUCAACAAAUAUAUAACAUUUCUAAUUUGAUGUAAUUGAUCUUAGUUUUUCUUUUUUCUAAUUAAAUUUCUAACAUCCUAACAACUUAUAUAUAACAUUUCAUCAAAGUGACAAAUUAACAAUUCUGUUAUUGAUGUGUAGGUAGUAAAUAGUGAUAACCAAUAAGAAAAUGUCAAGAGCCAGAAAAAUAAUAAAAAUAACAAAGGCGAAUUUUCAAUUUAAGCAAAUACCAUAAAUGUCAAAUCGAAUUGAACCAAACUAAUUAUGAUUUGACUCAGUUCGGUCCAAUAUUACACUUUUUUAAUGUUAAAACUUAAAAAAUAAAAAUAAAAACCUCUCCAAUUGAUUUAAUUUGGCUAGUUUGAACAAGUCCAUCGGCUUACCUCAUUUAUAAAGUAGAAGAAGCAAACAAAAUGCAAAUCUAUUUGGAGAACAUAUAUGUUAACAUGAAACUAGGUCAAUUAUCGAAUAUGGAUUUAGCUAGAUUAGCUAUAUUCUUGUUUGAAGCUUGUAAUAAAGCAAAUUCUGAAGAAGAAGAAAAAAAAACGAUAGCAGAUAGUACAAAAAACAAUAGACAGACCAAAAUUCCAAUAUUGAAUGAAAGAAGAAACUUAGAACAUCCCUUUGCUUAAUUCCAACUACCAACUACCAAAUGAAACAUUAUGACUUGAAAAGAAAAAACCAAAAACAAAAAAGCAAAAAAGAGAAGUGAAUUUGCAGACCUUGUAUGUAUGUAUAUAUAAACAGGGCCAAGAUUGUUGUGCCUCUGGUAGAUUUCUAGAAAAGCUCAGUGCUCCUCUGGUAUAGAUAUAUGAAAUAGAAAUCUUGCCUCAAUAAUGGGAACAUGGUGGGGGCUAUAUAUGUAAUAAGAAUGAGUUGCUUGGUCAACAGAUGAGAGAGCUUCCUUGCUAUUUCAAGGAACGUGUAUGUUUGUUGUGUGUUUGACAAUAAGCAGAUAACUUGCAUUAAAAUCCAUGCAUCCAGAGAGUACUAUUUGUUUUUCUGGGUAGCUUCUGUAGAUCAUUUCUGAUUAUCUUUAUUCAUUUUAUUAAUCAUUUUAUCAAUCAUUAGUGUUGAAUAAAAAGUUCUGAAGUCAUGCCUUGGGGUUAUAACCUUUAAAAUAGGUGUGAACAACCACGGUUAUUCAUCAAACUUAUCCAUGUCUCAGUUUGUUCUUUUUGUUCUUAUCUUUGACAUUUAAAUGUUCUUCUUUUUUCUAGCUUUAAUCUACUCUUUUACCUAACAUCCCCAUAAUUCUAAUAACUAUAUAUUGUGUGUUUGACAAUAUAAGAAAAUUAAAGGGCCGAUGGUACGUUAAAGUGUUCUCCUUCAUCCUAAUUAGGGUUACACGUAUAUGUAGAUAACUUGUACGUAUAACCAUUGGUUUUUCGAGGUAGGUUCCAUUAUAGAGAAUCUAGAGAUCAUCAUUUCUGAUUAUCUUUAUCCAAUUUAUUAAUCAUUUUAUAAAUCAUUAAUGUGGGACUUGCAUGGUGUUGCCAUUUGCUGUUAUUAUAAAUGAGAACACAAUAAUAACAUUUCUAAAUUUCUAGUAUAUCCAUAAUUAUUUUAUAUCCUCAAUUUUAGGGAUUAAGUUUCUAACAAUUCAAAUCCUGAUUAAUUUUAGUUCUUGCCAUGUCCAUGUGACUUUUAACCUAAUAAUAGAUCCCGAGCCUCUGCAUUUAGAAUUCGUGCAUUUAUUCGCAUUUUGUGAAAUCUUAGCCACUCAAAUAAUCUAAUGGCUUAGAUCAGUCCCUAUCAGCUUGCUAGGAUAAUCUCUUUUUUUCUCCCAAAUGACGAUAACUCCGUGACUCUCUUCAUAGCCCAAAAACCCAAACUUUCUCAAACGGCUUCUUCUUUCCUGCAACUUAAUCUCCAAUUGCAGCUUUCGACCAAAAAUAAAAAAGCAAUCUCCAAUUGCAGCAACUUUGAGCAAUUUCUCCUUCUCUCUCUGAAAUAUCAAAUCUGAAGUCAAGCAAAUCAAACUCCAAUUAUUUAUUUUGGCUUUCGCUGGAAAUAUUGAUAAUUGGAGGAGUUUCAUAAAUGGCAAAGCAGAGGUUUUGAGAAAGCAAAAGUCAGUGAAGUGAAGCAGCUCGUUCCAGUCAGCGGUGCACCUAUUGUCCCUAACUCUCUCCUCCAACCGGCGUCGUUGUGAUCGGUCUACUGGGUUUCGAAUAUGUUUUAAACGAUGUUUUUACCCGUAUCUCCAUCGAAGAGCUCCGAAACGGGCACGGUGUGGAUUGCUUGGUGGUGUUCAAAGUCUGUGGUUUCGUGAAAUCCAAGCACGUUAACUAUAACGUUAACAUCAGUUUUGGCAAACGAAAAAAAAAAAUUAAAGAUUGAUGAUGUGUCAUAUGUUAGGUGGUUAGAUUAUUUGGGUGGCUUAGCUUUUACGAAAUACGGAUAAAUGCACGAAUUCUUAAUGUAGAGACUUGUGAUCCCCUAAUAAUGUACAUCAUACAAACUAUAUUUAAUAUUUCUAAAAAAGAAAAGAAAAUAUAUUCAAUACAAAUAUACGCUGGGGGUGGUAUUUUGUAUCAAUGUGGCAUGUACAAACGUGCCUACAAAAUUGUCCACCAACAAUAAUUUACCUAUCUUUUCAAGUAAACUAUUUUUCAGGUUAUUUAUUUUUUGGUAAAUUAUUUUUCCAGGCGUGUACAAUAAUUUACCUAUCUUUGUAGGUAAACUAUUUUUUUCAGGUACCUAUAUUUUCUGGCUAAGGACUUACGUGUAUCUCUAAGUCCAUAGGAAUUUUGUCAUUAUCAAUCUGAACCAAGGGAAAUCGAGUAAAAAUACGAAUAGAAAAGAGAAAAGGACAGCUUGUUUGGGUAAUAAGGAUAAAAGAUCCAGAGGAUUCAUUGGAUUGGAUGGCAUUAAUUGAUCACGCAAGAAUAGAGAGACAUAUAGGCGGAACUGAGGCCAAUGCAAGCUCUUUUCCCCCUGUUUUUUCCCCGGUUUUCCUCUGUAUUCCGGGUAUGUAAUGUACAUGGGAAAAGUUUGUCCAGGUUACAAAAGGUCCUAAAAAAAGUCAGCCAACAGAUAUGAAAAACGCUACAAAUUUCAACACAAAAAUGAAUCUCUCAUUACCACACACAUGCUAAAAAGUUGCGACAAAUAAACCACACAAUAAAAUCUCCAAACUCACAAAGAAACCACUAUCACGCUUGCUUCUUUUUUUUGGGACGAAUCUCACACUUGCUUCAAGGAAACCUGGCAGUGGGGAAAAAGAUACAGAGAACACGGUAAAUGAGACUUGUUGUGGUUCAUGCUCAAGCAACAGAGAUAAUAGAACACACAGUUUGGAUAAGAGUGAGUAUGAGGAGAACAACAGCAGCAAUGACAGAGAGAGUUCGCCAAGGUGUGUUGAAAUAAUUGUGUCUCAAAUUUGCCAUCAUUUUGUGCCUUUUCGAACUGUAGUACCUGUUCAGGUCUUCACAAAGACUAGCAAAUGUGAAGUUUUCGUCAGAACAAAUCCCAAGGCCAAGGUUGUUAAAUAGAGCAGACAACUCUUUCCUGUCACCUAGAAUAUUUUCAAUAAUUCCACGCUCAACAAGCAAAUCCACAUCAAUUGCGUUGUUCACAAAACCAUCCAUGAUGGUCAUAUAAUCACAUAUAUGAUUGUGCAUGUAAUGACACUGCUCAAAGGCAAGAAGAUUUCUAAGUGAGAUCUCUGUGUCAUCGUCUACUCGGAUCUUUGGAAUUUCGCAAAUCCCAUUAGUGAAUCGUAUGUCAAAUAAGUUUUUCAUUGAUCCCACCUUAAACUCCACUCCUGCCUGGUAUAGCUCUGUCACGCUAGGUGUUAGGCUAGGUGUUACGCUAGUUUUUACGCGAGUUGUUGUAGUUACAUAACCUAAUGGUAUUAAUUCAACUUCUGAUUGGCAUCCUAAUGGUAUUAAUUCAACUUCUGAUUGGCAUAACGAUCUUAAAAUAAGAUCCAAAAAAUGUUCUACUUUUUUUGUAGAACUUAGUCUGUCUAAAAUGGACUCUUGAUCUGCAUCUCUCAUCAGAGUCAUUCUCGAAGUGAAGAAUUUGAGAGAAAGAUCAGUUACAAAUGUUGAAAGCCUGUCGUCAGAAUCAGAAGGGAGUGUACCUUGUUGUAGGUAAAAAAGAUCCUCGAGAAUGAAGAUUGGUAGUUGAUUCUCAAGCAAUUGCAUGUCAGUCUCUAGAUCCAGAAUAAUCUUUGGUUUCUUAAAUAUGGCGUCAUUUUCUUUUAUCGGUGUCCUGCCAUUGUGUUUCAACAAGAGCUCUACGAUGAAUGCGGCAUCUACUAGAAUGAUUCUUACAAAUUCAUCACUGCUAAAUCCAUUGGUUUCUGCAUAACAACUUCUUAAUCUUGCUUCUCGGUCUCUAAUUUUCUUUAUGCAAUCCUCCAAGCUUACUUUGGUCCGACAUAGAAAUUCCUGUAGGUACCUCUUUUUAUGCUCUUCCAUGGCUUCUAACCCUUUCUUGCCAUGGUGGAGUGGACCUAUAGAGACUACCUGAGGUGUGUAUGCGUUUUCAUUUACACGUCUGAAUCGCUCUGGAACUCUGUAAAUACAACAUGAAGAGGAUAUAGGAGAUAACCUACCCAAUUCCUGUCUCAUGGAAGUUUCUAAUGGAAUGUAUGGGUUCUCUGUAUCAACUGCAGCAGCUUGAUUGAUUCCUUCCAUUUUCCUCUUGAUGCACUAUAAAACAGAAGAUAAGAAACUAAAAACUUCAAUAAAAUGGAUAUCUGCAAGUAGAACAAGGAGAAGGAUAUAUAUAUAUAUUAUCAAGAUGUAAUGGAUGCAGUCUACAUGCUCCCUUUUCAAUUGCAGUCCAACAACCUUUUGCUUCGCCAAGUAAGUAUAUCCACAAUUUUUAAGGAAUUUACAAUAUAUGUCAUUAUCAGAUAUGAAAGUCAUAUAAAAACACCUCCCUAAAAUUUGAGCGUCUCCUAAAAAAGGAAGUGAGUUUAGGGAAUGUACUAAAAGCUUCAAGAAACUAAAAGCACCUUCUAAAAGUUUACAUUUACAUUUCCGUGAAAGAUAAGAAACUAAAAGCUUCAAGAAAAUGGAAAUGUACUAGAAAAGGAAGUGAGUUAAAUUUACACCUGUAUGUUCAAAGGACCAAGUUGGUCGAUUAGAAGAGAAGCUCAAUGCAGCUUACUUGGUUCCUCUGGUAGAUGAAAAUAUAAUUUUUCUCCUGUAAGGUGAUGGGCUAUAUAGAACAACUUUUUUGUUUUAAUGUUUAUGUGGGACGCGUUUUGCCAGAUUAAAUUAAUGUCUUCUAGCUUUAUCUUUUCCAUAGUCGUUCACGUACGUGACGUCCCCCAAUAAUUUGUAAUAAGAAAGAGUUGCUCGGUCAACAGAUCAGAGAGCUUCCUUGCUAUGUUCAAGGAACGUGUAAGUUUGUUGUGUGUUUGACAAUAAUCCAUGCAUCCAGAGAGUACUAUUUGUUUUUCUGGGUACCUACCUUCUGUAGAUCAUUUCUGAUUAUCUUUAUUCAUUUUAUAAAUCAUUGAUGUUGAAUAAAAAGUUCUGAAGUCAUGCCUUGGGGUUAUAACCUUUAAAAUAGGUGUGAACAACCAUGGUGAUUCAUCAAAUUUAUCCAAUUUAUUAAUCAUUUUAUCGAUCGUUAGUGUUGAAUGGAAAGUUCUAAAGUCAUAUCUUAAGCUAAUUACCCUUUUAAAAUAGGUGUGAACCAUGGUGAUUCAUCAAACUCUUGUUCAUGUCAAUUUUUUAUUUUGAUGGUCAAGCCAAGUCGUGACCUGAAUGAGGCCAAGACCGAAAUAGACUUUGCAUUCAUGGUUCCUUUUUCUCUAGGGCUCCUGAAAAUCAACCGCCAGUGAGCGAUGGUCGUUAGCAUUAUUCUUUCUUUCCUCCCUUUCCUCCCUUUCCUCCCUUGAGGUAACGCUACCACUAUUUUCCAGUUCUUUUGUACUUUCUUAUAGUCGAGCUCACUGCCCAUAGCCGUGCCAUUUCCUCUGUUUUGAAAGCAACUAGAUAAAGCAUUAAGAGGAAGUAUAGGUAGUGUGCUAAAUUCACCCUCUUUCUCAACCCUUUAUUUAUCUAAUUUUCUGAAUCCAUGUACAAGAGAAAUUUCGGACAAACAAAAAUAACAAUAAUAUUUUCCAGAAAUAAAUUAAAUUAAAUCUUGGCUGGAAGGCGUACAAUUUGAAACAUACAAUUUGAACCCAUUAACUGUCAAAAGUUGAUCAAAAAUUUGAUGGAUUACAUAUUUCAACUCAUUUGAGCUUAGAUUUUGAAGACCUCAGAAGAGGCUUUGCAAUGGGCCUAGCAGGUGCACUUCUAACAACCUUCUUCACAUCGUACUUUACAGAUGAGAAGGCAGCGAUUACGGCAAUGAGCAUAGUUGGGUAGACAAACACAGCUUUCGUAGGAUCUGUGUUCAUAGGCUUUCCGAGGAUCCCUUCUUUGAUGAGGCCCCAAAGCAUUAGAAGUGUCCCAAACAUGCUCAUCCUCCCUCGUUUUAGAAGACCCACCAGGGCUCCGGCCACAGCAAAGUAGCUUCCCGCUAGAACCUGAUGAAUUAAUCAAACAAACAGAGAUGGGAUUACUGCUUUAUAUUGUCAGAAGUGAAAGCCUAAUGGCUGGUCUCCUCAAGAUAAAAUUUAAUAUCCUUUAAAACAACAGAAAAGGGAAAGUGUCUGUUGAGAAAUGGAACCUCUAAGCGCUGAAGGUCAGUAACUGCAGGGGAUUCCUUUGCAUUGGUCAAGUUAUAGAUGUCUAAUACGUUAUUCCAGCUUGGAACAGUCAUGUUCCUUACAAGUCCAUUUGCAACAGCUCCAGGGAAGAGAAGGGCUUUUACCACAGGAAUAGGAAAGAUUUCACUUGCAAUCAAUUGAGAAGAAGUGACAUGCAAUGGUGUGGUACACAUGCCAGAUCUGCAUGGAACUCUGUAACAAUGAAGAAAAAAUAAGAAAGAGAAGAAACAUUAACCCAAAAACAGAGAGUUUUACAUUUACCUUUUUCUUCAUACAUAUUUCCACAAAACAGAGUCAUUAAAUAACAACAAAUAUUUCCGUCUGAUCAAGACAAGCCAGAGGAAGAAAUGGAGCAGCAUUACAUGUACAUAGAUCCAGAUAAGGCACAUACAAAUUAUGAGCUUGUAUCAUACAAGAAAUCUAAAAAGAAUACAUAUUGCUUAAGUAAUACAAAUAAAAUGCAUCAGGUUUCUAUUAUAUAGACUGAUAAACACCUAAAACGCCAGCAUAGGGCAGAAUGAUCAUUCCCCACACAUGGUACAUAGGAAUCAUGCUCCAUCUCAGGACCUACGUGGUGAAUCCAUAAACCUGGAUACUUUACCUAAAUGCAAUUCUAGCGUCUUCUGUAAAUAUCUUCUCUAAGAUACUUACAGAAAAUAAAUACUUCCUCUAAUUUUAUAGCCUUUCCUUCAAGUUAGAAGUUUGUUCCAAAACUCAACCAAGCAAGCAUAAGGCCAUUGCCACUACUGAGCUUAGCUCAGUUCAUUAACUGCCCUGAAUUGCUGAUCCAUAUUAUGAGGGGUCUCGGGUCCUUGUGAGAGUAUAACAAGUGAACCAAGUACCCUAAUUCAACUGUUAACUAAAAACAUUGGGCAUAUCCUAAAGCACAACUUCAGGAUUGCAAAAUCAAAUCAACCAAUCUAAAACAAACAAGAGAUUCAUUCCUUUUUUUUUUCUUUUUUCUUUUUUUUAGGUUUUAAAACCAAGUUUAACAAUGUGACACUAAGAACUUCAAAAUGCGCAUCCAGAUUCGAUAAACCACGCAACUACAAAUACCCAGAUGCUAAAACAUGAAAAUUAGCAAAAACAAAGCAUGUCCAGAUAGCCUAACAAAUGAGAAACUAGGAAUUAUAUGAAAAGAGAAAUGAAAAUACAGAUUUGGGCACAUAGAGGGAGCGAGAGUGGAAAUUGAUCGAGUGAAUUACAGUACCUGAAAAGCGGGAUCUGGAGAAUGAUUAGGAAGAAGUAGACGCGAGCGGCUAUUGAAGAGAUGUUGCUUAUCCAUCCCUUUGACGAUUUUGACGAUGGUGCUGAUGAUGAUGGCGGAGUUGCCAUGAUUGGCUUCAACUUCAGACACAGAGAGAUGACUUUACUAAACUAGAGUUAUAGUAUGUUUUCUUCUUUGGCGGAGCUACUUGUGGACGCAUCAAACGACGUCGUAUUGUUCUUUAACGCAAUGUCGUCUGCCUGCAAAAAGCGGUUGUGGGCUUUGACUCAUGGUUAGGCCCAGGGCAAAAAUAACAGUUGAAGCUUACCAUUAAAACGGCGCUAAGAGCGGUCGUUUAAGGCGCGCAGACUAAGAGUAGUAGAUAAACCUGAACCGAGAGGCAGAAAGGCGGCGCCUUUUCGUUUUUUCCUCAUCGGCGUUUGAGCAGAAGCGGUGCGGUCUGGUGACCUUUAAAACGGCACCGUUUGGGAACACAGGCAUUUCUAUCUCAUCUUCCUAACAUUGAGAGCAAAUGGCUUUUGCUUCUGCGCUUAACACUCCCAAGGGGCUUCACUGUUUAACGUUGCCGUCUUCCCGCAACGAACGGCCACCCACUAAUCUGAUACUGCCACGUCAAUUUCCGGCUCGGUUCUCGUCGACACUGGCCUUUGCCCGCCGUCGAAACCAACGCACUGAAGUGGCGUCGUCUAAGCCGAAGAUAAAUAAGGUAAGAAAUGAGCUUUUUUUGGAAGUGCUUUCUCUGUUUGUAGAAACUGAAAUUUCUGGUUUUGAAUUCGUGGUCGAAUGUAGAAAAGCUUGGCGAAAAAGGAAGUGAAGGACGAGGAGGAGGAGGAUGUGGAUGAGGAUGCUAUAGAUGCACUGUUUAGGCUGCUGGAGGAAGACCUUAAAAACGACGACGAAUCGUUAGACGACGAAGAUUUAACAGAAGAAGAGCUUGCUAAGCUCGAACAAGAAGUAGCAGAGGCACUGGGGAUUGUUGAUGAUGAGGAGGACGAGGAUGAGGACGAGGAAGAUGAUGAUGAUGAUGACGAGGACGACAAAGAUGAUGAUGAUGACGUUGUUAUUGAGAUCGAUGCUCAAGAAGAAGAAGUAGAUGAUGAUGACGAUGAUGAAGAGGAGGAGGAGGAGGAGGAAGAGGAAAGCCCUGUGAAGCUUAAGACUUGGCAGCUUCGGAGAUUGGCUGCUGCUUUAAAAGUUGGUCGCCGCAAAACCAGCGUAAGGGUUUCUUUAUCUCUUUAGUUUUUGGGUUUUUUUUAUGAAUCUUUGAAAUGCUGGGUUCUUGUUCAUGAAAUUUGAAACAUUUACUGUCCUGAAACACUUAAAGAUAUCAAAUUUCAAGUCCAGUCAACCUUGAUAUCUUGCUUGGUAGUAAUCUUUUUGUUUGGAAAUAUAUAUACAAUUUUAUUUUUUUUUUUAAAGUUCAAAAAAGGCCUGGUGGCUUUGAAGAUUAUAGAAUGAAUAAAGAAUAGAUAGGAAAACCAAAACCCUGUUUUUUAAUGUAAACUUUGGUUCAUAUUCAUGAAAAUUUGCUUAUCAGUAUUUGGGGUUUUUCGUUAUGUUGGCAAACUUUAUAUUGUUGGCAUUUCGUUUGUUUGCAGAUAAAAAUUCUUGCAGCUGAGCUUUGUCUCGACAGGCCAGUUGUUCUCGAAUUGCUUCGCAACCCCCCUCCAAGUCUUUUGAUGAUGUGUGCUGCUUUACCUGAUGAACCAGCUCCAACAAUAUCUGUGUCCCAAACGAUGCCUGUAGAAACUGUUGUGGAAGCAACUGUAGAAACUGUGGUGGAAACAACUACAGAGUCUUCGGAGGUUGAAACUACAGUGAACAAACCUAUUCAUGUUAUGCAACAAAAGUUUUCUGCUCAAAAAAGACUGAAGAAAGCGCAUGUUGAAACCCUUGAAAGUGUUUAUAGAAAAACAAAGCGGCCCACUGUGAGUGAAUCUUUUGUGUUGAAUGAUUUCGGGAUAUUGCGAUAUAAUGUACUUUCAUUUGAAAAUUGACCUAAAAGAACUUGUGCGCCAUUUCCUUAUGCUUUAUGUGCGUUGAUAUGUGAUGCAGAAUGCAAUGAUCAGCAGCAUAGUGCAUGUGACAAACCUGCCCCGCAAAAGAGUUGUGAAAUGGUUUGAAGACAAACGUUCUGAGGAUGGUGUUACUGACUCUCGACUUCCAUAUCGACGGCCUGCCCCUAAUACUGCCUAGUAAACCAAUGUGUAAAACAGGUACUUCUAUGUUGUUUAUAAUGACAGCUGAUAGAUUUUUUAAGCUCUAUCUCCUUUCAUUUUCAUUAAACUUAACAGAAAGUGAAAAUGGAACAGGCAGUAAAACAAGAUGGGUGAAGACGCUGUUGGCCUAGGGCUAGCUCAGGUGAUGAAGGGGCGGGAAAAGGAUUAGGAUUCGUUAUGGAUUCAAUCCAAUCCGAUUUACCCCAAAAAAGAAAAAAUAUGAAAUGAAUGAGCUCUUGCCUUAGUUCAAUAUAUUCUUCAGUUUCAGCAAUCCCAUCUAAUAAAUAAUAGAACUUUGACCUUUAUCGUCUUCUUUAGCCUAGGGAUGGGUAUGAGAGGAAGGAAUAAAACUUUGAUCUUUAUCCUAAAAGACAGCAAGAGAAUUUUGAAUGAAUUCUAUAGUAACGAACGAAAGAUCUUUGACAUCUAUGAUCCCCUUUUCCCCCAGGGAGAGGUACAGAACAAGGGAGAGAACUUUGAUUUUUACUGAAAGACAGAAACUUAGAAAACGUGUUAUUCAUUUAGAUGCCAUCCCCUGACCUCUUUCUCGUUCUUCUCCCUUUGGCAUUUUCCCUCUUCCUGGUAUGUAUAUAAUCAACCUAAUCACCCAGAUUAGAAUUAUCACAAUUUCUGCCCAAAGCCAGCUAUCAUCACAACUGGUUGAGACUCGAGAGACCUCAUGGCGACGUUAGCAAGGUCGGCAUCCACAUUUAGGCGGCAAGGCUCGUCGGGCUUAAUAUGGGACGAUAACUUGAUGCUGCAAAGAGAGGAAGGCAGGGCAGAGUUUAGAGAGCUAAGGCCAUGCCAGAGUGCCAAACCCAUUGGCCUCAAGGCUUAUAGCAGCUCAAAUGGAGCACUCGCGAUUUGCCCUCACAGCUCUUCUUCCUCUGCCAAGAAGAACCCGCAUUCUCUCAAAUCCAAAUUCUUGAAAAUGUUUCGAGCUCUUUUUCGAAAAUAAACCACUGCCAGGAAAUCCAAUGCAUUAAAGGACAGGGCAUGAUUUAAUGUCUUCUAAGCACAUAAGUAUAUGGUAUUAUAGUAUUUCAACAUUUCGAUGAAAUUCUUGUAGCUUGGAACAUUGUGUUCCAACAAAACACUUUCUUGUAAUUGUUUUAUUAUGAACACAAGUAAUUACGAUCUCGGCAUUUCAUAGCAAACCAAACAUACCGACAAAAUGGUGUCAUUUUCCUGUCAAUUUUUGUGCUGAAAGGUAUGGUAGGGAAGCCCAUCUCCAUUUUCUCAUGAUUUAGAAGAAACAGACAAAAGUUUUUGGUCAAAAAAAGGUCGAAAGCCCAUCUUCAUCUACUAUGUACGGAUGAUGAAUGAGACCAUUCGUUAAAGUCGCCAAGGAUUAUUUUCAAAGGAUUGGCAAAGUUUGUUGGGGCCACCACAAAUUUUCAGCCUCCCUACAAGUUUAUAGCAUCUAUUGGCAAUAUAAAACUUAGGCUAAGUUAAUUACCAAUUAAUCCUUUUUCUUUUUUUGUCCCGUAAAUGUUAAGUAUGGUCCAACAUUACAUCUAGACCCUAAAAACGAAGUUUACAUUUUUGUAAAAUUUAGGCAACAAAAUAGAAGGCAACUUUGGGACCUAACAUCUGAAGUCAAAAUUUUGUACGGGGAUAUUUGGAGAUUUCUACGUCUUUUUAUGUGAUGCUGGAUUUAUGUUCCCAAAUUAAAACGACAACUCAUGGUACCGACAUCCCAAUCUGGCGGAGCUGUCCAAUUCCUAACUGAAGUUGGGUCGUCUUUGAGCCAUUGGCCUGCACAAAUUGAAAUAUCUUGCUCAUGAAUCAUGAUUCAUACAUACUUUACAGGGAUAAUGAUCCAUUCAACUAAAGAAGCAAAAGAAUAAAAAAACAAAUGAAGUUUAUUAGCUAUCAAGGUUAAUUAAAGUGUAAAGAGUUUGCUGUUCAAGUGAUUAAGAGCAGUUAUCCAUGCACUUGAAUCGAAGUUUUAUGUUCGAAUUCUUUCCCCAAUAUCGUUUAUAUCAAAAAUAAAAAGUUCAUUAAAGUAACAUAUAUUGGAAAAUACUCCAAGUUCAAAAUUGCCCAAAUGUUAGAAACUGAUAAAUUUUUUUGUUAGAUGUAUAAUGAAUUAUUAGUGAUAAUGGUGAUAUUCUUUUUUAAUGUUGGAAAAUUAAGAUGAUUUUAAGAAGUUAAUCACAUUAACUUGAAGCUUAUUAUAAGGUCAAUAAAUUUGCAUGUGUUUGUGACCAAAGAAAAAUUCUCACCUAAAGGCAAAGAAAUCACGCACGCAUACCUCAAAUCAAAUGAGAUAUUCAAACUUCCAUGGUAAAAUAAACUCAUUGCUUUCCCAAAAUCAAGAAACACAUGCACUUCCAGCACAUAAUCUGGUCCCACUGUCCCAGUUCGUUGCAUCUCCCUCCCCAAUCUCCAUGCCAUCCGUCCGAUCUGAAUCUCAUCCAACGCUUCCCCUGUCUCCACGAUCCCUUCCUACAAACCUUUGAUUCAGGCCACGCCUCAUGGCUCAUAUCUCUCCACGCUCACCCUCGCAGAGCCCUCAGAUCUGAACGAGCUUCAACGGCUCCAAAUCCACUCUGAAACUCCACCUCUCUGCUAUUUACUCACUCAAACAUUAACGUCCCGCUCUUUUAAUUUUCUUCCAGCUAAAAACCACAAAAAACAAUUCCUCUCUGUUUGAUUUGUUUAGAGACCAAAUGCAAGAGCAAGCGACGAGCUCCCUUGCCGCGAGCUCUCUUCCGUCGAGCAGCGAAAGGUCUUCGAGCUCUGCAUUCCAAGUUGAAGUCAAAGAAGGUUUGAUUUUCUCAACUCAUUUUUAGUUUUUCAAAGUUUAUGUUUAACAAGUCUAACUGAGUUUGUUCAAAUUUGUCUACUUUCUUUCUGGUUCCAAAGAAUUUCGAAAUUUCCCAUCUGGGUUUUGUAGUAUCCUGAAUUUUCGGAGCCGGGUCUUUGUUAUUUUCCCGGGAAAUACUUUCUGCGGAUGAAAAACCUUCCCUUUUACAUUGCUUCAAGUAAAAAGAAGAAAGCUUUAUUGUUCAUGGUUGGCUGUUUAUCUUCGUGAACCAAUAAUUUAGAAAUUUCCCAUCUUGGUUUCGUAGAAUCCAGGAUUUUCUCAACUGAGCCUAUGUUCUUUUCCCGGGAAAUGCUUUUUUGCGGGAAAAAUCUUCCCUGUUAAAUUGUUUUAUAUAAAAAGGAGUCGGCUUUUCUUAUAAGGCAAAGACAUGAUGCAUUAAAUUUUUGUUAAGGUCCAACAAUAAUUUUCUAUUUUGGCCUAAAUUUUAGGCAUGGAAAGUGAUGAGGAGAUCAGGAGAGUGCCGGAGAUUGGCGGCGAAUCUGCCGGAGCGUCAAUCUCCGGCAGGGAAACCGGUUCGUUGGCCGGUCCGGACCGGGCCCAAGUGGUAGGUGAGGGGCAAAGAAAGAGAGGAAGAAGUCCAGCUGACAAGGAAAGCAAGAGGCUGAAGAGGUGAGUUGGGCUGCACCGCUUCCGUGGUGAUUUUACUGUUCUGCCCUUUUUAGUCGAUUGCGUGUGCUCAUUAGCAUUUUGGUGGAAUUGUCUUUUUUGGGUACAAAACAAAAGGUUAUUAAGGAACAGAGUUUCAGCACAGCAAGCAAGGGAGAGGAAGAAGGCAUACUUGAGUGAUUUGGAAGUGAGAGUCAAAGACUUGGAGCAGAAAAACUCUGAGCUUGAGGAGAAGCUUUCCACUUUGCAGAAUGAGAAUCAGAUGCUUAGACAUGUAUGUUCCUCCAUCCUCAUCACAUGCUUCAUGUUAAUCAUCAUAAUCAUUAGUUAGAAAUUAGAAUUUGUUUAUAUGUGCCAGAAAGAUUUGCAUUAGGGGUAUUGUGGGGAAGAAAAAAUGAUGGUAUAAAUGUACAGUUCUAUUGAGGAGGGCCCUUGAUAUUAUCUUAUCUUCACUUAUUAUCAAAAGUGGAAAGUGUUAUGGACUUGUGAAGUUGUGAUAUAAAUGGGGUGUAUGGGUGGGGGAUGUGGGGUCUACCCCACCAAAUCCAUUACUCCGUUUUGUUCUUGAUAAGAAGUAAAAGCUGAAGUAUGGAAUAGAUGUGAUGGUGUCAAAUUCCCUUUUUGGUCCACCGACUAGUGGACUGAUACUAUCCCUCUUAACAUGCUAAUCCAUAGUUAAUAUGUGAUUUUUGAUAUAUUAAGAUUGAUAAUGGUUAAUGUGUCUACUGUUUAGAACCGUUAUCCAUCGCGUACGGUUAUCAUCCUGCUUAGCAUGUCUCAUGCUUUGUACAAUCCUUAAUUAUUGUAAGAUAUGCAUUUAUACCAUGUUGGGAUGCUUGUGAGCGAAAGGUCUGUUUUUGCUAGGUAAACUUGUCAUGCCAAUUCGUAAAGGUUUUUAGAUAGCUAGUGCAUCAAAAUGAGGGCAAUUCUGCACCUUAUUGUUGCCUGAAUUGGUGAAUAUUGAUUGAGGUAGACUUAAAACUUAGCAAAAUUUGGGAUUAGGCAAUUGAUAUUUGUGAUACACCUGACAAAUUUGGGAGAAUUAAUUAUUUCUCUGCAUUAGGACUUAUUCUUGGAAACCUGAAAGAGUUGGAAACAUAUCCUGAACUGCCACUAUGCUUAAGCUUUUACUGGAAGUUCUGCCUCUGUAAUCCACCUGUAGUUUGAUUUAAUAUCUGCAUGACAUUUACUUAUUGGUAGUCUCUGCCAUUUUAAUUUGUUGCAGAUACUGAAGAACACAACGGCAAGCCGGAGAGGAGCAGGCAGUAAUGCAAAUGCAGAAGGAUCCUUAUAGGAAAGUGUGUGAGAUCAGAGUGUUCAUAAAGAGAAAUUGUGAGAGGAAAAGCAGAAGCAAUACGACUUUAGUAUUCCAACCAUACAUGGAAACAUCACAAGGGAAGGACCUAGGCAUACUUAAUCAUAGAUUAGCAUUUCUAGCAUUUCCUUUAAGUUAUGUUCACUAGUAGUUCAUUUGCAUGCCACUCCCUUGGUACUUUUCUGUAUGCAAUAUGGUGCAGAUCUAGUGUCAACUAUAGUAACAGCAGCGGGUGCAGGCAUGACCGGAAAAUUUACCAAAAAUGGGAAAAGCUCGUUCGUGUUGGUAGUGGCAAUGACAGUGGCACUAGCAUUUGUGAAAAUGGUGAGGCAGUGGUGAUUGCUAGUAGGGUUUAGGCUUGCCGUGGCGAUUGUGGUGUUACCAGUCUACUUAUUCUUUGCCGAAAUGUUCUAUAGGUUUAUAAGAGAUCAAAUUCCCAUCAUCAAUGCAAUGGGAAAAAUGGAAUAACAGUGUACUGUGUUCUUUUAAGACGGGUGGUAUUAGUUUAUGCAAUCUUUUCUGGAAGUAAAAUCAUUAUGCAAAUAAACUGGUAAAGUGCCCUAAUUAAUAAGACUAAUAAAAUUGUGCUCAGCUGAGCUAGCAUUUUCUGCAACUGCGAAAGGAAUAAAAGAACAGAAUAUUUGGGGUGGUUGCCAAAUCAUGUUUGGUGAUCAUGUUCAUGCGUGUGGCAAGUAAAAGACUAUUCAAUCAGAACUCAACCGUGUUUUAACUAAUCCUGCCAAAUUACUUUAACAUUGGCCACGCUUUCUAAAUUUGUUUAAGUUAACAGACUAUGAAUUAAAUUAGAAACAUAAGAUAAGUUACAUUUACCAAGGAUGAUUCACGUUACUAUAAAACACCACUUGAUCUUUAUAAUAAGACCAUAAGAAAAAACAUCGUCACACGUUUAAUAAUCUAACUUCAUUUUAUAUCUUUGUCAUAAAUAAUAUAACUUCAUUUUAUAUCUUUAUCGUAAAUAAAACGAACACGACUAAUGCAUUUAUACCCUGAAAAAUUCUGUGAUUAUUGAAAACCUAGAAUCCUAUACCUAUUGAUUAUAAUACAAACCAACAUUGAGUAUUAUACGUUUUCCAUGUUUUUUAGGGUCUUUUUAUUUCAACUUAAAAUUUAAGUUGUUUAUUUUGUGUAAUACGGUUAUGUGGGUUAGGCGAGUUACACAAUUACAUAAACAUGUUAAAGCGUGUCAUUUUCGGGUUAGGCAGCUUGACCCAAAAUACAAAGUGUUUACUAAUUGUGUUAAGCGGGUCGACACGCUAAUUACACAAACAAAAUUGUGGGCAAACCCAAACAUGUUUGUUUGUUGCAAGAAUUCUAUGAUGAGGGCCUUAUAUAUGACCCUUAAGUGAGAUUCUAUUUUUUAACUGUUUGAUCAAAUUAGUUAGCAUAAUUCAACAAUUAAGAUAUAAGACCUUACCUAAAAGCCAUAUAUAAGACCCUCAUUAUAGAAUUACUUAUAUUUAUUGUUUCUAAGUGAAUUAUUGUGUCGUGUCUAAACUUGUCACUCUAAAUUUCAAGUCAUGUAUAAAAUUUCCUUCCGCGGAUCACUUGGGCCUAAGCCUUUAUGACGGCCUCCUUGACUUUUCUUUUUAUUUUAUAAAACGGGCCUACUUGGUGAGGAAGAUUCAUUAGCGGUGGUUGGCUAGACCCCGAUCCAUUUUUGCAUGAAAAUCCAAAACAAUGCUAAGAAAUUGCUGCCACCGACAAUAACCACUUAUACUGAUAGUCUCCCACUACAGCCUGUUACCAGCAAACAAUAAAUUACAAAAUUAAGACUUAAAAUAUAUACGACACUUGUUGGUUCUCCUCUCCUUGACAAAGACAACCCAACCCGUAACCUUACACGUGUCCAUAUUAGAUUGGAUGCAACCGUUUUAAGUCAACAAUUCAACUCAAUUGGGCUCUCUGAUUUCUCACCAGACUCGUAUAACAACUGCAUGGUUUGGUGUUGUGUUGCAUUAUUGUGAUAUCAUCGUUUUGUUAAAUAAGGAAAAUAAAAGGGAUGUUGUUAUAUCACUAAUCACCUCUCUUGAUUAUUGCAAAAUAACUUCAACCACCAAUUACAUUAGAUACUUUGAAAUCGUUGGUGUAAUUAGUAAUUGCUCUUCGAUAACAAUAUAAGUUUUUUUUUUUUUUUUGUCAAUGUUAUUUCGACUAUCUCCAACAGGUCAUGCCUUAAAUUUAAACUUUAAAUCAUAAAAAAUUACUAAAUCUUGUACCAUUUCUUUAACCACGGGCGUAAAGUAUAUAUGCUUUCUUGGAAUUCUUUCUAUAACGAUGUGACCAUUUAGUUUUAAUAGCAACUCAAAGUUCUUAUGAGGAUUUAAUAGAAUUCAUUGCAAGGUAAGUAAAAAUUUUGCCCCAAAAAAAAACUUCAUUUAAAACAAUUGAUAUACUGUAUUUUAACUCUUCUUUUUUUUAAUCGAUCUUUUUAACCAUUUGAAUUAUUAAACCGGGGACAUAAAAUUAUCAUGUGUAAAAAUAUCAUGUGUGUUUAAUUAUCAGACAAUAAUUUUUUUUAUAAAAAUAAAAAUAAAAAAAAUAAAAAAAGCAUGUGAAACGAGACAAAAGGAGUCUAAACUGAUUCACUGUACAACGACUAAAGCGAGUUGGGGCGGGACAGUGGCAACCGGUUCACCCGGUAAAAUGAAAUAAAUAUUAAAAAAAGAAAGAACAGAAAAUAUAGUAAUAAAAGGACAAGUAAAGGCAAAGCUGUCAUGAGUAGAGAGAGAGAGAUCAGAGAUGUCGUAGUGAAUGGGCGAAGAAUUCACAGCCUUUGCCUCCCUCACUUCUUUGCCG